rnacentral:lncRNA from 1 species
GCAUCAGAAACUAUGAUCUCUAAGUUGUCAUUGCAAACAUGGUUCUCUCUCAAUAAAGCUAAAUCUGGGAUGACAAGCUAGUCAUAUUUACAAAAAUAAAAUAGAUAGAGUUCAUACCAGCUUUUCCAGUCUCAGUCACUUCAUCACAUAUCAUCAUUAUUGCCUUUCACUUGCACGAUCGAACAAUGUGAACAAUAAUAAGAGUGCUCGUGCAUUGGACUAAAGUUGGAAUCUGCAGGCAAACACAAAGGAGAGGACAAAGUAAUAUGGCUCUUUGAAAGCUAAACAGGUAUGCAUGCAAGAGCCACUAAACAUUGUAACCAAUAUCUUCUACCUUGACCGAAAGAAAAAAGAAAACUAUUUACACGGGAAAACUCCCAACAAGCAAAAGAAGAAAGGAAAAUCUUUUUGGGUUUCCCCAAAAGGACACAAAACAAGAAAACAAGAAAAUGAAAAUAAACUAGCAUGAAUAAUACAGUGUCAAAGUGUAAACACCGACUAACAAAGUGAAAGCAUAAGCAUGAAUGUAAAGUUGGUGCAAACACGUACUCCCCCAACCUUAGGCUUUUGCCCUAGCUUGGUCUACUCCCAAGGCGGGAAAUAACCAGCUCCGGGAUACUCCGGAGCGGACUGUGGAUGCCACAGUUGUGUGAGCUCCUUUGGCUCCCACUGAAACUGGCUUCUGGUACUCGACUGGCGGCUCGGGCACGGGAACUUGUGGUUGGGCCAAGCCCCAAUACAUGUAGAUGUCCGAGGGCAUAAUAAUGUACCUACCUGCAUAAAGAUUGAACAAAGAAGGAGCUGGCAAAGUAAUAGUCUCUCGAGUACCCUGACUAAAUACCAGAUUAUAAAUCAUCCGUCUACUAGCAUCUCUAUCCAGAAAAUCAUGACGAACCAUGCUGUCAUAAUCCAGAUAUUUCUCAGGAAGAACCAUUUCUUCUUACUCGCGAAGUCUAAUAGGUAUCUCAAAGUGUCUAGCAAGACGAGUAGCAUAGACACCUCCAUAGACGACACCUUUGGAACGGUUUCUGUUCAACCGCUGAGCUACUAUAGCACCUAGGCUAUAAGUCUUAUUGUUAUAAAGGCCUUCGCGCAAAACCGCAAGGUCUGGAUAGCUAAGUGAUCCAGCCUCCCCACAGCCAAUCAAACAUUUUCCCACAAAUAAUGAGAAGUACCGAAGCACAUGAAUAUGUAUGCUAGCAAUUCUAGCGCGAGACACUCCUCUCUCCUCUCCAACAGCAAUAGUACUUAUGAAAUCCUACAAGUCCCGUGGACGAGGAUCAUGAAUAUCCCCAACAUAAGGUAAUUUGCAUACAUUGCAAAAAUCCUGUAGUGUCAUGCACUCGGGGAUAUCGUAUAACAUGAACUCACCCAUAGGAGGAUUCUUCCUCGGAUAAAAGUUGAAGCUUUGAACGAAAAUAUUGGAGAGGAGGAGGUAUUGUGGGCACUUAUCUUCAACGAAUGCGGUAAGACCUGCGUUCUCCACCAAGUAAUAGAAGUCUUCAUAAAGCUCAGCGGCGCGCAAAAAUUCAUCACUUGGCCACUCGCACGCUCGAACUUCUGUGACUCGAGGAACCACGUACUUGGGGUGGUUCUUCUCAUCCUCCUUGGGGUUACGGCUUGAAGAGCCUCUCAAGAACCUCCUCAUAUUUUCCCUUUUCUAACUCUGAAAAAUUCUGAAAUUGUUAGAGACUUCGAAAGAAAAGUGAGUAACGAUUAACCCAACUCAUAGCAACUACUCCUACUAGUGCCUAGAGACCGUAUCACACGCUAAAACUACUUGGGACCAGCUAAAAUCAACAUUUCAAGCUCAAGAACAGGGUCACCAAGGUAGCAAGAAUACGCGAAGGAUAAAGCACUAGAGUAGAAACUAAUUGGACCAAUAGAGGAGUCACUUACCAAGGAGUAAUUUCCCCAAAAUGGUUCGGAGAAUGGUGCUUUGAGCAAGGAGAUCGACAAUCACAGCCAAAUGAGCAAGAACACGGGUUUGAGCUGCGAAACGAAUUUUUCUGGAGGUAGAAGAAGAGGAUGGGAGCUGGAAUGAGUGGAGGGGGUCCCUGUGGGCCCCACAAGCUUGGUGGCCACGUCCUGGGGGGAGCCCACGGCGUCAGGUCUUGUGGCCCACUGGUGUGGCCCCUAGGCCAUCUCUCAGUCCGAUUAUUUUUCAAAAAAAUCCAGAAAAAAUCAUAUUUGAUUUUCAGGACCAUCGGAGAACUUUUAUUUUCGGGGUACUUUUCUCCGGGAUGCUAAAACAGGAAACACGAAAAACUAAACUAAAUAUAUCAUUUUUCUUCUAAGCAACAGAAAGUGAAAGCUUAAAACAGAGGUAUGUGACUCUUUGAUUCAUCCAUUUCAUGGUCAUCGAAAGAAAUUCCAUCAAUGGGGUUGAUCAAAUCCUCAUGGCAAAAAAAUUACAAAUCGCAAAAGGAAAUGGAGAAUUGUCGAAUAGCCACUAAGUCACCUCAACGGGGAUAUGAAUAUCCCCAACAAGCAAAUCAUACUUCAUCUUAACACGAGGAAUAGGUCAUUCAAAGCUCCCAAUAAGAAUCGAUGAAGUUUUUUCGAUAGCAUUGAUGCAAUGUAGUUGAUAUCGUUUCUUCGAAAAGUGCACUGUAUGCUCAUUACCGUUGACAUGGAAAGUGACAUUGCCUUUGUUGCAAUCUAUAACAGCCCCCACAAUUUUAAAAAGGGUCUUCCGAGGAUGACAACCAUGGCAUCGUCCUUGGGAAUAUCCAAGAUAUCAAAGUCUGUUAAGAUAGUGGUGUUAGCAACCACAAUAGGCACAUCCUCGCAAAUGCCGACAAGGAAAACAGUUGAUUUGACGACCAUUUGCAGAGAAAUUUCAAUGGGUGUCAACUUAUCCAGUUCAAGUCUACAAUAAAGAGAGAGAGGCAUAACACUAACACCAGCUCCAAGGUCACAUAAGGCGGUUCUUGCAUAGUUUCCUUUAAUGGAGCAAGGUAUAGUGGGUACUAUGGGAUCACCAAGUUCCUUAGGAGUUCCACCUUUGAAAGUGUAAUUGGCAAGCAUGGUGGAGAUCUCAAGAUCUGGUAUCUUCCAUUUAUUAGUCACGAUAUCUUUCAUGUACUUGGCAUAUGGAGACAUUUUGAGCAUAUCAAUUAACCGCAUCUGCAGAAAGACGGGUCUUAUCAUUUCAAUAAAGCGCUAAAAAUCCUCAUCAUCCUUUUUCUUGGAUGGCUUAGGAGGAAAGGGCAUGGGUCUCUGAACCCAUGGCCCCCUUUCUUUACCAUGCUUCCUAGCAGUGAAGUCAUUCUUAUCGUAUCUCUUAGGUUGUGGGUUAUCAGGAUUAACCAUAGGUUCAAUCUCCACAUCCUUAUCAUUCUAGGUUGAGCAUUAUUAUGAACAUCGUUGUCCAUAUUGUCAUCAGGUUCAUGUUCAUCACCAGAUUGUGUUUCUGCAUCAGACGCAGAAAUAUUAUUUGCUUCUUCAGGUGUGAUAGUAUUUGGUGAACUGACAUGUAGGUUUCUAUCAUCCUUCUUCUUCUUAUUAGGAUGACUGGGUGUAUCAGUAUUAAUUCCUUGAGAAUCUUGAUCAAUUCUCUCAGGGCCUUCAGGAUACAAAGGUUCCUGAGUCAUUUUGCCUCCUCUAGUAAUGACUUUGACAGAUUUUUCAUUUAAUUCAUUUAGCAAGUCAUUCUGAGCUUUAAGUACUUGUUCUACCUGAGUAUUAAUCAUAGAGGCAUGUUUACUCAGAAGCUUCAGAUCAUUGACAUUUCUAUCUACACAAGCACUUAAAUGACUAAGCAUACGAGUACUUUGUUUCAAUUGUCUGCUAACAUAAUCAUUGAAACUCUGUUGAUUGGCAACAAAGUUGUCAAAUUCAUCAAAGCAUAAGCUAGCAGGUUUGUCAAAAGGAAUAUCACUCUCAUUGAAUCUACGCAGAGAAUUCACCUAUACUACUUGUAUCGGGUUAUCGAGACCAUGGAUCUCUUUGAUGGGCGGUAGAUUUUUGACAUCUUCAGAUCUAAUGCCUUUCCCUUGCAUAGAUUUCUUGGCUUCUUGCAUAUCUUCGGGACUGAGGAAUAAAAUACCUCUUUUCUUUGGAGUUGGCUUAGGAUGUGGUUCGGGAAUAGUCCAAGCAUUAUCGUUGAUCAAUAUGUUAUUCAGUAGAAUCUCAUCUUGUUCUAUAGUUCGUUCCCUAAAAACACAACCGGCACAACUAUCUAGGUGGUCUCUAGAAGCAUUGGUAAGUCCGUUAUAGAAGAUAUCAAGUAUCUCGUUCUUCUUAAGAGGGUGAUCAGGCAAAGCAUUCUGUAGCUGGAUGAGCCUCCCCCAAGCUUGUGGGAGACUCUCUUCUUUGAGUUGAGCAAAGUUGUAUAUUUCCUGCAAGGCAGCUUGCUUCUUAUGGGCAGGGAAAUAUUUCUCACGGAAGUAAUAGACCAUAUCCUGGGGACUACUCACACAUCCAGGAGCAAGAGAAGUGAACCAGGCUUUAGCGUCAUCCUUUAAAGAGAAAGGAAACAUCUUAAGGAUAUAGUAGUAGCGGAUCUUCUCCUCACUAGUGAAAAGGGUGGCUAUAUCGUGUAGUUUGGUAAGAAGGGGUACGACCGACUCAGACUCAUAACCAUGGAAAGGAUCAGAUUCGACUAGAGAGAUUAUCUCAGGGUCGACAGAGAAUUCAUAAUCCUCAUCGGUGAUAAAGAUAGGUGAAGUGGCAAACUUCGGGUCGUAUUUCAUCCUAGCUUUCAGAGAAUUUUCCUUCCACUUGAGAAGUAAUUUCUCAGCGUCAUAGGCAUCCUUACACGCAAGAAAAUCCUCAGCUAUCUCUCCCUCCAUAACAUAACCCUGAGGUAUAUCAGGCAAUUCAUAUCUAGGAGAGCUAGAUCUCGCAGGAGCAAAAGCAGGUUCUAUCUCAAUAGUAUCGGCAGUUUCAGAAGCAUCACGAGCAUUGGCAGUAACUCUAGCAAUAUGAGCAUCAAGGAAUACCCCUAGUGGCAUAUCAGGCAAAGUAGUAUCUCUAGCAGUAUCAAGCAUAACAUCAUCAGGCAAAAUAGCAUCUCUAGCAUCAUCAGGCAAAGCAGUAUCAGUCAUAGUAUCUCUAGCAGUAUCAGGCCUAACAUCUCUAGCAGUAUCAGGCAUAGCAUCUCUAGCAGUAUCAGGCAUAACAUCUCUAGUAGUAUCAGGCAUAGUAUCAUCAAUCAUAGUAGCAUCAUAAGCAUCAUCAAGCACAGGCGAUAUAUCAAGAUUUCUAGCAGGACGUGGUGUCGCAAACUUACUCAUAACUGAAGGUGAAUCAAGUGCAGAGCUAGAUGGCAGUUCCUUACCUCCCCUCGUAGUUGAGGGCAAGACUUUAGUUCCUAGAUCUUUCAUAUUCUUCAUAGUGCUCAACAGAUAUAAAUCCGAAGUAACUCAGAGAAUAUAGCUAUCCUUCCCCGGCAACGGUGCCAGAAAAAUGCUGCCGACGUGCAACUAUUCCUGACUUGAUGCCUCCACGGCAACGGAGCCAGAAAAGAGCUUGUCCCACUUGCUCAACAAUUAGCAAUUGUCUUGCAAUGGCCCACCAGUGCGUGGGAUCGCGACAGUUUUCGAGGGUAGAGUAUUCAACCCAAAUUUGUUGGUUCGCACGACGAGAAGUGAAAGAAUAUUCUCAAGUAUUAGCAGCUGAAUGUUCAGAUUCAACCACACCUCAAAGAUUAGUGUCUGCAAGCAAAGUAGUGUGAUAGCAACGGUACCAGAUACAAUCUGGUGACAAGGCAGACUAUUCCUAACGGUUGUAACAAUGCCUCCAGAAAAGUAUUGUAGCAGGUAGUAGCAGAGUAACGAGUAACAGCAGUGGCAAGGAACAGCAGUAGUAACAGCAGUAGCAAGUAGCAGUAGUAGCAAGUAACAUCAGUAGCAACAAUAGUGGCAGCAGCAGCAGGACAAAGCAAGUAACAGUAGCAGCAAGUAACAGUAGCAACAACGGUAGUAACAGCAGCAGAGCAAAACAAGUACCAACAACAGCAAAAGUGGGACAAACUCGUAGGCAAUGGAUCAGUGAUUUGUUGGAUGACAUUCAUCAUGCAACAGUUAUAACACGGAGAGAUACGUGACUAGCUCCCAUUCGUCGAUGUGAUGUAGGCAUGCAUUCCGUGUGUAGUCAUACGUGCUUAGGGAAAAGAACUUGCAUGACAUCUAUUGUCCAUCCCUCCCGUGGCAGCGGGGUCCCAAUGGAUACUACAAGAUAUCAAGAUUCUCCUUUUAAUAAAGUACCGGACCAACGUAUUAGCACUUGGUGAACACAUGAACUCCUCAAACUAUGGUCAUCACCGGGAGUGGUUUCGGUUAUUGUCACUCCGGGGUUGCCGGAUCAUAACACAUAGUAGGUAACUACAACUUGCAAGAUCGGAUCUAAAACACACAUAUACUGGUGACAUCAUAAUAAUUUCAUAUCUAAAAUCAUGGCACUCGGGCCCUAGUGACAAGCAUUAAGCAUGGCAAAGUAAUAGCAACAUCAAUCUCAGAACAUAGUGGAUACUAGGGAUCAAUCCCCGUCAAAACUAACUCGAUUACAUGAUAGAUCUCAUCCUACUCAUCACCGCCCAGCGAGCCUACAAAUAGAUUUCUCACGAACGAUGAAGAGCUUCGUGGAAUUGGAGAGGGAAGAAGGUUGAUGAUGACGAUGGCCACGAUCUCCUUGAUCCGGAGCCCAAAACGGACUCCAGAUCUGCCCUCUAGAUGAAGAACAGGAUGUGGCGGCGCCUCCGUAUUGCAAACGCGAUGAAAUCUUCUAUCUUGAUUUUUUUCGGGACGAAAGGGAAUAUAUAGAGCUGAGUUUGGAGACGGCGGAGUCUCGUGGGCCCCACAAGCCCUGACGGCGCGGCCUGGGGGGUGGCCGCAGCCAGAGGGCUUGUGGCCCACUUGCUCACCCCCUCCGGUGGAUCUUUGCGCAGGUAUUUUUCAUAUUUUCCAGAAAUAUUCUCCGUAAAUUUUCAGGACGUUCCGAGAACUUUCAUUUCUGCACAAAAACAACACCAUGGCAAUUCUGGUGAAAACAUCGUCAAUCCGGGUUAGUUCCAUUCAAAUCAUGCAAAGUAGAGUCCAAAACAAGGGCAAAAGAGUUUGGAAAAGUAGAUACAAUGGAGACGUAUCAUUGCUCCAUUCCAAGUUACACACGAGGAUUUUAAGUAAUCCCAUGAUCAGGGGCACAAGGAGGCUAGCGACCAUUUGCAAGUUUUGUAAAAGCAGACAAGGCGAUUCAAGAGAAUAAGGGUGGAAGUGCUAAGGAAAAAACCUUCGCUCCCUUUGGAGAUUUAGGAGAGGUGAGAAAUAUAAAGGUUUUGUAAGUGUUUUUGAAUGGUGUGGAAAAUAUUUUUGUCCUGACUAACGUGCAUGCUAACUAAGGGCUUCCUACAGUCAGGAUGGCUCUUAUACUAGCUCUAUGCGGAACUCCAACUUAUAAGUCGUGAUUAUCAAAUAUAUGUGCUCGGUGAUCCUAGAGAUCAAUGCUCACUAAACACACAAAAAUUGAAUAACAAGAUUCUUACAUCCAUACAUACCGUUUGAUACAAAUAACGACUAUUGAGGUCAAGUGUGACAACCCGAGAUCGACGUUCCAAAAGAUUCCCCUCUUUUCCGUUUUCGUUCUAUCUUUAUUUUUUAUUUGUCGCAUCAUCAUCGCAUCAUGCCCAUCAUACACAUUGCAUCGGCAUCCCGUUGCCGUUAGUUUUCAAAGUUGAAUCCGUUAUUAGUUGCCGGUUCUCGUCGUUGCUCGUUCUAAGCCCGACCACACUCGCACGCGCCCGCGGCAUCGUCAAAAUAUUGUUUUUAAAAGUGUUUGUAAAACAUUAUCUGAUUGGUUUGGAACUUGACGUGCGGUCUUAUUUUAUUAUAGGUAGGCCUCCUGUCAAAUUUGGUCGCAAUCGGAGUCCGUCUGGUACCCGAACGGUCGACCAUAGCGGCACCAUAUUCGGUCUACCGUCGGACGUUUUACGGUGUUUUAAAAUUGCGUUGCCGCGCCGCACCGUUUCCCUCUCUUCCCCGGCUAGCCUACUCUACACGGUCUCUUAGCCGACCCCGCGUUCGAGUUCGUUCGAUUCCGAUCGCGUGGGUGAAAACGGGGCCGGAUUUGAAUAACCCUAGCCCGUUUAGUAUAUAAAUAGAGACCUAGCCUCCAAACCCUAGCCGUUGCCUCAGGAUCCGUGCCCCACCUACCCCUAGCCGCCGCACUCUCUCUCCUCUCUCCUCAGCGCCGCCGCUGGGCCCGCGAGCCCAUGCGAGGCCCACCGAGCCCAUCUGGCGAGCCACCGCCCGACCUCUACCCGAGCGCCUGCGCCUCCCGUCGUCCCAUUGCCUUCGCCGCGUCACCGCUGGGCGCCUUCGCCGUCAACUGCCGUAGGGAACCGCGUGCGCCUCCCCAUCUCCCCUAGGAAGCCGCCGCCGUCUGCCACAGCAAGCCGUGCCGGAGCGCCCUCCCGCCACCUACCCUUCGCUCCGCCGCCUCCCUGUUACGUCGCCGCCUCGGGCCGGAUCCGGCCAGAUCCGGACCCUCGGGGUCCAUCCCCUGCCGCGACCUGGUCGGCCCCUCGCCAGAACACCGCCUCCCGGCCCCCUCCAUGUCGUGGCUGGCGCCGCCAUGCCCGAGGCUCGGGAGCAAGCAGAGGAGGACGACGCACGACCGCUCCACCCUCAUGUCGCCCGAGUGGGCAGGCCUAGCGAGGCCUCCCUCAGCGCCGCCUCGGCCCGGCUCGCCCAGCCCCAGGCCCACCUGCCUCCUCGACCGGGCCCAGCCCGAGGUGAGAAUCCCCUUGGCCCCUCUAAUGUGCGCCCCAAGGGGGAUUUGGGAUUUAGAUUUAGGAUUUUUCCGGUGAUUUAUUUAAUACCAGAUACUUGGGAUAUUUCAAACGCCCGUAGUUUAAUAACCGUGCAUCGGAUCGGAGCGAUUUAUAUGUGGAACUUGUGCAGGUUUUCACGUAGAUUCAUAAUUUGCAACUUGCAUGCAUGUUUGAAAUAGUUUGACCCGCCGAAUGCCUAGUUUUGUGUGUUAUCCCAAUAGGGGAUUGUUCCUAUUUAUUUUUCGUGCGUGUCCGGAUUGCAAAAACCCCAUAGAUAAAAUGCUCAUAUUUUUAGGGACCUUUUGCCAUGUAUUUUAGAGUAGUUAUUUGCAUUUUUGCAUGUAGGAUUCCAUCGCUAGUUUGCUAUAUCAUGUUUAGGACAUAAUCUCACAUAUUUGUGUGGCGUUAUUUUUUUUUUGCAACCCCACAUGUUAUAUAUGUUUUCGGGGCAGAAAAAUCCAUAGAAUUUAACUGUGCAUUUAGAUUUAUCUUUUGAGCAAGUUAGUGCGCGUGAUAUUUUGCCAUGAUGCCCUUUUGUUUAUUUUGUGGGAUUUAAUCCGUGCAUGAUAUGAAGGAGUUGUCAACUAGAGAUAUGCCCUUGGAUGUGUGGACUAGCCCCUGGUAAUUUUGGUUGCAAUAGAAAUCCAUGUUUAGGUGUGGUUUGCUUGUUCUCAACUUGCUAGGAAAUAGUGUUGUUUUAGAGAUGCUGAAAUAUUUGUAAGUCUGAGAUUUGUAUUAAUUUUGUUGUUGUCUUGCCAUGAGUUUAUCUGGUGAUCUAUAGCACUUUUGAGGUUGGUGCCAUGGAGUUGGUUCUAGACUUUAAGAUUCUCUAGCAUGCUGUCAAUUUUCAUGCCAUUGGGAGUCCUAUAGCUUAUGGUUUUUCUGCUGUCAAUAUGCCUUCAGAUCGAAAACUGCACUUUCAUAAACUGUGUUUUCACUAAGUCUAAAACUGCGUGUGAGCAACCAUGUUGUGAGUUCUUUUCCCAGUGAUCCAUGCUUCCAUGAUAAAUGUUAUUAGAAGUAUGUUGUAGUGCUUCUUACCCUCUAUUGCCUCAUGCCUUGUUUGAGCCUUUUGGUUUUGUGUAGCUCGUAGUUGUGGGGUGUGGAAAAUGCUAUGUGGCUGAUUUUGACACAUUGUAGUGAUUUCUUGUUUAGCUCGUAGUUGUUGAACCGUUGCUCCGCUCUGAUCGUGCCCUAUAUAAAACUUGUUUAGAAUCUCAUGUAGUUUCUUAUUAUCUUGCUGGUUGUAUGUUUUUAAAUGUUGUGGCUGCCAUUUGCACACAUAUUGCAUUCAUGCCAUCAUAUCUUGCGGUGUUUGUAUCUUUUGAACCGUAGCUCCGUUGGAGAAGUUCUUUAUGUGUAAAUUGAUUUUAACGAUGCGUAGAAUCACGUGAACCUAUUUAUUUUGCUGUUCAACAAGUAUUUAAACAUGUUAGUUCAGAUCUGGACAGAAUUAUAAAUUAACAUAUGGGGUCAUCUCGGAGACGCUAUAUGACGUUUCCGACCCCAUUUAAAAUGCCUAGAUAGGUAGAAUAAUUACGCUUCACCUCUUGCCAUGUUUAAUCACAUUUAAUAUUGUCAGGUAAAUGAUCGGGAUAGAACUAAAUAAUUCGUAUGUGGAGUUUCGUCAAUAUGCAACUCGUUGCAUAUUGAACUUCACUUAAUGUGUAGUGUUUGAUUGUUGUGAAUUGUCAUGCCAUGUCUUGCAUAUGUCCAACCGCUCAUGCAUCAUAUGUAUUGUGCAUCAUGUGGUGAAUAUCAUGUGUUGAUUCUUGUUUUCUGUUUCCUUCGUCUCGAUAGAGUUCCGCAAGCGUGUCGAAAAGUGAGGACCCGUUCGACUAUGUCAGUUCGUCUGCUGCAUGGAGUCCUACUUCUUCCAAGCAGGAUCUCAGGCAACAGGACCAUUUCCCCAGAUACCAUUACUAUCAUUGCCUUGCUAGUUUUACUAUUUCUAUCGUUAUAUCACCCUAUUAAAUGCUAAUUAAUUUAAUGCACCUAUAUACUUUGUAAAAGGUGGAAGGCUCGGCCUUUCUAGCCUGGUGUUUUGUUCCACCUUUGCCCCCUUAGUUUCGGCUACCUGAUGUAUGUUCCAUAAUUGAGCACUCCUAACACGAUCGGGGUUGUUAUGGGGACCCCCUUGAUAAUUCGUCUUAGAUUAAAGCUGGUCUAGCAAUGCCCAACAUUGGUUCUAUAUUUGCCCAACAUAAUAAUUUUGUUAAUACUGAAAUGCAUAGGGAGUUAGCGCUACCCGAGGAGUAAUUCUACAUAAUACAGGGGGCCUAGCGCUGAUGGUGUUGGUCCAGAACAGAGCAGCUUAUUAACGCUACCCGGGGCAACUCGGUGUUUGGCGUGGUAACCAUUGCUCAUCCGGUGUGCCCUGAGAACGAGAUACGCAGCUCCUAUCAGGAUUGUCGGCACGUCGGGCGGCCUUGCUGGAUUAGUUUUACCUUUGACGAAUGUCUUGUGCAUCGGGAUUCCGGUGAUGCUUUGGGUAAUCUCAUAGUGGAGUUUUUCCACUAAGGAGUCCGACAAGAUCGCGAGCUUCGUGAUCGAGGAUUUCUAUGCGGAUUGUCGUAAUUUGAGAUGGAUUAGUUGGAGCACCCCUGCAGGGUUAAAUCUUUUGGAAAGUCGUGCCCGCGGUUAUGUGGCAACGUGGAAACUUUGUUUAACACUGAUUCUAAACAACUUGAAGUUAACUUAAUUAAAAUAUGUCAACCGAGUGCGUAACCAUGAUUGUCUCUUUCACGAGUUCCUUCUCCGAUCGAGGACACGGUGGGGUUAUGUUUGACGUAAGUAGGUGUUCAGGAUCUUUCAUUUGAUCAUCAGUAGUUUACGUCCGCUAUGCGUAGAUCUUCCCCCUCUUCAUUCUUUUACUCGUAAGUUAGCUACCUCACAUAUGCUUAGUCUCUUGCUGCAGCCUCACCACUUAACCAUACCUCACCCUUUAAGCUUUGCUAGUCUUGAUACCUUUGGAAAUGAGAUUGCUGAAUCCCCUGUGGCUCAUAGAUUACUAUAACACCAGUUGCAGGUACAGGUAAAGGUUACUUGAUGCGAGCGCGUUGAUUGUUCAUUUGGAGUUGCUUCUUCUUCCUCUUCUUCAUCGAUCUAGGAUGGGUUCCAGGUCGGCAGCCUAGGAUAGCAAGGAUGGACGUCGUUUUUCUUUUCUCGUUUGUUUUCGUCCGUAGUCGGACCCUCUCUUCAACGUGAUUUUUAUGAAAUGUACUGAUGAUACUCUGAUGUAGCUUGUGGCGAGUGUAAGCCAAUUCCAUAUGUCUCACCUUUUCAGUACAUGUACUUGUAAUGAUAUCCAUUCUUGCAAAACGACGAGAUGCGCUUCUAUCCCUGACGAGGCCCUCGUGCCAAAUUAAGGAUAGGGUCGCAUCUUGGGCAUUACAUCAAGUCUUACAUAGGUAGGGCCUCAAAGGACGACACACCAAACUCGAUUAGCAACGGGAAUCUUGGUUGAAAGCGUGAACCCAUGUCAUCAGCCUUAACCUACAUGCAUUCUAACUAGGAAGCGUCCUAGCUCACAGGAAGGUCAGCAAGGUACUCUUCACCAUCUCAUCUUCUCUCUUACCUUGUAAAUAAAAUAACAAGUGCCAAGACAAUGAGUGCUUUGAAUGUACUCGCAAGCAACCCAUGUUGUAGAACAAGACAAUAAUGGAACAUGAUAUAUCAAUAGUAUCCUAUUUUUGCGGAAAGCACGUUUUUCCAUAGUGCAACAACAUGAUCAAAUUCUCAUGCGACAUGCAUCACAAGGCAUUGUGGUAACCGAGUGAACAGGUUGCACAUAUCAAUAUCAACUGAGGGUUGGACAUCCCUUGUCCACCCAUCAUGCCAAGUCGCCUGACUUAGCUCGAGAAUCAUGUUUCCCAUGUCACCAUGUUUUCUUCAUACUCCACCACACACACACAGACACACACUUGUUUUAUGCGGAAAUGACUGGCCAUAGUUUAUGCAGCACCCCCCAACUGUCCUUUACCAUGGACACAGCUAUUCGAAUAAUUAUACACCCUAUAGAGGUUGCGUGCUGUACGCACGAGACUCAGGGAACUUCCAUGUCAUCCAUGACUCACGGUAUAUAUAACAUACCCGAGGUAAGCACCCAAACAAUGUGUAACGACUAGAUGCGGUCCUUUCCUAUUUAGGGGGUUAUGCCCCAAAAUGGAAAGAAGCGCAUCUAAGCGUUUCGCAAGCAAGAUAAUCAUAUCACAUACAUAAAUAAAGAUUGAAAAAUAGGGCAUCAUUUGCCAUCUCACAUAGAUAAUAUCCGAGUUACAUCCACACGGUUAUUCAGACAAGGUAGUCCCGCUACGGGGUACAUGAAACAAGGAAAGGCUAUGAUAUCCCGCAUGCUCGCCCAUGAUCACUACCACGGCCUCAGUCUUCGGGAUAGUUCACGUACAUGCGGUCGUUCUCCUCAUCGUACUGCCAUGCCAGCUGCGUGCCAUCUGGAUCACCUGCGUCGGGCGUACCUGUACCUAUUAGGGUGUUGUAGGAAAUGUGAGCCAUGGGGACUCAGCAAUCGAUGACCUUGGUACCGAAACUAGUCAAGUUAAUAGGUGAGGAAGGUUCAGUGUUUAGGUUGCAGCAUCCUAAGCAUUUAUGAUGGCUAACUUACGAAGAUUCAAGUUAUAGAUGUGGUGGUCUACAUGAGCGGUCGAAGACUAGGUGAUCAAUAAGUGAUCCUGAACACCUACUUACGUCAAACAUAACCCCACCGUGUUCCCGAUCAAAGAGAGGUCUUCGAAGGGGACAGUCACGGUUACGCACACAGUUGGCAGUUUUAUUACAGUUAGUUCAAGUUAUCUAUAACCGGAUGUUAAAAAAAUAUCCAUGUUGCCACAUAACCGCGGCCACGGCUUUCCGAAAGAUUAAACCCUGCAGGGGUUCUCCAACUAGUCCAUCACAAACGGUCACGGGCCGCAAAGUAAUCCCCUAUCAUGAAUCUCGUGAUCUCGUCGGAUUCCUUAGAGGAAAACCUCAACUCUGGGUGACCCAAAGUUUCACCAGGAUUCCUAUGUGCAAGAUAUAUCGCUAAGGUAAGACAAGACUAGCAGGACCUCCCAGUGUGUCGACGACCCUGAUAAGAGCCGCGUAUCUCAGUCUCAGGACAACACCGUCCAUGCAUAGUGGACAAUGACCAAAUGCCUCAAGUUGCCUUGAGGUGGUAUCACCGACUGCUAGGUGGGUGGACCAACACUCAUGAGGAGCACUGGCCCGGGUUGUUGAUUACAUCCUCGGGGUAGCAAUUCCCUAUGCAAAUUAUUAUUAGGUGAUUAGAAAAUUAAAACCAAUGUUGGGUCCUGCAGGACAAGUCUUAACACUACACGAUUUAUCAAGGGGUCCCCAUAACAACCCCGAACGUGUUAGGAGCGAUCAGUUAUGGAAUCAAACACCGGUAGCCGAAACUAAGGCAGCAAUAACGGAACAAAUCACCCGGCAAAAGGCUAGGCCUUCCGUCAUUUACCAUGUAUAUAGGUGCAUUAAUUAAAUAGCAGUUUAAUCAUAAUGAUAUCAAAAUACUCAUGUUAUCAGAUGAGACAGCUAGCACCUGCAACUAGCAAAGCUAUCAUUAGAAGUUGAGCAAGCCUACUUAGCCAAACAACAUUAGCUAGGAGGGGAAGGUGUUUGGGUUUCAUGGCAAUAUCAGGAGGCAAUUAUAUCAAGUGGUAGGCAGCGAGCAUAUAUCGAAGGGAACGUGACUCUAAUCAUAACAAGGUAUAUACGGUAUGAAGGUCACGGUCAUCUUGCAUGUGAUGUCUUUAGCUUGGAACUACUCUUGUUCGUCCUGCACAUACUCUCCAGAAUCUACAUAUUCGCUCUCUGAUCCCGGUGCUACCCAAUAUAAAAAUAACAUCCAAUGAAAACCAACACAACAUGAUGCAACAAACAAAUGAUGCAUGAGAUGAGAAUGAAGCAUGCAUCUCUAUUCUAGUCACCUGCAUAUGCAUGAGAAGAGAAGAUAAACUUCUGGACAGAACUUCACACUAAGCUAUCUUGACAUGCAUGAAGAUGUCAUGAAAAGGUGCAUCACGAGAAAACGAUGCAAAAGCAUAUAAAGAACGUUGAGAACGGAGCUACGGAUCAACCGGAAACUACGAAACAAGAUAUGGAGUCCUACGGUUCAAUUCCACCACAAGCACACUCCAAUGGCACUCUUCUAGUAUUCCCAGGUUACCACAAGUUCAAACAAACAAAUAUAGGUGGGGUGGUGCAAAGAAACUCACCACACCACCAACGAUAAUAACACAAGCUUCAAAACAACUAAAACAUGCAAUUUGUCCUAAACAGUAUCAUAGCAGUUUGUGAACAACAUGCAAAGUACCUACAGCCACCCAAAUGUGCCAAACAAGAUAUGUGGAAAAGCCAUUCAAAAUAUCUACAAGCUUGAGCAAGAAGAUAAUACAAAGGAUACACACACAAGAAGAUCUACAGGAACUAACUUGGACAAAAAUAACAGAUUUCAGGGACAGUGAAAAUCUCAGAUUUGCACUAGCUGCUUAUGCUCUGAAGCAUUUUGACAGCCUCCCAAAUGAUAUCUACAGGAAGUGAAAGUGCAUGAAAUUUAACAGAGAGCUAGACAAACCCAAAAGCUCGAACUCUCUAGUUUAUUGCCUGGGCUGAUUCCCAACACAUGAAUUUUGCAACCAGAUCAAUAGGGGAAGAAAAUAUCAGCAGAUUUCCAGACUUUGUGAAAAUCACAGGGUUUUCACAAAUCUGUAAUCUUCAGCCAAGUGUCAACUUUGGCAAUACACAAUUUGCACAUACAAACUUCUAAGCAUAAAACAAAACUACCAUGUUGUAGAGGGGUUCACCCUCUAUUGCCACAUCAAGGAAUCAUCCUCAUAGGCUCAAAACACGACAUGGCACCAAGCUCUAAACAUAGCAUCAACACAGAAAAAUGACAGUUUAUGAAGUUGCUCCAAAGUGAAAUCUGGUUCCACCAGUGGAUUCCUGGGAUGAUUCUACCCCAAAUCCUUAUAUAAAACAUGGGUACUUGCUUGGGACAAGUAGGCACAAAGCUAAGAUGAAAAUCACCCUAGAAUCACAUGAGUCAAAAUACUGCAAUAUCACAUGUGAUGCUCAUCAUCUCAUCACCUUCACUUGCACAUGCUCACACUCACAACACCAAUGGUGAACAUGAGGGGUAUCCCUCAUGCACUUGUGCCUAAGCACUACACCACACACACACACUCAUGCAUGCAUCACUAGAGCUCAUGCACACACACCUACACAUGCACUACUCCACUAGGUCAACUACUCACAUCUCAUCUACACACACACACAACUAGGUGUCCAAGAGGACACCCCAUUGAUACUAAGGCAAGAAAGACACCUUGCUCCUGUGUGUGUGUCACACACACACACAUGCACCACAAUACACAUACACACACAACAUACUCCUCCUCAUGCAUCACCACAUGUGCCACUCACCUACACAUACACACAAGGCUAAGAAUAAAGAAGAAACCUACUGCUUGUGUUCUUAGGAAAAAAUAAAUUGCUGCCCAAGCAAUGCAACAAGCUUACACUACUGCAAACAACAAAGAAGAAAAAAAUGGGUGGGCUUGGGAUCGAACCCAAGUCCUGCUAAACCACAGCACACCUACACUACCACUGCACUACUGCCCUUGGGCUCGACAGAGAGGGGAAGGGAAGCAGGAAAUGCCUCCCUGUCAAGCUACUGUGCCAAAAAACAAAGGGAAAAUGAAAGGGGCGCUCUGGGACUCGAACCCACGAUCAACUACUGUGCAAAAACACCUCCUACCUGUCUGCUAGUCGUUCGAAGCUUACUAGAGAAGGGGAGGUAACCCUCUUAGGUAAGCUUCUCUGCUAAUUCUACAAAACACGGCGGCCGGAACAAGGGACGGACGUCGGCGACGUUACAGCUCAAAUUGAGAAACAGGCUCUUGCUGGGAGGAAGAGGGGUUCACCAGGAACUCAUUCCUGGCCCUAGCUCACCGGGAGGAGCACCACACUAGCACCUCGACGACCGGCGACGACGAAAACACAGGAACAUGACAGCGGCGCUACUACGGCUCCAGGAGGGAUCUAUUCGUAGGGAAACGGGAAGGAGAAGGUGGUCGCUCACCCAGGUCAUGUCGGGGUAGUCUUCGUCGAUGAAGUAGCGGGAAGAAGAGGUGGGGCGGCAUGACGACCCACUUCGGCUUCACGGAGCCGCCAUAGAGAGCGCGCCAGAGAGGAGGAUCCCCUCUACUACCGCCGGGAACGGGAAGGAGAGAGGAGCUCCAUGCCCGAGCGCGCCUUGGCCGCCACGGAGAUGCUGCCGGCGACGAGGAGGGAGGACGGUGAUGAUCUCUCUGAUCGCAGGGGAAGAAGGAGAGCGGGCGGAGGCGAGGAGGGAACCCUAGGACAAGGCACGCACGCCGAGGGAUUAAGUAGGGGUCGAGGGGGUCCGCCUCGACGCCCGUGAAGCCACGGCAUCGACCCUCUCUCUCGUUCUCUCUCUCAUUCUCUGACGGAAAGCAGGACACGAGGAGGGAGACGGCGUCAACAGGAGAGGAACGGGGAAUGGGCUACCGCACGAGGGAAAAACCGGAAAGGGGGAAUUAAUUCCUAAGUUGCGCCCUGUGCGCUAGAUAGGUUACAGGCCAGCCCAAUAACUCGGGCGGGUGACACUGAGGUGGCUUCGAAGGUGCACCCGGGGUAAUACGCCUUCCCUAGGCAAAGGCGGUCUCCAGCCACCCUGUGUCCACUUAAACACGGGGGCGGCCGUUGGGUUGCCUUCAGUGGACCCGCGUGUAGGCCUUCUUCCUCCUCCAUCGUGGACCAGACACGGGGCAGGGGAGACAAGAUCGAGUAGUAGCGGCGCCAUCCCUGUGGCGAUAGCUGCCUCCAGCGAGCCUGCGCGCACCGAGGCGAUCGCUAGGCCGCGCUGCUCCCAUCCCGGAGCUUGGCGUGUGCGACGAGGGGGGGGUGUAGCAGCAUCGGUGCUGGGUCCGUGGAGGGUGUCAUCGACCACCAUCGGCCAUCAAUGCAUGAUACCCCCACAGAAGUAGGGACGAGACGGGGGGUUCCACGGAGGCGGUGCAAGGUCAAUAGGGUUGCUGGGGCAAUGGGGAGCCCUGCAUGGGGGAGAAUUUUUGAGGGGAGGCCGGCGGAGACUUUCGCCAUUCCCAAUGAUAUUGCGGAUGAGAGAGCGAGCGAGGAGCUCUAGGGGGCACCCAGGGGAGAGGGAAAUGAACUGGGGUUCAGCANNNNNNNNNNNNNNNNNNCAGCAGGGGUCCGGGGAUAGCUAAAUGGAGAGCGGACAACGAAGGGGAGCUCGGGUCCACCUCUGGUGCACUCUGGCGCGGCUAGCACACACGGACUGAGCGUCUUGGAUUCUUGCUAGCAUCAUGGAGGGAGUCAAAGGUGGAUAGAGGAGUCUUCUGGUGCGCUGAGACAUGCUCUCACAGCUGGACACGAGUUGCAAGACAUGAACAAGGUGCAGAGCACCAUUUCUGCAUGCUAGGGAGGUGGUCACCAUGUGCAUUCAUGCCAAAGUGGCAUUUUGGUUAGUCAAAGUUGUUUGGCAUGCAAGGCAUGCAUGCAUGAGUGUGAUUGAAGAGUUUGGCCUCAUAUGGGUUAAUGCAGGUGGGGCUUCCGCCGUGAUUAAGUUUGCAACAACAAACUUUAGGGUAGUACAAAGUAUUUUUACGAUGAGGAAUUUGAAUGAAAACCUUGUCUAGUAGUCUUAGGCAUGGAAGGACUACAAGACUACCAAGUUUCAGAUCAAUGAGAGGAUUGUAGCUAGCACUUGCAGUUCAAGGCCAGAUUUCUGCCAAAAAUCAAGUUUCAUAAGGGCUGCUCAUAUUUUCCAUAUGAGCAUGUCGACUCUCACAUGACAAACCAAUGUUUUAACCUCGCUGAUUCCGGGUCCACAAUGGAUUGAAUAGUCAAGAGUACAUGGAGUCACCUGAUCGAGCCGCAUCAAACAUACAUGCAGGUAUAACCAUUUUGUGGCGUCUUUGUCAGAUCAAGAGGGUGAGAAAGCUAAACUUGAUGAGUUGGAAUCCCCCAAGUGACCUAUAAUCUUUGGAAAGCUUGGCAUAGGAUUGCAGAAUACAAUGCUAUUACUGCCAAACAAUAUGGGCACCGGAUAAGCUAGCUUAAUUCCAUUGAUCAUAAUGUGAUAAAUAUGGCUAUUCGUUUAAGCUAAAAGACCCCAAGUAACAUGUUUUUUAAAUAAUAAAGGCUCAUGCUUAGUGUAUAGGCUAAAACGACGUGUAUUAGAUUCGAAAUUAUAUAGAAGUAUGUACAGAAAUUUGGGGUCGAUAUAGAGAUAAUGAGCCGGUAGCUCAAAUAUGAUAGGCCCGCAAAUUGGCCACGUUGACAUACUCAAUUGUUGGUUUUCUUUGGGGGACCCUUGUUAGCUAGGUCAACUUUGUGUGUAAGGAGCUUUAACUUCUCGACGGUGCAGACCAACUCAGGAUAAGCCGCCUCUCCUUCCUCGCAUUCUUGUACUAUCUUCCUGUUGCCUCCCACCAUUAUGGUUCCAUUCGGACCCAUCAUUUGAGCUUGAGAUAGAUGUAACAAGGAUGAGCCAUGAACCGAGCAUAAGCUGGCCUUUCGAAGAUACAGUGAUAACGACUUUUUAUCUUUACCACCUCAAACAUUAGGGAUUCACGUCUGCAAUUGAAUUCGUCCCCAAAAGCGACGUUCAACUUGAUCUUCCCUACCGAGUGGGCUGAUUUCCGAGGAAUAAUGCCAUGAAAAACCAUGGUGGAAGUCUGCAGAUUUUUAUCGUGAAGGUUCAUCCACGGGAAGGUGUCAUAAUAUAGGAUGUUGACGCUGCUCUCUCCAUCCAUGAGGACCUUUGUGAGGGUAUAACCACCAACUUGAGGUGCCACCACCAAAGCUAAAUCUCCUGGGUUGUCAACUCGAGGAGGGUAAUCCUCUCUGCUCCGAAUGAUCGGCUGCUCAGGCUAGUUGAGAUUUCUAGGGACCACCGGCUCAACCAUAUUGAUGGCGCUCUCCUUGUGUUUCAUGUCUUGUUUGCAACUGUUGGUGAAGAAAGUAUGGUAUUGGCCAUUGUUCAGCUGCUUAGGGUUGCUUUGAAAACUAGCUUGAUUGUUAUGCUACUGAUUGCCCUGAUCAAGACGCUUCCCAUUUCUAAUGUUCCAUUGGUGCUGAAAACCUAAUGGCGAGCCGCCUGGUACAUUAAAGCCUGAGACUGGGAAAUUGCCAAACGAGCCGCCCUGUGAGCCGGGUUGACCAUACUACCCGGGUGUCCACCAUUAGCCCCCCGGUGGCUCUAAAAAGCUUCAUUCCGGAACUCCUGCGUAAUAAAACAAUUUUCCCGUGAAUGAGUAGAUGGUUUAUCCUGGAUAAUAUGCUUUGGGUAGGGUGCCUUGAGUGCUUCCUCAUAAUUAUGUGGCUUAUACCAGUUAUAAGGUCCUCGAGAGCGGCGCUGUUUCUUGAACCCAGUAUUCGUCUUAGCCACGAACUCUGAACCGCCCUGAGGCUGCUUUCGUUUGUUAUUCUGGCCUCCUUGGUUUCCACCUAGCUGGUUUCCGUUGUCACCAUUGCUUUUACCAGUUUUCUCUUUAUCCGAGCCGGGAUCCUUCAUGAUCUUUGACUUAGCAUACCUUGUUAGAACGUCCAUUAAGUCGCCCAUAUCUUGAGUGUUCCAUUUUAGACAACCAAGAUUGAGGACUAGCAGCUGGAAGUGACAAUUUUUCGCCAGCAUAGGGACGGCUUGGGAGGUCGUAAUGCUAUCCAUGAGUGGAUAAUCUCCACAACACGGCGCGUCCAAUGAUGAGCCGACUCGCCAGUACGUAGAACACAAUGAUCAACAUCCACAAUUGUCAUCAGCCAUUUGUUGGUUCCUUGAAAAUUCUUGAUAAACAAGUCCUUCAGUUCAGCCCAAGUAUUAAUGGAAUUCGGAGGAAUAUUUUUCAGCCAGGUUCGAGUUGGUCCUUCAAGCAUCAUCGUCAAAUAUUUUACGCAUGCCGCAUCGCUGACGUCGAGCAUAUCCUUGGCCAGCUCCUAACUUUCAAUCCGUGCUACCGUCUCAAGAUCUACUCUAUAGUUUGGUACCUUGCGAGGUCCUUUAAAGUCUUAGGAAUAUGCUCGCUGGAAAGAGUCAGAGAUAGAAAAGGAAAGCCGAUCAUUCUGGUGCUGUUUCUAGCCCCAUGUAUUGCUGACUCGGGUUUCACCACAUGCGGUUGGCCUGCCCGCCUUGUUGCUGCUUCUGCCUCCGCCGGUUGGGUGGCUCUUGCCGCAUCAACUAGGUCUUGGGCGUUCUGUAAUCCUUGCCGGGUUGGGGAAACCCGGGGCUGCUGUCGCUGCCCACCCGAGACUCCUCGUGACGGCUGGCAUAUGGUGUGGAGUGCAUCCAAUCUCGACUGUAACAGUAUUGUGCCUGUUGAACUACAGAUGUCUUCAGGAUCUCAAUGGCGUUACUCGCAUCAAUCUCAAUUGGGGAAUUUCUGUGAAUAGGGAGCGCCUCCAAACUACGUGUUGCUGCUAGCAUAUUGUCAACGGGGUUGGAGAAGUGACACUAUGGUGAAGCAAAAAUGUUGUGCUGACGGCUAAGCCGACGAGGGCUCAACCGGCAGGGGCUGAGCUGGCUCUUCCAACCCGCGCGACAGAUUUUGUGCAACGCCUGGUGUGUGUAGACUCGUGAACAAACGAGUCAGCGUCAUGUUUUGCGGCAACCGGGACUAGUGCCUCAUGUGGUGCACCUCCCCAUAAGUGUUUUGUUGAAGCCCUAACCGCCAAACAUCUGUCCUCAAACGCUCCGACUCAUCUCGGAUUCUAGCCUGCAACUCCGCCAUCCGGCUGUUUUCGGCAUCGAUCUCUUGCUCGACCUUGACCAUCUCCGCAUGAUGUUUUACUAGUUUUGCGUUAUGGUCCUCCUGGUUCUCCACAGUGAGAGGACCCUCAAAAAGUUUGGCCAUUUCAGCCGCCAGAUCACUCAUGGCCUGAGUGGGCGUUUUGCUUGACCCAGCGCCGUUGGUGGCUUCUUCUGUAGACGGACCCAGAGCCGUCGCGGCUCCUGACAUGUACACCGUAACUUGAAGGGGUGGUUCAUCUGGCUCCCUGGCAGCUUCUACUUCCAAAAAACCCCCCAGGUCCUUCAGAGAGAUGAAAGAUGGAUCUGGUGUCUCCUAUGGAUGACUCGUCGUCAUGCUUGGCAAGCAUAUCCUCGCUACCCACCGUCUCGUCCUUGAGGUUGAUCCUCUCGUUGUACCCGACGAAUAUGUGAACAUGACCGGCUUGACACCGAUCGCUUUGGGCGCACCAAGCCGGCUCUACAACGCUCGUGUAGAUGUCCGGCCCGGGUGCCAAUGCGUAGAUCUCGCCCAAGGCGACCUGCUAACUAGACUUGACAAAGUCGGCAUGAGGGUCCCUGCCCGGAUUGUUAGUGUAGCAAUCACCACGGCGAUUCUUAAUCAUCAUAGCAAUUGCGUAACUCUCAAACCCUGGGCGGGUUUCCACCGAGAACUCAAUUGCACCUUGCGACAGCCCCACGGAGGGCACCAAUUGUUGUGGUUUUGUCAGGACAGAUGUCCUCGUCAAAGGACUUAGUGGCAAGGCCAUCAUCGCUAUGUGGCCAUUCAAAGAGGUUGAUCAGGAACGGGAGACGGAUUUACCCAGGUUCGGCCCCUCCGAUGAAGGUAAAAGCCUAUGUACUGCUUUGGUAUCUAUAUUGGUCGAGAUCUCGAUUACAAGGAUGUGGAAUAGCUAACCUAGCUCUCGAGAGUUUCUUGCCCCCUCUUUCUAGCUCGAGGGCUGCCCUUUUAUAUAGGAGGAGGCCUCGAGUUUACAACAGAGUCCGGGUCAAUAAACACCCAUGAUCUAUUACAAUUUUACUUUAUCUUGUUUCCCAAGUUUGGGAAAGAUUUCGGAGUCUUCCACCUCGUGGGCCUUGAAUCGCCAUGCUCAGUUACUGGGCCACGGAGGCUUACUUGCUAAGUCUUCCUAUUGUCUUUCUACGGCUUCAUUGAGCAUAUGCUUCUUGAUUCGCAUGUAAUCUAACCCGACCCAAACAGCGGGUUAUACCGUGGGGUCAUAUCCCCGACACAAACCAUAGCAUUAAACAUCAAGUCCCCUCUACUACCAUACGCAACAAUCCCCUUAAUCAGGUGUAAGCUUCUAUCACUCUAGCCAACCACUAUAAAUGAAUUAUGAACAUGUUGGAGCACCAUAUAGCGAUAAUCCCACACGUGUGACUAGCACAGAGGGUAGCAUAGGACAUCAUCAAAAUAAAACAUACUCAGAAACUAAUCAAGAUCAUCAAUCAACCCAAAGGACAACAUAAAUCUACUAAACCAUCAUUGGAUGGCAACAUAUCAUUCAUUAAUAAUAUGUGGCUUGAAACACCAUGUUCAAGUAGGGGAUUACAGCGGGGUGCCGCAGAGUGGAAUACUGAAAAGAGAUGAGGAAGGUGAUGAAGACAGUGAUGUUCCUGAAGUUGAAGACAGUGAUGUUCCUGAAGACGAUCACCGUGGCGAUGGUUCCCCGAGCGGCACUCCGGCACCACUGGGAAAGAGGGGGAGAGAGUCUCUCACCUUAGGCUUCCUCCUCCAUGUCCUCUCCCAAGAUGGGGAGAGGUUCUCCCUCCGGUCCUUGGCCUCCAUCUCCCCCGAAGGGGCGAGAGACCCUCCUAGAUUGGAUCUAUCUCUGUAUUUAUCACCUGUUUUCUCAACUGUUUUCUCUUAAGGUUGGUUUUUCAUUGAUAUAGAGAGUUGCGGUGACGAGGCGGAGAGUGUCUCCUAAUUUCUUAGGGCUUCUAUAUUUAUAGAAUUUUUUGACAUUGGAAUCAUGCAAAAAGAAUUUACGAGGGGGCCACAAGCUGAUGAGACCGUCGACAAAACGAUGGCGCAAAUAAUCUGCCCAGUCUUUCACGGUGCAAAAACAACAGUAGUCAAUAUUUCUCCUCAACUUUCAAUAGCUCCGAACAUCCAAAUAAAACAACGAUCGUGCACGCGUACUUAGAUUAGAUGGAGCAGUUAUUUCUGCUCUCGCCCGGCCUCGCGUACGUCCACACAAGCAGAUAAACUUGUGCAACAAUUUAACCACGAUCAAGAUCACUUUAGAAUUAGGUUUACGAGAUGAAAACCUAAACAAACAACAUGUAAACCCCGAGAGUCGUCGGAAUCACAUGGCCGAGAACAUAAGUACUCAUAUAUCAUAUUACAGAUUAUAGAUAGCAGCCUCCAAUCUUCACGCAUCAAUCACAAAUCCUAGAUGGAUUUUUCUCAGGAACACAUAGACUUGGCCGCCGGAAACUUGGUGAUUUCUAGGUCUUAUUUUCUCUGAAAAAUAACUUCAACCAAAGCCACCCGGUACACGGCCGAAGCCGGCCUUUUAUAUAGGCUAAGAAAACGAUCAGGCCGAACCGACUUAGACAAAGAUACUACACGGACUCUCUCUCUCCCGCCUUCCUAAUCACAUCUUAACUAAUACUAGUAAGUUUGCACGUGCAAUGCACGUCUUAAUCGACAUCAAAUAAUUGUUGCCUCUUCAUUUCUUGCCUAUCUCCAAUCAUUCAUAAAGAUUUUAUAGUUUAAGUCCUCUUAUUUCUUCGCAUAGUUACAUGAUGUAUUCAUCAUUCUUUAUAAAUUGGUAAGAUGAUCUAACUGUAAUACCAACCACCCCGCGUCUACGUGAUGCCUAAGGGAGGUCCCUAAGCACUUAAACGGGUAUAAUAACAAUGCACCUUGUUCCUUAAGCAUCCAAAACGGGACACCUUGUAAAUAAUACCAUUGACAAUAUAAGUCUCAUGACAUGAAUAGACAAGCAUUCAAAUCAUACGUAAGCGUCCAAUUUUGAUUUGACAGAUAAUAAGUCUAUACUUUGAGUGUCAAAAGGAAGUCCAAAACAAACCAAAAAGUGUAAGCAAUAUAACAUAGGAAUACUAAAAACGAAAUGACUAUUGAAUAGAAUAAAAUACCGGGUAGUACAAUAUUCGAUACACCAUAAUGCUUCUUUCUCAUUAUUAUUGUAAAAUGACAUUCAUAUUACAUUCAAGGAGUCAUUGCUAUUUUCAUCAAGUGCAUGCUCUUGAUAGUCCAACAACUGAUUUGAAGAUGAUGUUGCAAGUUUUGCAAUGCAUAAAAUAAUUUUUGUGCAAUUGCACCUUGAAUGGUAAAAAGUGUCGAUUCAAGAAAAAUCAAGAGCGCAACGAUUGGUGUGAAUAAAAGAUGCAUAAUAGAAAAAAGGGACUUUUUGUCAAAAACAAACUCAUGUACGUAAUUUGCUUACGGAAGAUAACCCUAUGACAAAAAAUAGUGUAACUAUACAAACAUACCAUAAAAUAACUCUUAGGCCUUGCUUGGAUUGUCGGUUUGCCUCCCAAAUACCUCGAUAAUCAAGACGUCGUUUUUAUUCUAGACGGAAAUCACACCGCAGCCUGUAUUUUACACCUGUAAAUUAAAUCUGGAUGUAUAAACUUACACCGAUUCAAGCGGGGUCUUACAGUAAGUUUUUUGCGUGAGCUAUUGGAGUUGCUCUUAUACCAUAUUAAUGCUUUGUUCAUGACGAUUUUUGGCAUUAUCAAAUGGAUUGGUAGCAUGUACAAAAAAACUGGAUUGAUAAACCGAACAUCAAGUAUACAAUGUCAAAUGCAUACAAAGAUUGAGCUUCCAUGAAUGUCUGUGGCAAAGCCAGUAAAUUAAACAGUGUGGCAUAAAACUAACAACAUGACUGACUGAAAAUGAUUGGUACACAAUUUUUUGCGAGGUAAAGGGAGUUUUAUUGCAAAGUUGUAGUGUUACAAUCACGAGGCCAUAAAUCCUCAAUACAAGGUGGAAUUGUACAUUUUUUAUUUUAUUAAAUUAUGUAAAUUAAAGAUAACAGAAUGCUCCAGAAUAAAAGUGAUUAAAGACUGGACAAUUGAUUUUCUAGGGUUACAUCUAGCAUUACGUCUAAUGACCUAUCACUACAAUCAACCCAAUCAUUGGCUUCACCUACAAGUUCUCGGUCCACUAUGAUGCCACUUAAAAAGUUGAUGUUUGUCUUGUGGACCAACUUAGCUGACUUUCCAGACUCAGGCAGAUGCAUGAAAAUUGUACUGCCAGCUUCUAUUACCUUGUUACUAUGAGGUAUAUGUUGUAUGCCCUCUAUGUAUUUAUGCAUACAAAAAAACAUUAACGAACACCGUGUAGCUGAGAUGACAUUCAGAAGCAUUUACGUAAGAACUAGUCCUGCACUCGUCCAUGUUGUGACAGCCCGAGACCGACGCCCAGAAGAUUCCCUUUCCUUUCCGUUUUCGUCGUGUGUCUAUUUUUAUUCUUGUCGCAUCAUCAUCGCAUCAUGCGCAUCAUCAGGAUUGCAUCGGCAUCCCGUUGCCGCCUGUUUUCAAAACUUGCAUCCGUUGUUAGUUGCUGGUUCGCGUCGUUGUCCGUUCUGAGCCCGACCGCACACGCACGCGUCCGCGGCAUCGACGAAACCCCGUUUUUAAGGUGGGCGUAAAAACUUCCUCUGAUCGGGUUGAUAUUUGUCGUGCGGUAUUAUUUUUAUAUAGGUAGGUCGCCUGUCAAGUUUCGUCGCAAUCGGAGACCGUCUGGUACCCGAACGGUCGACCGUAGCGGCACCGUAUUCGGUCUACCGUCGGACGUUUUUCGGUGUUUUAAAAUCGUUGCCGCGCCGCCCGUUCACCCUCCCGUCUCUGGAUAUCCCCUCCACACAACCUCUCGUCCGUCACACGUUCGGAAUUAGUCGAAUCCGACCGUGAGGUUGGAUCCGAGUCGAAAUUUCGCUAAACCUAGCCCCCCCCCAUUUGUCUAUACAUAGACCCCCUCCUCAAAUUUAGGCAGCCAACCCCCCUCUGCCUCAAAAAUCGUGCCUAAACCUAACCCUAUCCCACCUCUCUCUCUCCUCCCACCAGCCCCAGCCGCCGCGGGCCCGCCGAGCCCAGAUCGGGCCCGGGCAGGCCCAUCAGCACGCUACCGCCGUUAGGCCGAGCCGCCGCCAGCUCCCAUGGCGCCGCCUCCUGCCCGCAGCGCCAUGCCGGCCCCGUCCCCGUCCGGCCCCGCCGCCUGCCCCGUGCCUCGCUGCCUCCUGCCGCCGCCAUACGAGCGCAUCCCUCGCCCCGAGAAGCUUCGCAGCCGCCGGCAACCACCACCAGUUCGAGCCGGCCGCCGCCCGCGCAGAUCCCGCCUCCCCGCGACCCCGCUGCCCUGUACCCGCCGGAUCCAGGCCCCUUGCGCCGCGCCGGCCACCGGAGACGCCGGCCUGAAGCCCCACCUCACCGUCAACUCUUGCGCCGCCGCCCCUGUCAUGCUCGAGCACGAGCAGAACGACGGGAACGGCCAGCCCGUUGCCAGCCGCUGUGGGUCGGCCCAGCUGACGCCUCGCCUCGGCCUCUUCCGCGCCGGCCCAUCGCCAGCAACCAGUUCGGCCUGCCACCCCCUAACCCUGCUUGGGCCGAGCCCACCCAGUAAGACCUCUUGCCGGCCUAACCUGCGCCCUGGGCGUAACUUUUUAUACUGCGCCUUGUUAUCCAGUAAAUAACGUAUAUUCGAAUGCCCGUGGAAUAUUAUCCGUAAGUCGGAUCGCGAAGAUUUAGAUAUGUAUCUCGGGUAGAAUUUCGCGUAGAAUCUAUUUUGACAACUUGCAUAUUUAUUUGACGACGUUUAGGGUGCCUAAUGCCUCGUUUUGCGUGCUGUUUCACUAGGAUCCGUUCCGUAGUUAUUCCUCGUGCGUGUCCGGACUGCCCGUAUCCCGUAGAUUAAAUGUCCAUGUUUUAGGGACUAUUUUUCCGUGUAUUUUAGAGCGGUAAUAUGUAUUUUUGCGUGUAGGAAUUUGCCAAUAGUUUAUUUUCCCGUAUCUAGGUGUUUAUCUUGCAUUAAUGUGCGACAUUAUUUUAUGUUGCAAACCCCACAUAUUUUAUAUGUGCAAUUAGUUUUAGCUUUCGAGUAAGUUAGUUCGCGAGAUAUUUUGCUAUGUUGCCCUUUUGAUUAAUUCGUAGGAUUUAUGCCGUGCCUCAUUUGAAUUAGUUGUCAACUAGUGAGUUGGUCUUGGAUGUUUUGUUUAGCCCCUGGUAUUUUUAGUUGCAAUAGAAAUGCAUGUUUCGGUGUGUUUUUCUUGCUCUCAAGUUGCUAGAAAUAGUGCUGUUUUGGACGUGCUAAAAUAUUUCUAAGUCUGGAAUCUGUUAUAUUUUGUUGUUGUCUUGUCUUGCUUGCAUCUUGUGAUCUGUAGCUCUUUUGAGGUUGGUCCAAUGGAGUAAGUUGUAGCCCUUGUGUUUCUCUAGCAUGUUGUGAAGUUUCAUGCCAUUUGGAGUCCUGUAGCUAUAGGUUUUGCUGCUGUCAAUAUAGCUUCAGAUCGAAAACUGCACUUUCAUGAGGUGUAAUUUUCACUAAGUCUGAAAUAGUGUGUGAGAUGUCAUUUUGUGUCUUCUUUUCCGAGUGCUCCUUGAUGCCAUGCUAGUUGUUGUUAGUUGUUUGCAGUAGUGAUUCUUGCCCUCUUCCAUGCCAUGCCUUGCUUGAGCUUAUCGGAGUUGCGUAGCCGUAGUUGUGGGGCAUAGAAAGUGCCAUGUGGCUGAUUUUGGCAGAUUGUAGUGAUUUCUUGUUUAGCUCGUAGAUUUUGAACCAUAGCUCCGAUUUGAUCGUGUCCUACAUGAAACUUGCUUAGAAUCUCGUGUAGUUUCAUUUUCUCUUGCUGGUUGUAUGUUUUGAAGUCCUCGUAGGCGUCGUUGCACACAUAUUGCAUUCAUGUCAUCAUAUCUUGCGAUGCUUGUAUCUUUUGAACCUUAGCUCCGUUGGAGAUGUUCUUUAUGUGUAGGUUGCUUGAAAUGAUGCGUAGAAUCACAUGAACCUAAUUGUUUUGCUGUUGAACAACCAAUUAAAUGUGUUAAUUUAGAUCUGGACAGAAUUGUAAAUUAACAUGUGAGGUCGUCUCGGAGAUGCUAUAUGACAUUUCCGACCUCAUUUAAAAUGUCUAGAUAGGUAGUUUAAUUUCCGCUUCACCUCGUGCAUGUUUAACCACAUUUAAUAUUGCCGUGUAUCUAAUCUGGAUAUAACUAAAUAAUUAACGUGGAGUUUCGUCAAUAUGCAACUCGUUGCAUAUUGAACUUCACUUAAGGUGUAGUGUUUGAUUGCGUGAAUUGUCAUGCCGUGACUUGCAUGUAUUCAGCUGAUCAUGCAUCAUUUGUGUUGUGCAUCGUGUGGUGAAUUCCGUGUGUUGAUUCGUGUUUCCGGUUUGCUUCGUCUCAAUAGAGUUCCGCAGCGUGCCGGAUUGUGAGGACCCGUUCGACUACGUCGGUUCGUCUGCUUCACGGAGGCAUUCUUCUUCUAAGCGGGAUCUCAGGCAAGAUGAUCAUUUCCCCAGAUACCAUUAAUAUCAUUGCCAUGCUAGAAUUAUCGCUUCUAUCGAUUAUGUCUCGUUGCCUACCACAUGUUAAAUACCAGUCUCUCAACAAUGCCAUGAUAACCUUCAACCUGUUCGACCUAGCAAACCACUGAUUGGCUAUGUUACCGCUUCCUUAUCCAUGUUGUUAGCGUUGCUAGUUGCAGGUGUAGUUGCUUCCAUGUGAAAGCAUGGGUUCCUUGUUAUAUCACUAUAUUAAUGCUAUUUAAUUUAAUGCACCUAUAUACUUGGUAAAAGGUGGAAGGCUCGGCCUUUCUAGCCUCGUGUUUUGUUCCACCUUUGCCCCUUAGUUUCGGCUACCGGUGUUAUGUUCCAUAAACGAGCGCUCCUAACACGAUCGGGGUUGUUAUGAGGACCCCCUUGAUAAUUCGUCUUAGAUUAAAGCUGGUCUGGCAGGGCCCAACUUUGGUACUACAUUGGCCUAAUAACUAAUGAACUGCAUAGGGAGUAAUUAACCCGAGGAAAUUUAAUCAACCCCCGGGCCAGUGCUCCUCAUGAGUGUUGGCCCCACCUAAGCGAUGUCCGGCGCCCCUCUGGUCACCCGGAGGUUUAGCGAUCCCGACAUCUAGCUCAUCCGUCGUGUCCUGAGAACGAGGUACGCGACUCCUAUCGGGAUCGUCGACACGUCGGGCGGCCUUGCUGGAUUAGUUUUACCUUUGACGAAAUAUCUUGUGCAUCGGGAUUCCGGUGAUGCUUUGGGUAAUCUCAGAGUUGAGGUUUUCCACUAGGGAAUCCGACGAGAUCGCGAGCUUCGUGGUUGAGGAUUUCUAUGCGGCUUGUGGUAAUUUGUGAUGGACUAGUUGGAGCACCCCUGUAGGGUUGAAUCUUUUCGGAAAGCCGUGCCCGCGGUUAUGUGGCAACGUGGAAGCUUUGUUUAACGCUCGUUCUAGAUAACUUGAAGUUAACUUAAUUAAAACUUGCCAACUGUAUGCAUAACCGUGACUGUCUCUUUCGUGAGUUCCUUCUCCGAUCGAGGACAAGGUGGGGUUAUGUCUAACGUAGGUAGGUGUUCAGGAUCAUUCAUUUGAUCACUAGUAGUUCACAUCCGAUAUGCGUAGAUCAUCCCCCUCUUUAUUCUUGUACUCGUAAUUUUAGCCACCAAAUAUGUGCCUAGCCGCUGCUGCAACCUCACCACUUAACCAUGCCUCACCCUUUAAGCUUUGCUAGUCUUGAUACCUUUGGAAAUGAGAUUGCUGAGUCCCCUGUGGCUCACAGAUUACUACAACACCAGUUGCAGGUACAGGUAAAGGUUACUUGACGUGAGCGCGUUGAUUGUACAUUUGGAGUUGCUUCUUCUUCUUCUCCUUCAUCGAUCUAGGAUGGGUUCCAGGCCGGCAACCUGGGAUAGCAAGGAUGGAUGUCGUUCUUAUUAUUCUCGUUUGUUUUCGUCCGUAGUCGGACCCUGCUCUUACUCUUGAUGUUUAUGUAAUGUACUGAUGUGACUCUGAUGUAGCUUGUGGCGAGUAUAAGCCAACUCUGUAUAUAUAUCUCUUCUUUUCAGUACCUGUACUUCUAACGAUAUCCAUUCUUGCGACACGACGAGAUGCGCUUCUAUCCCUGACGAGGCCUUCGUGCCAAAUUGAGGAUAGGGUCGCAUCUUGGGCGUGACACAUGUCAUCAGCUAUCAGCUAUCAAUGAUGAUGAGUCAUAUCAUGUAUGCUCUAUCAGCUAUCAAUGCUGAUGAGUCAUAUCAUGUAUGCUCUUAGCAUUACUAAAAAACGAUACCUGAACGACAAGAUGUAUUCUCUUGGAAAUACUCAAAAUCAAAGCAUUAACUUUCAAAUAGUAAGUCAUGAGUAUUUCAGUAGUAAAUCAUGUGCAAUGAAGUGCCUGUUCGGCAAUGGACCACUCCGGUCACUCCGCCUCCUCGGAGCUAGAAACAAGGAGCGACAGAAUGCCCGCUCCAAAAAAAAUGAACUGCACGUCGCUCCGCUCCACCGCGGAGUUAGGAGCGAGAGUGUCUUCGAACGGAUCUGAAAUCGUGGAAGCUUGCAAACCUACCAAAUGCUAGUGAACUUGUCAGAUCAUAAAUUCAUGAAAAUUUCAGUAGUAAAUCAUGUGCAAUGAAAUUGUGUAAGCUUGCAAACCUACCAAAUGCUCUAUAACUCCAUUUCACAAAAUAUUGUUGAAUACACAUAUUGAAAAUGCUAACCUAUCUAAUGCCCAAAAAAUGACACAUGCUGGUGUCAAGAUAAUGUAUCAUCUUUCGAGAAGAUAUCGUAUCAUGUUAAUUCUUAGAUCCACUCACAACCAGAAGGUGCAGCAAUCUAAAGCAGAACAAUACUCCCUUAAAUUAGCUUUUCCAACAAAGCUCUAUAAGAGAACAAAUUAUGCACAACAACAAUGUACACUGAUACGAAAUCGUGGAAGCUUGCAAACCUACCAAAUGCUAGUGAACUUGUCAGAUCAUAAAUUCAUGAAUAUUUCAGUAGUAAAUCAUGUGCAAUGAAAUUGUGGAAGCUUGCAAACCUACCAAAUGCUCCAUAACUCCAUUUCACAAAAUACUGUUAAAUACGCAUAUUUAAAGUGCUAACCUAUCUAAUGCCCAAAAAAUGACACAUGCUGGUGUCGAGAUAAUGUAUCAUCUUUCAAGAAGAUAUCGUAUCAUGUUAAUUCUUAGAUCCGCUCACAACCAGAAGGUGCAGCAAUCUAAAGCAGAACAAUACUUGCUUAAAUUAGCUUUUCCAACAAAGCUCUAUAACAGAACAAAUUAUGCACAACAACAAUGUACAAAAGAAACAGAAAACUUGGAACUGCUCUUUGGUAAAUCAUUGCUUGAUUGGAGGUUGCGUUUUACUAAAAGUUGUAAAAGAAAUGUAAAGGAACCAACAACAAGUUGCAGCAUAAAUGAUAGAGCAACAAACUGGGAUAGCUCCGUCUUUGAAACAACAAUGCCAUGGGAAGCGAGGUGAUUCUCAAAAAAAUCUGGUAAGGAAGGCCCAAAUCAGUUUAUGGAAAAUAAAAAAGAUGGAAUUAUUUAUUUCAAUGCACUUCUGAAGAAUGAAUUGUACGACCAAUUAUACAAAGGUCAACACUCAUUUUGCCUAAUAUAAAAAUUAAACUCAAGUAUCUAUAGAGUUCGUAGAAACUUUGCUCAAACCGAAUUUGAGUUUCCAAUCAAAUCUUCACCAGUCAAUGUGAUACUACUACUACAAAUUAUAUCUAUUCGUUUUCUAAAUUAGUCGUACACUUCAUACACAGUUAUUAAUCACAACAACAUUCAUUUCAUAUAGAUGUCGUUACAUAUUACCGUAUUGAGAACUGUAGAGAUAUGUCUUUUAAACAUAAGGAUUAGAAACUAUACCUGGAAUGUAGAGUUCUUAGGUGACACCUCCGCAGCCAAAUCAUAGUCUCUAAAGCUCGCUACUUCCCAGUAGAUUCAUGGUUCAGCAAGAAAAAUAUGUUCACUCUAUUUAUUUCGGACUCAGACCCUAAAGAGAAGCACCGAACAGAGGAGAGGAAGUGGUGACAUGUCCGGUGCAGGGAGUUGCCAACUUGGUCAAGGCGUCGUGCGACCCUGUGGAUUGAUCAGCUGGCAGGGUCAGACAGCAAGCCCGGGGCGGCGCACUCGAUCGGGUGGUCUAUGAGUAGUAGCAACCUACUACCAUGUUGGAUCAUCCGUUUCACAUAACCGGACGGGAGUAGCACUGCUGCUGGUAGCUGCAUGUAGGGAUCGACGGCGCCCUACGUAAAGUGAGGCAUGGAUGUAAUCUUAAGUAAUGUGAUCUGCACGUAAACUAAAAUUCAGUGCCCACAAAGAUAAAUAAAAGUUUAGUGAAAGCAAAUUCAGGGUCACCGGAGGCCGAAAGGCAGAGUGGUCGGCCCUGUGCGACUGAGACGGUCGCCGGACUACUUGGUCAGCUCACGAAUUUCCUGAGGAUGAAGGACAAACGUAUGGCGACAACGGCUGCUCCUCUAUUGGCUUUGUGCCACUUCCGGCAUGGCGACAACGGGCAUCGCACCUUCGUCGAGAGCCGCUCUGCUGGGAGCCAGGGAGGACAAGGUGGCAGAGCAAGAUCUGCGGCAACGCGGUGCGAGCUCGGGCACCAACUGCGGCCGCCAUCGCCCACUCCCUGAGGCCAUCUUCCGCUGCACCAUCGUACGAGUCUCCUAUGACACUGGGACACCUCGUGGCGGCGACGGCCGGUGCGGGCGGGGCGAGCGGCGGCGGCGUGAAGGGGCGGAGGGUGGGGCUAGCGAGCGGAGGCAGGGCUGAGCGGGGGCGGCGUGAAGGGGAGGCGGCUGGCGGGGCGAGCCUUGGCGGGGCGAGCGGCGAAGGCCGGUGCGGGCGGGGGUAGCGGCGGCGGCGUGAAGGGGCGGAGGGUGGGGCUAGCGAGGGGAGGCAGGGCUGAGCGGGCGCGGCGUGAAGGGGAGGCGGCUGGCGGGGCGAGCAGCGGAGGCGUGGCAGCGGGCGGAGUCGGGGCAAAAUUGUGGUGCGGGUGGUUGGGCAGUUGCGAAGUGGACGUGGGUAUUAGUGUUCAUGAAGAUUCGUUUUACGUUAACGACGAUUUUAGACCACAGAUGACGCGAUUAGACGGCUGAGAUGAUGAGUUGGAUCUUCCCUCUCGUGCUUUUAUUAGUAGAGAAUCUUAAGUAAUGUGAUCUGCACGUAAACUAAAAUUCAGUGCCCACAAAGAUAAAUAAAAGUUUAAAGAAAGCAAAUUCAGGGCCACCGGAGGCCGAAAGACAGAGUGGUCGGCCUUGUGCCACUGAGAUGGUCGCCGGACUACUUGGCUGGCUAACGAAUUUCCUGAGAAUGAAGGAUAAACGUAUGAAAUAAGAUGAAGAACAAUUCAUUUUUUUCACAGUUCUGAUUAUCUAGGUUAUUAAUCAUUACAAUUAACAUUAAGAAAAGACAAAUCUACUCUAACAGUCAAUUACCAAAAUGUCAUAGGGAGAAAAAACCAGGGAUCAAUAAGUACCAUCGGAUGUAUGAUGCACCCACUAUUUUUCGAUACACUAUCCACUAUUUUCGGUUGUAUGAUGCACCGUAAAAAGUUGUCUAACCCAGAUUUGAUGCAUGUAGAUGAUUUGGUUUACGAGCAAACAAUUAAUCACGAGCACGACCAUCUUCAGAAACUUGUUUUUUUAGUAUCUAUCUUGAGAAACUUGUUGACAAUCACGUAAGUAUCCUACAAAAAAAUCCAUGGAGAAUAAUAGUGACAAUAUUAAGUGUCACCCAUUGCUAAUUGAUUGAAGUGAAAAUCACAUGAGAAUUUGAUAAAUCAAAUGUCACACUCGGUCAUAGGGUACUUCUGAAGAAUAUCAAUCCUACCCUGCAUAGGAAAUGAAGAAUCACCUCAAACGAAGACAUAGUAUGGACAACAUCGUUUCUAAACAAAGUAACACAAUUAUGAAAGUUAAUUAACACAUGACAAAGUGCGUUCACAACGGCUAUAUGCGACCGCGAGCAACUAAAGUAGAGAGCCAACCUACAAGUGGGGUCAAACCGCAGUUGAUCAACCAGAAUGGCAAUCCCAGCACUGUCGUACGUCUUGGCGUUCUUCCUGAAGAGGAGCUCCUCCGAGAUGCCAUGGCCGGGCAUCACGAGUUCAGAGGCUAGCUGCACGCACCAUCUUCUGUCAGUUUCAUUCUCUGCAAAUAUUUGGGGAACCAUAAUGAUCAGAUCUAAAAAUCUACCCGCGCAUUGCUGGUGAGCCUGACCCGCUACCCUCGCCCGUCAAUGGGUCAUGAGGGAGGAUACCUAGAGGUAGGUCUCGAGGCGUAUGUCGUUGGACACCUUGAAGACGAUCCAAAGCGGCUCCCGAACUUGUCAUGCCUCCCACAAUGUCCUGCGUCUCUCUCUACACGAAUAUCCUGCGCCUCUCUCUGCACGACGCCAAUCAAUCGAUUGAUUCAUCCAUUUUUACACCCCAAAUCCAAAGGGAAUUUUAAGAAGAAUAGUGAGAGGUGACGUGGCAGAUGGCGCCGUGGAGAGCCCCAACGGCGUGACAGCCGAAGCGCGGAGGGUGCGAUCUCCUUUCCAUGGGCUUCCACCGACUUCCUCUCAACCCAUCUGCUCCUCCGUCAGCUCUGCAUCACCAUCACUGUCAGCGUUGCUCCUCUGUUGGCUUUGUGCCACUUCCGGCAUGGCGACGACGGGCAUCGCACCUUCGUCGAGAGCCGCUCUGCUGGGAGCCGGGGAGGACAAGGUGGCAGAGCGAGAUCGGCGCCAACGCGGUGCGAGCUCGGGCACCAACUGCGGCCGCCUUCGCCCACUCCCUGAGGCCAUCUUCCGCUGCACCAUCGUACGAGUCUCCUAUGACACUGGGACACCAUCUCCUAUCACACUAGGACACCUCCUGGCGGCGACGGCCGGUUCGGGUGGGGCGAGCGGGCGACGGCCGGUGCGGGCGGGGCGAGCGGUGACGGCCGGUGCGGACGGGGCGAGCGACGGCGGCGUGAAGGGGAGAACGAUGGGGCAAGCAAGGGGAGGCAGAGCUGAGCGGGGGCGGCGUGAAGGGGAGGCGGAUAGCGGGGCGAGCAGCGGAGGCGUGGCAGCGGGCGGAAUCGGGGGAAAAUUGUGGUGUGCGUGGGUGGGCAGUUGCGAAGUGGACGUGGGUAUUAGUGUUAACGAAGAUUCGUUUUUCGUUAACGAUGAUUUUAGACCACUGAUGACGCGAUUAGACGGCUGAGAUGAUGAGUUGGAUCUGCCCUCUCGUGCUUUUACUAGUAGAGAAUCUUAAGUAAUGUGAUCUGCACGUAAACUAAAAUCCAGUGCCCACAAAGAUAAAUAAAAUUUUAGGGAAAGCAAAUUCAGGGUCACCGGAGGCCGAAAGACAAAGUGGUCGGCCCUGUGCGACUAAGACGGUCGCCGGACUACUUGGCCGGGUGACGAAUUUCCUGAGAAUGAAGGACAAACGUACGAAAUAAGAUGAAGAACAAUUCAUUUUUUUCACAGUUCUGAUUAUCUACGUUAUUAAUCAUUACAAUUAACAUUAAGAAAAGACAAAUCUACUCUAACAGUCAAUUACCAAAAUGUCAUAGGGAGAAAAAACCAGGGAUCAAUAAGUACCAUCGGAUGUAUGAUGCACCCACUAUUUUUCGAUACACUAUCCACUCUUUUCGGUUGUAUGAUGCACCGUAAAAAGAUGUCUAACCUAGAUUUGAUGCAUGUAGAUGAUUUGGUUUACGAGCAAAUAAUUAAUCACGAGCACGACCAUCUUCAGAAACUUGUUUUUUAGUAUCUAUCUUGAGAAACUUGUUGACAAUCACGUAAGUAUCCUACAAAAAUAAUUCUGUGGAUAAUAAUAGUGUCAACAUUAAGUGUUACCCAUUGCUAAUUGAUUGAAGUGAAAAUCACAUGAGAAUUUGAUAAAUCAAAUGCCACACUCGGUCAUAGGGUACUUCUGAAGAAUAUCAAUGCUACCCUGCAUAGGAAAUGAAGAAUCACUUCAAACGAAGACAUAGUAUGGACAACAUCGUUUCUAAAGAAAGUAACACAAUUUUGAAAGUUAAUUAACACAUGACGAAGUGCGUUCACAACGGCUAUAUGCGACAGCGAGCAAUUGAAGUAGAGAGCCAACCUACAAGUGGGGUCAAACCGCAAUUGAUCAACCAGAAUGGCAAUCCCAGCAGUGUCGUACGUCUUGGCGUUCUUCUUGAAGAGGAGCUCCUCCGAGAUGCCAUCGCCGGGCAUCACGAGUUCAGAGGCUAGCUGCACGCACCAUCUUCUGACAGUUUCAUUCUCUAUAAAUAUUUGGGGAACCAUAAUGAUCCGAUCUAAAAAUCUACCCGCGCAUUGCUGGUGAGCCUGACCCGCUAUCCUCGCCCGUCAAUGGGUCAUGAGGGAGGAUACCCAGAGGUAGGUCUCGAGGCGGAUGUCGCUCGACACCUUGAAGACGAUCCACGCAAUAUCCUGCGCCUCUCUCUGCACGACGCCAAUCAAUCGAUUGAUUCAUCCAUUUGUUCACCCCAAAUCCAAAGGGAAUUUUGAGGAAGAAUAGUGAGAGGUGACGUGGUAGAUGGCACCGUGGAGAGCCCCGACGACACGACGGCCGAAGCGCGGAGGGUGCGAUCUCCUUUCCCUGGGCUUCCACUGGCUUCCUCUCCUCCCAUCUGCUCCUCCGUCAGCUCUGCAUCACCAUCAUUGUCAGCGCUGCUCCUCUGUUGGCUUUGUGCCACUUCUGGCAUGGCGACGACGGGCAUCGCACCUUCGUCGAGAGCCGUUCUGCUGGGAGCCGGGGAGGACAAGGUGGCAGAGCGAGAUCGGCGCCAACGCGGUGCGAGCUCGGGCACCAACUACGGCCGUCAUAGCCCACUCCCUGAGGCCAUCUUCCGCUGCAUCAUCGUACGAGUCUCCUAUGACACUGGGACACCUCCUGGCGGCGACGGCCGGAGCGGGCGGGGCGAGCAGCGACGUCGGUGCGGGCGGGGCGAGCGGCGGCGGCGUGAAGGAGCGGAGGGUGGGGCUAGCGAGGGGAGGCAGGGCUGAGCGGGGGCGGCGUGAAGGGGAGGCGGCUCGCGGGGCGAGCGGCGGCGGUGUGAAAGGGCGGAGGGUGGGGCUGGCGAGGGGAGGCAGGGCUGAGCAGGGGCGGCAUGAAGGGGAGGCGGCUGGCGGGGCGAGCAGCGGAGGCGUGGCAGCGGGCGGAGUCGGGGGAAAAUUGUGGUGCGGGUGGGUGGGCACUUGCGAAGUGGACGUGGGUAUUAGUGUUAACGAAGAUUCGUUUUUCGUUAACGAUGAUUUUAGACCAUUAAUGACGCGAUUAGACGGUUGAGAUGAUGAGUUAGAUCUGCCCUCUCGUGUUUUUAUUAGUAGCGUUGAUCACCAAAAGACAAAACAAACUAGUACUACUUUAUAUGCUCACGUAGAUGAUUUUGCAUGCAUGAAGUCCUGAAUCGUGGCUCGACGUCCUCUCGUACAACAAGCUGAACUGGAACAUGUGCUGUUGCCUUGCUGCAGUGUACAAAAUUGUCUCUUAGUUUAACUCCUUGAUUGCUACAUUGCACACUAAUAGUUUGUUUCCUUUUCUCGUUACGGCUAGCAGGAACUAUGUACCUCUCAGUGUUUCUCCAUUUUGCCUUAUAUUAACAAUACUUGUAGGGAUGGCAUACGGGGUGACAUCAUCCUCCCUCCCUUGAAAGAAAACCGUCCUCGGUUUUGAUAUAGACCUCAUAGAUAUUUUCUUGAACGCUUCAAUUGUGCACUUUAUAUCCUUUCUAACCUUAGGAAGAAUAGCAUAAAACUCACCCUCAUGCAUAAAAGUAUACCUAUUUGUUCAUUCAUGAUGAAGAGCAUUAACAUCAUGCUGCCACGGACGUCCAAAAGUAAAAGGACAAACAUGGAGUGACAUAACGUCACAUUCCAUUUUAUCCACAUAGCCAUUAAUAGAAAAAGGGAUCUUGACCCUCUGAGUAACCUUCACUUUAUCCACAUCAUUUAUCCACUUCAUAUAGUAUGAUUUUGGGUGCUCCCAUGUUGCCAACAAUGGAGACUCCACCACAUCCUUCCUAAUCAUGUUGCUAGCACUACCACCAUCAAUUAUUAGUUUGCAAACUUCUCCCUUGAUGGUACAUGUAGUUUGAAAAAUACUCUGUUGUUGUCCUUGUUCAACAAUGGUGUUGUCAUCUCGCUCAACCUUAUGGGCUAGCAAACUCUCCAUAUCAGGAUUAUCUUGAGGAUAACAUAGUAUGGUAUCAUCAUGACCUCUUUCGAUUCCAUCCUCUAACUUAGGUGUGUCCUCUUCAGAUUCUGAAAUAUUUUCCGCAUCAACAAGUAAAAUCCUUCGUUGAUUGGAGCAUCCGUGCUUCAUGUGUCCACGCCCUUCACACUUGUAGCUAAUAAUAUUACGAUGACGAGACGAAGUCGCAUUAGAUGAAACCUGAGAAACUUCCUUUGAUGCAGCCGACAUUGUGCUUUGUUCAAUGCUUCCCAACUUAUAAGAAGUAGCCGUUUAGUUUUAAACCCACCAUCGAUAGGAGAAGAACCACGUCACCCAUUAUUGUAAGUUGGACGAGUCUCAGAAACUUGCUUCUCCAAUACCCAACGUUCAAAACGCUCCGCUUGAUGAAGUAACUCGUGAAUAUCAUUAUAUUGCAUUAAAUCAACACGGUCAUGAAUCUUUUCUUCUAAUCCCUCAAAGAAACUUACCAUGGUCGCCUCUGCAGACUCGCGUACAGCUGUGCGGAUCAUCGAAACUUGCAUCUCUUUAUCGUACUCAUCAACUGAUUUUGUACCUUGCACUAGACGAUGCAAUCUACUAUGUAGCUGGCGGGUGUAAUAAGCAGGCACAAAACGUUCCCUCAUGACUCUUUUCAUCUCAGCCCAUGUCGCUGGUCGCUCUUGAGUACGGUUCUUAUUAUCCCAUCAUACAAGAGCAUACUCUGUAAAUUUCAUUGAUACAACACGAACCUUCUUUUCUUUGAAAUAGUUGUGGCCAUCAAAAAUGCUGUGAGCAUCGAAAUAAAACAACGAUCGUGCACGCGUACUUAGAUGCGGCAGUUAUUUCUGCUCUCGCCUAGCCUCGCGUACGUCCAAACAAGCAGGCCAACUUCUGCAACAAUUUAACUACGAUCAAGAUCACUUUAGAAUUAGGUUUACGAGAUGCAAACGUGAACAAACAACAUGCAAACCCCGCGAGUCGCUGGAAUCACAUGGACGAGCACAUACGUACUCAGGUAUCAGAUUAGAGAUAGCAGCCUCCAAUCUUCACGCAUCAAUCACAAAUCCUAGAUGGAUUUCUCACAGGAACACAUAGACUUGGCCGCCGGAAACUUGGCGAUUUCUAGGUCUUACUUUCUCUGAAAAAUACAUUCAGCCAAAGCCACCCGGUACACGGCCGAAGCCGGUCUUUUAUAUAGGCGAAGAAAACGAUCAGGCCAAACCGACUUAAACAAAGAUACUACACGGACUCUCUCUCUCCUACCUUCCUAAUCACAUCUUAACUAAUUUAAUUAUCCGGCAGCAUUGAUCACAAAAAGACAAAACAAACUAGUACUACUAUUUUUUAUAGGGAAGCCCUAGCGGCCAGACUACUGAUGGUUGGCUUUCAUCAGACUAGUGCUGAAUCGUUGAAUUAAAAUCAGAUUGGAGACGUGGGCCUAGUUAGUUAGCAUGCCGUAUACUAAUUGCAAUUUGUUUCCGUCAACUACUCCCAGAUAAUCACUUCACUAGCAAUAACUUCCUUCUUAUUGCUUCUUCUGUGCUUUAAAACCUGCUUUAGGGGAAAUGGUGCAUCUAGCAAACCGGAUGCGUAUCUCAUGCAUACUAUUGUUCAUCACCAAGUUCGUGCUAAGAAUGAAAGCGUACCAAUUGAUUUUGCUUCUACCAGCAAAUUUGCUUCCAUGUCAACUGGAGAUUGUUUCAAUUGGUGUUUUUUUGUCGAACAUGACAAUUUAUUUUGCAUCGUCUACAUUGUGAUGUAGACGCCAAUUUCAUGCUCGCAUCAUUUGUUUUACCAUUGUUAUGGACUCUCCGAAAAGAAUUAAAAUGGUAUCUGCAUCGGAAUAAACAUGAAUUUGCUUAUCAAGAAUUUGAAAUUUGCAUCGAAAGAAGUGAGCAUUUGCUUCCAUAGAAUUUGGAAUAUUAAUCCAAAGAAAUCAAAAUUUGCGUUCGUACAUAAGAAUGACGCCUUGCUUCCAAAGCUAUAUAUUUUGCUUCCAAAUCAUUAUAAUCCUAUUUUCAGACUAGAGAAUUGCUUCCAUACAAAUAUAGAUCCAAAGAAGUGAGCAUUUGCUUCCAUAGAAUUUGAAAUAUGAAUCCAAUGAAAUCAAAAUUUGCGUUCGUACAAAAGAAUGACGCCUUGCUUCCAAAGCUAAUAUUUUGCUUCCAAAUGAUUAUGAUCCUAUUUUUAGACUAGAGAAUUUCUUCCAUACAAAUAUAUAUUUUUCCCACUAAAAAUAAUAAAAGUUCAAAUAAAGUGGGAAAUGUUUCCACCGUGAUGAGUAAGUGUCUUCAUUAAAUCUUGAAUUUGCUUCCAUGCUCGUAAGGAAGCACUACACCAUCUACAAGGGUGUCACAAAUUGCAAGCAAAAAUGUGAGGACCCAGUCCCUUGCACUGUCGCCAUGUGGACAUAAAUGAUGUUUCUUUCUAACUUCUGACGUCUUUCCUGCAUUCAGAGUGCGUAAUCAUGUGAUGAAGUUAGCAAAAUCCGAUGAAUAAAUCCAAGAGAGACAGAGAAGAACUUUAUAACUACAAUGCUUCAAACAAUGAAAAUAUCCCUUGCAGGGGCGUUUGACACACAAACCUAUUACCUGAAGGUGUGUGUUGCUUCUUACUAACUUUUUAUGUGCUUCCUGCAAUCAGAGUACAUAACCAUGCGACGACAAAUCCAAGAGAGACAGAGAAUAACUCUACAACUACAAUGCUUCAAACAAUUGCAUAGAAAUCUUUGUGUGGUGAUUGUUCGUGCUUGAUUGUGAGCACCACAUCCCUAUAACAUGGAGGAAGAAUUAGAGAUUUGUAAAUCAUUUCUUUACUAAAUAGAAUAUUAGUGUUGUUACACGGAUUUCUGAAUUCACAUACCACCAGAUCAGUCUUGUAUAUUAACCAUUCAACGAGACCACUGAGAGUUGAGAUGGAGCCUAUAUUCAGAAGAUUUUCCCAACCUUGAUCUUGAACGAGAAUUCUCCAAGCAUCGGGUAUAACAUGGGUACACCAACAAAUUUAAUCGAAGCAAGCAUUGCAACCAAAAUAGUAAUGCAAAUCAAAACAAGGGUGAAAUCAAAGAUGAAAUGAAUCUAACCCUAGGUUGAGGAUGAGUACAUGCACGCGCCGGAUGGGGGGGGGCUAGGUUUCACACGGAGCUUCUUUGCCGAACCAAUACGAUGCGCCAACGAGGUGGGAGCGAUGGCGACGGGGCAGGCCUGGCAGGGGACCGGGGCGACGAAGGUGGUUCAGAUCAGGGAAUGACAUAGCAGCGGCGGGACGGUGCACCGGUGAGGUGGAUCAGCAGUAGCCGCAGGACGGCGCACCGGGGAGGUGGAUCAGCAGUAGAAGUAGCUAAUUUUUGGUGCUGAGGAGGAUGGCGGAGGAUCUAGCCGUCGCGGUGACCGAGCUUAGGGAUGAGCUCGCCCUUGGAAUUCGAGACGGUGUGGGGUGUCGUGGCUCGACGUCCUCUCGUACCACAAGCUGAACUGGAACAUGUGCUGCUGCCUUGCUGCAAUGAAGAAAAUUGUCUCUCAAUUUAACUCCUUGAUUUCUACAUUGCACAGUAAUGGUUUUUUCCUUUUCUCGUCACGUCUGGUAGGAACUAUGUAGCUUUCAGUAUUUCUAUGGUUUGCCUUAUUAACAAUACUUCUAGAGAUGGAAUAUGGGGUCACAUCACAAGCUAACAUGGCCCUUUGACCCCCCCCCCGGCGUGCCCAGUUGGCUUGUGGCUGACAGGGAGCCCCCUCCGGUGGUUCUUCGCUCCAUUUUUUGUUAUAUGUUCCAUAAAAAAUCACCAAAAGGUUUCGGACAAUUCCGAGAACUUGCAUUUUCUGCAUAAAACAUGACACCACAAUAAUUCUUCUCAAAGCAACAUUACUCUGGGUUAGUUCUAAUUAAAUCAUAAGAAUUGCAUGAAAGACAUAUAAAAGUAUUGUAAACAUAGGUGAAUAUUGCAUGAGUUCUUCAUAAAUUAUCGAUACGUGGGAGAGGUAUCAGGGUGUUAUAAAGUUUGCAAGUUGCCAGAGAAGUGCGGGCAUGACUUCUCGAAAGAUUUAACCUUGCAGAGAUGCUCAAACUCAUCCAUUACAAACCAAAAACAAGCUAUGAUGGAAAACGUCAACAUUGAGAUAGCACAAAGUAUCCUUGGAAACCCGAUGCACAAGAUAUUUCGUAGAAGGUAAAAGAAAUCUAGCAAAACCUCCCGACGUGUCGAUGAUCCGGAUAGGAACCUUGUAUCUCGUUCUGAGGACACGAUUGAUGAGCUACGGGUAAAGUGGCCUGAUAGAAAUCUCCCGAGUUUCCUUGGGGUCGCCCCACACGAUGGCUGUUUUGGACCAACACUCAUGACGAGCACUGGACUUGGUUGUUAGGGUUUACGGUUUAGGGUUAUGGGACAUAAAGCUGGUAAAUGGAAACUGGGGCAACAAAGGUAGAACAAAACACCGAGCAAAAGGCCAAGCCUUAUACCUUUUACCAAGUAUAUAGGUGCAUUAAAUAAGAAUAUUGUGAUUUCCCAAAGAUAUCCAUGCUAUCACAUGGAACAACCUGCACCUAUAAAUAACAACACUAUAGGAAGGGCUGAGCAAGUGGUAACUUAGCCAAACAACGGUCUGCUGAGAUGUGGAGGGUUAAAGGCUUAUCAUCGCAUUUUUUGGUGCCUUGACAAACAGUUGGUAGAAAGCUAGACAUAGAGAUAAAAAUGAGAUUACUAGCAUGGAAAUGAUUGCAGUGGUAUCCAAGGUAAUGAUCAUCUUGCCCGGAAUCUAGCUUUGAAGAAGAAGAAUCCAUGAAGUAGACAAACGGGAUGUAUACGAACGGAUCCUCACACUCCGAAAUGCCUGCAAAACUCUAGCAAUGAGAAGAAAAUCAAGAAAAAAGUGAAUGAUAUGGUAGACAACACAACAUAUUCAUGACAUGGUGUGACAAAAAAUAUGAUGCAUGUCAAUUUAAUUAUGCAUGGCAUGGCAAAGAGCACAAACAAUCUCUACACAUUAAAGUGAAGCUUAAUAUGCAACGAGUAGCAUAUUGAUGAAACUCCACGUUCGGAUUAUUUGGUUCACUCCCAUUUAUUUACUCAAGCAUUUUAAAUGUUGUUAAACAUGGCAAGAGGUGAAGCAUAAAGAAACUACACUAUCUAGGCAUUUUGAAUAAGGUCGGAAACAACAUAUAACACUUUUGAAAUGACCUCAUAUGCAAUUUUCGAAUUAGGUACAGAUAUGUCGUAAACAUAUUUGAUAUUUAUUAAACAGUAAAAUAAAGUGAACCAUGUUAUACUACACGUUAUUCUAAGCAAUUUACACAUGUAGUUUAUUUAAUUCGGACUUAAGGUUAUUUAGUUAUGAGAUGAAGCGCGUAGCAUGUGAUUAUGCAAUUUUAAAUGCAACAUCAUUUUAAAUGUUUUUAUCAUGCAUGAGCAUGAUAUUUUUAAGUUGCAUCCAAUUUUUAAUAAAUUAUGAACAUAAUAUUACAUGGGAAUUUGUUGCCAUGAGGAAAAUAAAUGGGAGCCAUUGCAACGAAAACGAAAAUGGUGCCACAAAAAUGUUCCACUUACGUGUGCGACAUUCUAGAAUGAUGGGGAGUGAUCCCGGUUACUUGGUGUCCCAUGUGGAGAUGACAAUGGAAAAUGAGGAACAUGUGAAAGUGUUCAAUUAGGACAUGGAGCAAAUACAGACAUCUCAUACAAACGUCACAAGUUCAUGGGCGUUUAUCUCGUCAUUAUACCUUCAAAGUGUGUGUUUCCGGGUACAAGUCUUGGCGUCUCUGGUUUAUAUUAUCUUGGCAACAACAAAAUAGGUAGCAGGGAUGCACGUAAGUAGAGAAGACCAAUAUGGUUCUGUUGUAAAUAUGCCCUAGAGGCAAUAAUAAAUUGGUUAUUAUUAUAUUUCCUUGUUCUUUAUAAUCGUUUAUUAUCCAUGCUAGAAUUGUAUUAAUUGGAAACACAAAUACAUGUGUGGAUACAUAGACAACACACUGUCCCUAGUGGGCCUUUGAAGGACUAGUUCGUUGAUCAAAGAUGGUCAAGGUUUCCUAACCAUAGACAUGAGAUGUCAUUUCAUGACGGGAUCACAUCAUUAGGAGAAUGAUGUGAUGGACAAGACCCAAACUAUGGACGUAUCAUAUGAUCUUGCCAGUUUAUUGCUACUGUUUUCUGCAUGUCAAGUAUCUGUUCCUAUGACCAUGAGAUCAUGCAACUCCCGUACACUUAAGGAAUGCCUUGUGUGUAUAAAACAUCACAACGUAACUAGGUGACUAUAAAGGUGCUCUACAGGUAUCUCCGAAGGUGUCUGUUAGGUUGGCAUGGAUCAAGACUCGGAUUGUCACUCCGUGUGACGAAGAGGUAUCUCGGGGCCCACUCGGUAAUGUAACAUCACAAAAAGCCUGGCAAGGAAUGUGACUAAGCACUUAGUCAUGGGAUAUUGUACUACAGAACGAGUAAAGAGACUUCCCGAUAACUAGAUUGAACUAGGUAUGGAGAUACCGACGAUCGAAUCUCGGGCAAAUAACUUACCGAUAGAAGAAGGAAAUAAUAUACGAGAUUGAUUGAAUCCUUGACAUCAUGGUUCGAUAUAUAAAGAUAUUCAUAGAAUAUGUAGGAGCCAAUACGGACAUCCAGGUCCCACUAUUGGUUAUUGGCCGGAGAGUGUCUCGGUCAUGUCUGCAUAGUUCUCGAACCCACAGGGUUUGCACACUUAAGGUUCCGUGACGAUUUGGUAUUACUGAGUUAUGUGUGAUGAUAACUGAAUGUUUUUCGGUGUCCCGGAUGUGAUCCCAGAUAUCACGAGGUGCGCCAGAAUGGUCCGGAGGUAAAGAUUUAUAUACAGGAAGUCAUAUUUUGGCUACCGGAAAAGUUUCGGGUUUUUCCGGUAUUGUACCAGGAAGCUUCUAGAAGGUUCUGGAAAUUUUCAAAGGAGUCCGGAAGUCCACCAAGGGUUCUACCAUGUCCCAAGGGUCUACAUGGGCUGAUGGGAGACACCGUGGCCUUAUUGGUCCAAGUGUACAUGUCCCUCAAGGCCCAUACAGUUGGGAAAGGUGGAAAGUCCACGUUUGUAUGGAAGGGAACGAGGGGGACUAGGAUUCCACCUCCUCCCCCCUUGGCUGCGCCCUAGGGCUAGGAGGGGCUAUUCUCGACGCCCCUCCACCUAUAUAUAGAGGGGAGGGGGCACACCAAGAGCACACACGAAGCCCUUGGCGCCCCUCUCUCUCUCCCUAGAUCGUUUUCUCCCAGUUCGUGGUUUCGGUAGUGCUAGGCGUAGCCCUGCCGGGAUAGCAACGCCACCACACCGUCGUGUUGCCGGAGAACUCAUCUACUACUUCGCUCUCGUUCACUUGAUUGAGGAGGUGGAUACUUCAUCAAUCUGUACAUGUGCUGAACGUGGAUGUGUCGUUCGUUUGGCGCUCGGUCGGGAGUUCGUGGGACGGAUCGUGAUUGGAUCGCGAAGACGUACCACUACAUCAACCGCAUUCUUAACGCUUCCGCUUAGUGAUCUAAAAGGGUAUGUAGAUACAAUCUCUCCUCUCGUAGAUGGUCAUCACCAUGGAUAGAUCUUGUGUGCGCGUAGGAAAUUUUUUAUUUCCCAUGCGAGGUUCCCCAACAGUGCCAUCAUGAGCUAGAUCUAUGCGUAGAUGACAUCUCAAGUAGAACACAAAGGAAUUUGUGGACAUUGAUAUUUAGAUUUCUACAUCCUUAGUCUUUUCUUCAUUUGGCAGUAUCGUUGGAUGAAGCGUCCCAAACCAACCUUACUAGUACGCUUACAAGAGACCGGUUCCAUCGACUGACAUGCAACUUGUUGCAUAAAGAUGGUUGGAGGGUGUCUGUUUCUCCUUAUUUAGUUGAAUCAGAUUUGACAAAGGUGGUCCUUGGAGAAGGUUAAGUAGCAACUUGUGUAUCACCGUUGUGGUUUUGCGUAGGUAAGAAUUAGUUUUUGGUAGACACCCAUACCAGCCACGUAAAACAUGCAACAAAAAAUAAGAGGACGUCUAACUUGUUUCUGCACGGUAUGCAUGUGAUGUGCAUGGCCAACAACAAGAUGUAAUAUAUUUUAUGUUUGAGAUGAUCAUGUUGUAAUAGUUAAAUAUCGACUUGCAUGUCGAUGCUAUGGCAACAUGAAGGAGCCAUAGGGUUGUCUUUAAUUAUUUUGCAUUUGGUGAUGCUUUACUUUAUCGCUAAGAGGUAGCAAUAGUAGUACAAGCAUAGUUGGCACAACAACCUCAAUGGCAGCAUGUGAUGGAGAUCAUGGUGUUGUGCCGGUGACGAUGGAGAUAAUGCCGAUGCUUUGGUGAUUGAGAUCAAGAAGUACAAGAACAUGGCCAUAUCAUGUCACUUAUGAUUUGCAUGUGAUGUUAAUCCUUUUUAUGCACCUUGUUUUGCUUAGGACGAAAGUAGCAUUAUAAGGUGAUCCCUCACUAAAAUUUCAAGAUAAAAUUGUGUUUUCCCUGAGUGUGCACCGUUGCGAAAGCUCGCCUUUUCGAGACACCACGUGAUGAUUGGGUGUGAUAGACUCUACGUUGUCCUACAACGUGUGCAAGAUAGUUUUGCUCACGCGGAACACUUGGGUUAAACUUGACGAACCUAGCAUGUACAUACAUGGCCUCGGAACACAAGAGACCGAAAGGUCAAACAUGAGUCAUAUAAUAGAUAUGAUCAACAUAGAGAUGUUCACCAUUGAAGCCAACUCAUAUCACGUGAUGAUCGGACAUGGAUUGGUGGAUUUGGACCAUGUGCCACUCGAAUGACCAGAGGGAUGUCAAUCUGAGUACGAGUUCUUAAAUAAUAUGAUUAAUUGAAUUCAUUAUCAUGAAGAUAGUCAAAAUGUAUUUGCAAAUUAUGUUGUAGAUGAUUAGCUUGUGCUAUAGCUCCCCUGUUUUUGAUAUGUUCCUAGAGAAAACUAAGUUGAAAGAUGAUAGUAGUGAUUAUGCGAACUGGGUACGAAACUGAGGAUUGUCCUCAUUGCUGCAUAGAAGGCUUAUGUCCUUAAUGCACCACUCGGUGUGCUACCCCUCGAGUGUCGUGUGUGGAUGUUACGUGAUAGUUCAGUGCGUCAUGCUUUAUGGCUUAGAAUAGAGGCGCCCACGAUGUUUUGAACGUCAUGGGACAUAUGAGAUGUUCCGAGAGCUGAAAUUAGGAUUUCAGGCUCGUGCCCGUGUUGAGAGGUAUGAGACCUCCGACAAGAUUAUUUGCCAACAAAGUAAGAGAGAAAAACUCAAACGUUGAGCAUGUUCUCAGAUUGUCUGGGUACUACAAUCUCUUGAAUGGAGUGGGAGUUGAUCUUCCAGAUAAGAUAAUUAUUGACAUAGUUCUCCAAAGUCACUGCCACCAAGCUACUAGAGCUUCGUGAUGAACUAUAGCAUAUCAGGGAUGAACUAGAUAAUCACUGAAUUAUUCACGAUGUUUGACAAUACAAAAGUAGAAAUCAAGUAAGAGCAUCAACUGUUGAUGGUUAGUAAAACCACUAGUUUCGAGAAGGGAAAGGUCAAGAAAAGGGAUAAUUCAUGAAAUGGAAAACCAGAUGCUGCUCUAAAGAAGAAACCCAAGGUUGAACCCAAACCCGAGACUAAGUGCUUCUAAUAUUAGGCCAAUGGUCACUAACGCAACACUACCCUAGAUACUAGGUAGAUGAGAAGGCUGGCCAAGUCGACAAAAGUAUAUUGGAUAUACAUGAUGUUGAUGUGUACCUUACUAGUACUCCUAUUAGUACCGGGGUAUUAGAUACCGGUUCAGUUGCUAAGUGUUAGUAACUCGAAAUUAUAGCUACGGAAUGAAUGGAUACUAGCAAGGGUGAGGUGACGAUGUGUGUUGGAAGUAAUUUGAAGGUUGAUGUGAUCAAACAUCACACACUCCCUCUACCAUCGGGAUUAGUGUCGAACCUAAAUAAUUGUUAUUUGGUGUUUGCGUUGAUCAUAGACAUGAUUAGAUCGUGUUUAUUGCAAUACGACUAUUCACUUAAAGAGAAUAGUGGUUACUCUGUUUACUUGAAUAAUACCUUCAAUGCUCAUGCACCUAAAAUGAAUGGUUUAUUGAAUUCGAUCAUAGUGAUAGACAUGUUCAUAAUAUUGAUGCCAAAAGAUACAAAGUAGUAGUGAUAGUACCACUUACUUGUGGCAGUGCCACUUGAGUCUUAUUAGUAUAAAACGCAUGAAGAAGCUCCAUGCUGAUGGAUCUUUGGACUCAGUCGUUUUUUCGUUUGAGACAUGUGAACCAUGCCUAUUGGUGUAAACGCAUGAGUAAACUCCAUGUAUAUGGAUCAUUUGGACUCACUUGAUUUUGAAUCACUUGAGACAUGCAAAGCAUGCCACAUGGGCAAGAUAACUAAAGGCCUCGUUUUUCAUGUGAGAUGGAACGAGCAAGUCACUUGAUGGAAAUAGUACAUUUUGAUGUAUGCAGUCCAAUGAGUGCUUAGGCAUGCAGUGGAUAUCAUUAUGUUAUUACUUCACUUAUGAUUUGAGUAGAAAAGGUGUAUUUGCUUGAUGAAUCAGAAGUCUGAAAUAUUGAAAAGUUCAAGCAAUUUCAGAGUGAAGUUGAAGAUCGUCAUGAAAAGAGGAUAAUAUGUCUACAAUGUGAUCGUGGAAGUAAAUAUAUAUCUAAGUUGCGAGUUUGGUAUACAUUUAAGACAAUGUGAAAAUUGUUUCACAACUCAUGCCACCUCGAACACGAUAUAGUGUGAUGGUGUGUCCGAACGUCAUAGCCGCGCCCUAUUGGCUAUUGUGCAUACUAUGACGUCUAUUAUCGAAUUACCACUAUCGUUUUGGGGUUAGGCAUUAGAGACAACCACAUUCACUUUAAUAGGGCACCACGUAAUUUCGUUGAUAUGACACCAUGUGAACUAUGGUUUGGAGAAACCUAAGCUGUCGUUUCUUCAAGUUUGGGGCUACAAUGCUUAUGUCAAUAGGCUUCUACCUGAUAAGCUCGAACACAAAGCGGAUGAAUGCAUCUUCAUAGGAUACCCAAAAUAGUUGGGUAUACCUCCUAUCUCAGAUCCGAAAGCAAAGUGUUUGUUUCUAGAAAUGAGUCCUUUCUUGAGAAAGAGUUUCUCUGGGAAGAAUUGAGCGGGAGGAUGGUGGAACUUGAUGAGGUUACUGAACCAUCACUUCAACCAGAGAGUAGAAGGGCGCAUGAAAUUGUUCAUGUGGCGCCUACACCCAUUCAAGUGGAAGAUGAUGAUGGUGAUCAUGAAGCUUUGGAUCAAGUUACUACCAGACCUCGUAGGUAGACAAGGACACGUAAUGCUCCAGAGUGGUACGGUAAUCGUGUCUUGGAGGUCAUGUUGGUAGACAAAAAUGAACCUACGAGCUAUGAAGAAGCAAUGGUGGGCCCGGAUGCUGACGAAUGGGUGAACGCCAUGAAAUCCGAGAUAGGAUCCAUGUAUGAAUAGACUUUGGAAGAACUACUUGAUGGUCGUAAGGCUGUUAGGUACAAAUGGAUCUUUAAAAGGUGAUGGUAAAUGUCACCAUUAUAGAAAGCUCGACUUGUCGGAAAGAUGUUUUCGACGAGUUCAAGCGGUUGACUAUGAUAAGACUUUCUCACUCGUAACAAUGCGAAAGUCUAUUGGAAUUAUGUUAGCAGUUGUUGUAAUUUUUGAUUAUGAAAUCUGGCAUAUGGAUGUCAAACCAUUGUUUCCUUGACGGUUUAUUUCAGGAAAGGUUGUAUGUGAUACAACUAGAAGGUUUUGUCGAUCCUAAGGAUGCUAACAGGUAUGCGAGCUGCAACAAUCCUUCUAUGGACUAGAGCAAGCAUCUCGGAGUUGGAAUAUACGCUUUGAUGAGAUGAUCAAAGCAUUUGGGAUUAUACAAAGUUUAUGAGAAACUUGUAUUUACAAGGAAGUGAGUGGGAGCACUAUAGAAUUUCUGAUAAGUAUAUGUGGUUCACAUAUUGUUGAUCGGAAAUGAUGUAGAAUUUCUAGAAAGCAUAAAGGGUUGUUUGAAAGGAGUUCUUCAAAGAAAAAACCUGGGUUGAGCUACUUGAACAUUGAGCAUCAAGAUCUGUAGAGAUAGAUCAAGACGCUUGAUAUAACAUUCAACGAAUACAUACCUUGACAAGAUGUUGAGAGCGUUCGAAAUUGAUCUGUCCAAGAAGGAGUUAUUGACUGUAUUGUAAGGUGUGAAUUUGAGUAAGACUCAUAGCCCGACCAUGAUAGAAGAAAGAGAAAGGAUGAAGGUCGUCCCCUAUGCCUUAGACGUAGGCUCUAUGGUAUGCCAUGUUGUGUACCACAUCUAAUGUGUGCCUUGCCAUGAGUCUGUCAAGGGGUACAAAGAGUGAUCCAGGAUUAAAUCACUGAACGACGGUCAAAUUUAACCUUAGUAACUAGUGGACUAAGGAAUUUUUCUCGAUUAUUGAGGUGAUAAAAGAGUUCAUCGUAAAGGGUUACAUUGAUGCAAGCUUUGACACUAAUCCGAAUAACUUUGAGUAGUAAACCGGAUUCAUAUAGUGGAGGAGUUAUUUGGCAUUGUUCCAAGUGAAUCAUAGUAGAAGGAUCUACGGUAUGACAUAGAGAUUUGUAAAGUACACACGGAUCUGAAUGAUUCGGACCCGUUGACUAAAAAGCUCUCUCACGAGCUAGACAUGAUUAAACCCCAGAACUGUAUGGGUGUUAGAUUCAUUACAAUCACAUAGUGAUGUGAACUAGAUUAUUGACUCUAGUGCAAGUGGGAGACUGUUGGAAAUAUGCCCUAGAGGCAAUAAUAAAUUGGUUAUUAUUAUAUUUCCUUGAUCAUGAUAAUCGUUUAUUAUCCAUGCUAGAAUUGUAUUGAUUAGAAUCUCAAAUACAUAUGUGGAUACGUAGACAACACACUGUCCCUAGUGAGCCUGUGAAGGACUAGUUCGUUGAUCAAAGAUGGUCCAGGUUUCCUAACCAUAGACAUGAGAUGUCGUUUGAUGAAGGGAUCACAUCAUUAGGAUAAUGAUGUGAUGGACAAGCCCCAAACUAUGAACGUGGCAUAUGAUCAUGCGAGUUUAUUGCAACUGUUUUCCGCAUGUCAAGUCUCUUCCACUAUUACCAUGAGAUCAUGCAACUCCCGGACACCGGAGGAAUCCCUUGUGCGUAUCAAACGUCACAACCUAAGUGGGUGACUAUAAAGGUGCUCUACAGGUAUCUCCGAUGGUGGCUGUUGGGUUGGCAUGGAUCAAGACUGGGAUUGUCACUCUGUGUGACGGAGAAGUAUCUCGGGGCCCACUCAGUAAUGCAACAUCACAACAAGCCUUGCAAGCAAUGUGACUAAGGAGUUAGUCAUGAGAUAUUGUAUUACAGAAUGAGUAAAUAUACUUGCUGGUAACAAGAUUGAACUAGGCAUGGAGAUACGGACGAUCGAAUAUCGGGUAAGGAACAUACCGAUAGAUAAAUGGAAUAGUAUACAGGAUUGAUUGAAUCCUUGACAUCAUGGUUCGACUGAUAAAGAUCUUAGUACAAUAUGUAGGAGCCAAUAUGGACAUUCAGGUCCCGUUAUUGUUUAUUGGUCGGAGAGUGUCUCCGUCAUGUGUGCAUAGUUCUCGAACCCACAUGGUCUGCACACUUAAGGUUCAGUGACGAUCUGGUAUAGUGAGUUAUGUGUGAUCAUAACCUAAUGUUGUUGAGAGUCUUGGAUGAGAUCCAGGACAUCACGACGAGCUCCAGAAUGGUCCGUAGGUAAAGAUUUAUAUAUGGGAAGUCAUAUUUUGGCUACCGGAAAAGUUUCGAGUUUUUCUGGUAUUGUACCGGGAAGCUUCUAGAAAGUCUCAGAAACUUCCGGAGGAGUCCAUCAUUACACCAAGGGUUCUACCACGUCCCAAGGGUUUGCAUGGGCUGAGGGGAGACAUCGUGGCCUUAUUGGUCCAAACACACAAGUCCCUCAAGGCCCAUGCAGUACGGAAAGGUGGAAAUCCCACCUUUGUAUGGAAGGGAAGGAGGGGGACUAGGAUUCGACCUCAUCCCCCCUUGGAUGCUUCCUCGGGAUUGGAGGGGAUGUUCCCCACGCCCCUCCACCUAUAUAUAGAGGGGAGGGGCGUCCCAAGAGCACACACGAAGCCCUGGGCACCCCUCUCUCUCCCUAUAUCGUUUUCUCCCCCGUUCGUGCUUUUGGUAGUGCUAGGCGUAGCCCUACCGGGAUAGCACCGCCACCCCUCCGUCGUGUUUCCGGAUAAAUCAUCCACUACUUCGCCCUCGGUCGCUGGAUUGAGAAGGUGGAUACGCCAUCGAGCUAUACGUGUGCUGAACGCGGAGGUGCCGUCCGUUUGGCGCUCGAUCGGGAGUUUGUGGGACGGAUCAUGAUUGGAUCACGAAGACGUACCACUACAUCAACCACGUUCUUAACACUUCCGCUUAGCUAUUUACAAUGGUAUUUAGAUAGAAUCUAUCCUCCCAUAGAAGGUCAUCACCAUGGAUAGAUCUUGUGUGCGCUUAGGAAUUUUUUUUGUUUCCCAUGCGACGUUCCCCAAUAGGUUCUUCUCGGGCCUUGGAGAUGUCGGAUGGGGCUACAAUAGGCCAUCUAGGAGGUGCAUGUGAACGAGCAUGGUGGCAGUCGGGUAGGUCCAUGGCAACUGCUGAAGGAAUAUUCGGUAGAGGCAAACUUUGGCCAAGGUGGUGCUGCAAGGGUGGUGCCAAAGGUGCCCAAAGGCAGCAUACUUGAGCGGGCCUUGGGGGGCAUCCCGAUGUGACCAUCAUUGACACACAGCGACUUGGCGUGGGUUGGGCACAAUGCAGCAAAAGUGGAGGAGUUGUGGGCGAGAAGGUGAAGGACAGGAGAGCCGACACUCGGCAAAGGAGGACAUGAGGACAGUUUGGCGCUGGUGCUUUGGCCGGUCACCAGCGAGGUCAUUGUCUAUCAUGGAGUGAGGCGUCGAGGAGGCAUGAGGCCUCGGACAUGAGCGAGGCCGUGCAGAAGGAGCUUGAGGGUGUGGGCGCCAUGGCGCAUGGAGGUCGCUGGGGGAUGACAACGCGGUUCAAGGAGGGGUCGCACGUAUUGAGGAAGAGGACUAGUGUGCAACAACUACUGACUAAGGCGUCAAGGAGAAGAGACAUGGGAGGCGGAGCUCAGCGGCUGGAGGAAGAAGGGUGUGGCGUGGAGAGGAGGCUCCCAGCUGGAGCGGGCACCCGAGGCCUGCUGCCGGCUGGAGCGGGCACGCAUGGCCUGCUAGGUUCGGUCAACGGCAGUGGGUAGUGAUACGUCCAUUUUGCAUCAUAACUUCCUAUUGAUAUUUAUGUUAUUAUUGGUCAUUAUUCCACAUUAUGCUACCUUUUUAUGCCUUUUUCUCUGAAUUUACAAGGUACACCACAAAGAGGGAGAUUGACGGACACUUGAAUCCUAGGCCCGAAAACCAACAAAAGGAUGAAAAUUCACUGGACUUCAGCUGACCUGAAACUUGACAAAGAAUUUUUGUGGAAUAUAUAGUAAUUUAUGGAUCAAAAAUAUAAUAGAGGUGGGACACUUUUUGGUGCCAAGCCAAUAGGGUCCGUCCACCCUGGGUGCACCCUGAUGGCUUGGGACCACCUCAUAGGUGUCCUGACCUCCCUCUUCUUCCAUAAGAUAGCUUUUGACCUAGAGGUGGAAACUGUCGGGAGGAAGCACCAUCAUCUCGAGGUGGAAACCUGGGUACAUGCCCUUUUGCUCUCUCGCACAGUGAUUUUGUCGGGAAAAUUUCCCUCCAGGAGGGAGAAAUCGAAGCCAUCAUCAUCACCAACGCUUCCUCCUUCGUGGGAGGACCAAUCUUCACCCAACAUCUUCACCAGACCAUCUCAUCCCAAACCUUAGUUCAUCUCUUGUAUUUUAUCUUUGUCUCAAAACCUCAGAUUGGUACAAGUGGGUUACUAGUACUGUUGAUUACAUAUGUAGUUGAUGCUAGGUCAUAUAUUUUAUGAAAGAUAAUAUGUUCAUAUGCAUAUUCAUAAUUAUCACACCUCUGAUAUUGAACAUGGUGAUGAUUUGUGAGUAGUUACUUUUGUUCUUGAGUACAUGGGAGACAUCUUGUUAUAAGUAAUCAUGUGAAGUUGGUAUUCAUUCGAUAUUUUGUUGAUAUGUAUGUUGUUGCUUCUCUUAGUGGUGACGUGUGAACUUCAACUACACGAUACUUCAACAUAUUAUGGGACUAAGGGAAGGCAUUGUGGAGUAAUAAGUAUAUGAUGGCUUGCUAGAGUGACAGAAGCUUAAACCCUAGUUUAUGCAUUAUUUCAUAAGGGGCUGAUAUCGACCCACACAUUUCAUGCUAUGGUUAGAUUUAUCUUAAUUCUUCUUUUGUAGUUGUGGAUUCUUAUGAUAGGGUUUAUUUUCAAGUAAAAACAGCACCUUAGCACCGGUCCAGCCACAAAUCAAAUUAUCAAAAUAACGAACGUCAAUCAACUCAACAUGAUGAACAUGACUAGAUGAAAAUUCCCAUGUGUCUUCGAUGGCACUUUACUAUAUAUAAGAGUAAUUUCAGACCUGUCCUUUGCUACAAAAAGGAUUGGUCUAUCUUGAUGCACACUUUCUACUAUUUUUUCUUGUCACUUGUUAGGAAUUAUCUUUCUACAAAACUAUCUAUCAUUGUUACUCAUAGCACUGGUAGAGAAUAUCUUGUCGAAAACCACUCAUCAUUUCCUUCUGCUCCUUUUUGGGUUUGACACUCUUACUUAUCGAAAAGACUAUGAUUGAUCCCCUAUACAUGUGGGUCAUCAAGGUUCUUUUCCGGCGCCAUUGCCAUGGACUGAAGCACCUUUGGUAAGUGGAAUUUGGUAAGCAUACAAUUUCGAUACGUGUUGAAAUUUAUUGUUGCUUGUUACUAUGGAUAGUAAUUCUUUGAAGCGGCUGUUUGGGGGUAUCUUAACCCCGACUAGAAGUGGCAAAAGUUUCUCCUCAAACUAAUACACUUUUUNNNNNNNNNNNNNNNNNNNNNNNNNNACUUUUUAAAAAUAGUUAUUAUGAGAUUUCUUUGGGUAUUUUAGAAAAACUACUAGCUAAUCCUUAUGCAGGAGACGGUACAACUCAUCCUGAUUACCACUUGAUAUAUGUACAUGAUAUUUGUGGAUUAUUUGGAAGACAGGUUUAUACGAGGGCAAAGUCAAGAAGAAGGUUUUUAUCUUAUCUUUGAAGGGAAAUCAUUGAUGUGGUAUAGGCUAUUGGAUGAUAUUGGAGCAUGGGACUCGAACCGCUUGAAGCUAAAAUUUCAUCAAAAGUUUUAUCCUGAGCAUCUAGAUCAUCAUGAUCGGAACUAUAUUUUAUGCUCGGCUUUGUCAUGAUGGUAAAAAAACUCGAUUCUUCUUCCAUUGGCUCCUACAUGAAUAGAACUAUUUAACUCAAAUGCGAUCUUCUGGAAAGAACUAAACACAACUGUGAAGAUUGGGAACUCGACAACCAUAAAGAGUCAGGUAUAAAGCUUGAAUCUCAUUUUGUUAAAUCACUUAUGGAAACUUAUAUUUUUCAUAAGUUUAGCAAUAAAUAUGGACUUGACUCUGAGAUAGUAGCUUCUUUCUAUAAAUCAUUUGCUACUCAUGUUGAUCUCCCUAAGGAGAAGUGGUUUAAAUUUCAUCCAACUUUUGAAAAACUAUUGGAUAAACCCACAAAAGUUUAUUAAGAAACAAUUGUUUACAAUGUUGAUCCAGUUGUGCCUACUGCAUGUAUUGAGAAACCUCCUUUUACUAUUAGGAUUAAGGAACAUGGUAAAGUUGUAAUUGUGGUUAACAGAAUUCCUAUUAGGACACCUAAACCUUUUGAACAAAUAAAAGUGGAACCUAAUAUUUAUUUCGUAAUGAUCUCCUAGAUGAUAAUAUUGAUGGACAUGUUAUUUACUUCUAUGAUGAGGCUGCUAGAAUUGCAAAACCUGUUAGAAACAAGCAAGAUAAGUUAGAAGAAAAUAAAGUAGUUGGUGGCAUGCAUAUUUUUUCUCUUAAGAUUGGAUAUCAUUGUUAUCAUGGAUUCUGUGACAUGGGUGCUAGUGUUAGUGAUAUAACUUUUACCUUAUAUCAAGAUAUUAUGAAUGACAUAGGAUUCUCUGAGAUCAAAGAUAUUGAUGCCAAUAUUAAACUUGCAAACAUAGAUACUAUUUGACCACUUGGGCUUGUUAGGAAUGUUGAAGUAUUGUGUGAAAAAAUUAAUUACCCCACUGAUUAUUUAGUACUUGGUUCACAAUAAGAUAAUUUUUGUCCCAUUAUAUUAGAUAGGCCUUUCUUGAAUACAGUUAAUGCUGAAAUUAAUUGUGGUUCUCACAUGGUUAAUAUAACCUUUGGUGAUGUGUCUCAUGAAUUUAAUGUCUCUAAGUUUGGUAGACAACCACAUGAGAAGGAGUUAUCUAAUAAUGAUGAAAUUAUUAGUCUUGCUUCAAUUAGAGUGCCUCCUACUGAUCCAUUAGAACAAUAUUUGCUAGACCAUGAGAAUCAUAUACAUAUGAAUGAGAGAAAUGAUAUAGAUGAAAUAUUCUUUAGACAAAUACCUAUUCUUAUACACAACUUGUGUGUUGAUAUUUUAGGGUAUCCUCGUCCACCUAAGGUAGAUCCCGUAUUUGAGACAAAUAAAUUACCCGAUUCUUUGAAAUAUGCUUAUCUUGAUGAAAAGAAGAUAUAUCUCGUUAUUAUUAGUGCUAACCUUUCACAGCAUGAAGAAAAGAGAUUACUUAAAACUCCGAGGAACCACUAAGGUACUAUUGGAUAUACUCUUGAUGAUCUUAAGGACAUCAGUCCCACGCUAUGUGUAACACCCCAAAAAAUUUACCAUGUUUUUGGUUAAUAAAAUUAGUUUUGCCACGAAUAUUAAUUUAUAUUUUUGGAUUUCCUGUUGGUUUCAAAACCAUUAUUUCCUUUGCAUAUUAAUUUUUUCCCCUCCAAUAGAAAUUUUGGAAAAAUAUUGUGUGACUUGGAUGUUUGACUUAAGAGUUUUUCUAUUCAUUUUAAUAAUUUAGUGAGAAAUAUUUUUAUAUUUAAACUUGCCUCACAUAAUUAUUUUAAAACUACAACCCCUUCAAAUAUUCUUUUAAAAAUUCCAGCAAAAUAUGGAGAUGCCAAGUGAUUCAUGUAGAUAACUUUUAUGUAAAUCCAUUCUUAGCCUUUUGAAAAGCAAAACAUCCUCAUUUAUGUUCUGGUCCACUUUGUUGAUUUGUAUUGCACCCUUAUUUUAUUUUGCCCCAAUCCCCGUGGGAUUUUUCUAGCUUGUAGAACUCCGUACCAAACGCUUAAGUCCAAGAGAUUAGAGCCAUUGGAAUAUUUUUAGCCUAUGCAGUAUUGCCCUAUAGUUUAUGUCCAGAAAAGUUUUUCUCCAAAACAUGCACUAACAAGUUUUUAUUUUCCACAACUAACUUGACCAUCAUAGCGAGCAUAUAAAGAGACCCCAAUCUGGAGAUUUCGGCCACCACCAAAACCCCUUAUGUGCCCAUAGCAUUUUUUCGAGCAAUUAGAGUUCAUGGCCAUAAUUGGCAUUGUUUUGAGAUUGUAUUAUGGACCUCCUUCUAUGACCAAACCAGCAUGUAUUAGGUUUCCGCCUUACCCUCUAGAAGAACCCUGUGUAGUGUCAUUUGCUUUGGAUCCCCCUCACAUGCUUUGGCAUUUCGUCAAGCACCCUCGAGGUGUGUUCAGAGUGCACCCAGAGCGCGUGUAUUGCACGCGUCAUGACCGAGCCGUCGCAUCCACCUACCCCACGCCUUGACCCUUGCUAGCUUGCAGAGCCGCUCUGCGACCCUUCCCCCUCACUAAGUGUAGCCAUAGAGCCCCCUGAUGCCACCUAGAGCCGCUGCUGCAGACAUCUGGCGACACGCCGGUGACCGUGUCCGUCCUCCACCCAUGGCAGAGUCGCCCGAGCCCUCUCCUCCAACCAGCUAGCCCAUGAAGCAGGGUGAUAGCCACGUGAGCGAUCUUAUCCUCAGGCCACCGCGGAAAUGCCAUUGCUCGGAUAUAAAAAGUGGACCCCGAGCUCGGGUAGCACAUUAGGACUCCUCUUCUGCCCCUCGCAAGCCCCCUAGUCAAUCACCAGCCGAGACGCCCGCCACCGUAUCCCUGAUGCCUCCGGCCAGCCCAAGCCUCCCCCUCCUUCCCUAAGCCUCCGUUAGCCUUCUGCUACACCAUGGAACCCAUCCCCGGCACCAAUUUAUCUCGAGAGCCACCAAGGACGAAGGCCCUCUUCCUCCUGAUGCCGCCGUCCGCCAUGAGUGAAGCCUUGAUCAGCUCUAAGCUUCCUGGUGACCCCCUCCAGCUCCAUGAGAUGCGGUCCAUCCUCGUGAGCAUGCCGGUCUAUCGAGCUUGGAGGACGACGCACCCUAGCGCAGGCAAUUCUCGCCGGAGUCCGGCCUCUAUUCCUCCCAAGCGCGCGUUGGGCAGGAAGAUGAACUGAUAGGAGGUCCCCACCAGUCUGUGAGCUAGUCUCCUCCGUCGUUGGCGCAUCGCGUGGAGUGCCUUUUGUCACACCAUGUUUUCACAUCUCUUGUCAAUGGUGUUUGAAGAUUUGAUAUAAAUUCAAACUUUUUAAGUAAAUGCUAUGAGUGUCUUGAUUGUCAUUGUUUGUAUGUGUGCUUGUGAGUAGAUAGCUAAGGCCAGUUUUUAUAAAUAUUAUUUCCACAAAUUUUUUAUUUAUUUAUUUUGGUAACCGAAAACCUUGCUUUGGGGUUUGCACUACAGGUCCCUGAAUUUAAGGGAGUGCCUUCAUUCAAAGAUUGUAUUCUGACUCUAAUACUAAUAUAACUCCUCAAAACCAUAAAAUAAUUAUUUUUAAAGUAAUUUUUGUAUUUUAUUUAUAUGUCCUUUUCUAAGGCCAGAAAUGAUAUAUCUGGGUGAAAAAUUAUUUUUCUACCUUAGAAAAAUCUGAGAAAGUUUAGGAAGACUCUGAGGACAUAUAUUUUCCAUACAUAAGAGUUUCAAGCCCUAGUCACGUUCGAAAUACUGGAGCCGACUUUUAAAAACCAAUUCUGUCUGUUUUGAUCUUCUGAAAUAUUUUCAAAGGAAAUAUUCUCAAUAAAUUCCCAGAAAAUGCUAGCAUGUCCCACAUUCUAUAUUCGGUGAUCAUGCAAAGUUUCACCACCAUCCAAGGUGAUUUGUUUCAUCGAAUAAUUCAAAAACCCUCUUUGUUCAGAAUAAAGUUGAAGCAACUCUACAUUGCCAAGUUUGUCCAUCUCAUCUCAAAGUUUGCAUGAGUGCUCAAUACCUCAAAUAAGGAGGUCAUGCCUAGAUUUGGAUUUGUGGGAAUUUAUUUGCUCACAUCUUCUCACAAGAUUGUAGGUGUGCCCAUUUGUGGGUAUUUUCAAGUUUACAUUGUCAAACUUAUCGAGUGGAGCUCAAAUCUGGUAAAGCCUCCUAAUUAUAUCCAAAACCAAAUCCUUUUAAAUUCCAUUCCAUUUGGAGGAGGUUAACUUCCCCAAACAUGAAGUAAACACCUUCUGUCAGAUUUGAAAAUCAACAUCUAGCACCCUCCACAUCUAGUAAACCCUUCACUCCAAACUCAUGACACAGAUUGCCUGUGUCUUCCGACAACUGCAGACGAGAGGCCUAGCACUGGUUCAAUGAGAGGGAGCCAAAAUCCCCAUUUUAGCACUUCAAUCAAGACUGACAACAUCACUUUACCACUCUCCCCUUGGCCUGCUUGAUCCCUCUCGGCCCCUAGUAUCCAAGGAGCAUCUAACCACUCCCCGAGACACACUAGGCAUGGCCAAGACGCGCCAGAUUGCGCCAGCAUGCCAUGGCAUGCAAAGGCUGCGGUCUGGACGCGCUACAGGGCACACCUGAUCCCAAGGAGGCUAGCGUCGGCCAGUUCCCGCCCCUCCCGUUGCCCCUCUUUGACCACACCGACGACCGAGACCAGGGCAACCUCGGGCCCCACUUUUACCCCCUCACCUCUUCCCCUGGCGACGCGUGCCCUCAUGCGCCCGAACUGACCAGAGUAACCCAUCCAACUUAACGCGCCAGCAGCGCUGCCCCCGCUCCGCCUGAAGAUGCUGCAUGGUCCAAAACCGUGUCCACAAUACCACGGGUUCUCUCCCGAGCCCUCUUUCCCUCUCCUGCCACAACAGCAAAACCACCGGCGCACCAUCGUUCGGUGACACGUCGCCUGCCUAUUUAAAGGCUACUCCGCUCUCCUCCGCACCUCCAGAACCUCCCUCUCCUCCCCAAUCGACAAGCCUGACCACCCCCUUCGCCUAAAAGAGCCCCGGUAAUCGAGAUCGACCGAGGCGCCGCCACGUCGGGGCUCCGUCGAUCUCGGGCUACACGCACGCUCCGACGCUCCUUUCACUUCCCCUGUGACCGUAAAGACCUCCCGAACCUUCUCCACCACUCCCCCGUCCUUCUCCUUGUUCCAAGCACCAUUCCCAGCAACUUCCCGAAAGGUCUCCACUGAGGCUUCGUCUUCCCCCGCGACACAUGCCAUCUUCAUCAUCCCCUCGACCCCCAUCUGGUAGGCGAUAGUGCCACGAGCCCAUUCCUGUGCUCGCCUGACCUCGAGAACCACAGAGCUACCGCCGGUGAGCCGCCCCUCCUCUCUAUCUAGAGGUAGGAGAUGACCCCGACAGGAAGGACCCACCUAUCGUCGACAUCUCUCUCCCCCUCUCUCCUCUCUAUAGUAGGUCGUACGUCCCCGUGCGUCAGGUUUGAACCUGACGGCAUGCGCGCCUGGGCUGGCUUGCUGGCCGAGCGAGGCCACUGAGCUGGCUCCUUUUUAUUUAUUUUAUUUCUUGUUUUUAAAAUAAAUCCAUAGGACUAAUUCUUUAACCAAAUUUAAAUAUUUCUCCACCAUAAUUCUUGUAAAAUUGUGUAGUAUUUAAUAGUACCGUGUGUGGAAUUUUUUUGAAAACUUCUAUGGAUAGAUUUAUUUUAAAACAUGGUUUAAGUAUUUUUAACUUCUGUUAAAGAGACUUAAAAAAUACUUGUUCAUUUCAAAACCAGAAACAAAUAUUUUGAUUAAUAAUAAUAGGAUUUUACAGAAUAGGAUAACAUUUUUAUGUGAGUUUGUACUCUAUUUUUGGUUGUGGUCCUUAUUAUUAUUAUUUCUAUUACGAUUAUAGAUCACACGUUUGACGUAGGACUUGGACCCGAAGACCUCGAAAACCCCGGAUACCUAGUUGAUCAAGGCAAGCAGCCCUUUGACCAUGUUUGAGAAAAUAUUUUAUGCAUGCCAUGUUGAUUACUUUAUUCCGAUGCAUCUGAUCAUGAUUAGUCAAUAAACCCUCGGUAUGGUGUUACCAAUGGCUCCUCUGGAGCACUUGCAUUUGAGCAUGACCUUACCAUCUAUGAGGGUCACGCUGAUGAAAAUUGACAAGUAGACAGUAGUGCUAUGCAUAAGAUGAGCAUAUGCAUGGUGAUGGUAACACAUAGGCAAUUACAAAGACUUUUCGAAAACCCGGUCGGGUGCCACUAAUGGCCAAGGGUGAUGGUGUUGAGAUGGUGAACACUUGAGAAAGAAGUGGUGUACCGGAAAAAGGUUUUGUGUGUGUGGUUUCGGAAAUGGGAGUAGAUUUAAGAUUUGCUGACUAUCCCAACCUUACUUGUACAACUGAUACGUCUCCAACGUAUCUAUAAUUUUUGAUGGUUUCAUGCUAUUAUCUUGUCAAACUUUGGAUGUUUUGCAUGCCUUUUAUAUAUUUUGUGGGACUAACUCAUUAACUCAGUGCCAAGUGCCACUUUCUAUUUUUCCAUGUUUUUGACCCCUUUCAGAGGAGAUUUUGAAACAGAGUCCAAACAGAAGAAAAUCCUCGAAAAGAUUUUUUCGUAACCGAAGAAGAUCAGGAAGCUUGAGAGCCAAGGCAGGGGAGCCUCAGGGGCCCCACAAGCCCCCACCCCGCGGCCAGGCGGGAGGUCGCGGCCCAUAGGCUUGUGGGCCCCCUAGGCGCCCUCUGACCUAGGGGUUGCGCCUAUAUAUUCCCUAAAAAUCCCAAAAAAAUCAGGGGAUCAUCGAAAUUACUUUUCCGCCGCCGUAAGCUUCUGUCUCCGCAAGAUCCCAUCUAGGGCACGUUUUGGUGCCAUGCCGGAGGGGUGAUUCAGAUACGGAGGGCUUCUUCAUCAACACCAUGACCUCUCCGAUGAUGUGUGAGUUGUUCACCAUAGACCUACGGGUCCAUAGCUAGUAACUAGAUGGCUUCUUCUCUCUCUUGGAUCUUCAAUACAAAGUUCUCCAUGAUCUUCAUGGAGAUCUAUCCGAUGUAAUCUUCUUUUGCGGUGUGUUUGUCGAGAUCCGAUGAAUAGUGGAUUUAUGAUCAGGUUAUCUAUGAAUCUUAUUUGAGUUUCUUCUGAUCUCUCUUAUGCAUGAUUUCAUAUCCUUGUAAUUCUCUUCGAGUUGUGGGUUUUGUUUGGGAAACUAGAUCUAUGAUUCUUGCAAUGUGAGAAGUGCUUGGUUUUGGGUUCAUGCCGUGCGGUGACUUCACCCAGUGACAGAAGGGGUAGCGAGGCACGCAUCGUGUUGUUGCCAUCAAGGGUAAAAAGAUGGGGUUUUCAUUAUUGGUUUGGGAUUAUCCCUCUACAUCAUGUCAUCUUGCUUAAGGCGUUACUCUGUUCGUCAUGAACUAAAUACACUUGAUGCAUGUUGGAUAGUGGUCGAUGUGUGGAGUAAUACUAGUAGAUGCAAAAAGUAUCGGUCUACUUGUCUCGGACGUGAUGCCUAUAUGUAUGAUCAUUGCCUUAGAUAUCGUCAUAACUUUGUGCGGUUCUAUCAAUUGCUCGACAGUAAUUUGUUUACCCAACGUGAUAUUUGCUAUUUUGAGAGAAGCCUCUAGUGAACACUAUGGCCCUCGACUCUACUCCACACCAUAUUUUCAAGCUUACACUUUUUACUUCGUUGCACUUUACGCCUUCAGGUCUCACUUUGCAAACAAUCUUGAAGGGAUUGACAACCCCUUUGAAGCGUUGGGUGCAAGCUUGUUUGUGUUUGCGUAGGUACUCUGGACUUGACGAGACCCUCCUACUGGAUCGAUACCUUGGUUCUCAAACUGAGGGAAAUACUUACUGCUCCUGUGCUGCAUCACCCUUUCCUCUUCAAGGGAAAAACCGACACAAAACAAGAGAAGUGGCAAGAAGAAUUCCUGGCGUUUCUAGGGAAGGACUUCUGUUGCCGUAGCAGAAGGAUUUCUGGCGCCGUUGCCGCAGAGGAUCAAGUCAAGAACUCAUCCAAGUAGGUGUCGCAAACUCAUAUCUUGCAUUUACUUUGUUUGCCAGUUGCCUCUCGUUUUCCUCUCCCCCACUUCACCAAUUUGCCUUUUUCCGUUUGCCGUUUUAUUCACCUUUUUCUCGCCGGAUCUCCUUGUGUUACCAUGCGCCUUCUAUUAGCUUGCAUAUUUGCUUGCUAAAAAUCCAUUGAUAUGGAUCCUCAUCCACUUGUUAAUCUUUUCAAGAGAUCCAAUUAUGAGGAACCAAUUUCUAGUGAGUGGAUGAUGACCCACAAGUAUAGGGGAUCAAUCGUAGUACUUUCGAUAAGUAAGAAUGUCGAACCCAACGAGGAGAAGAAGGCUCUGAUAAAUGGAUUUCAGCAAGGUAAUAACUGCAAGCACUGAAAGUAGAGGUAACAAGUGAUUGUGUAGCGAGGUGAAACUUAGCAAGCAAAGAGUAACUAGUAACAAGUAGUAGCAACGGUGCAGCAAGUGGCCCAAUCCAUUUUCUAGCAAGGGACAAGCCUGAACAAAGUCUUAUAGGAGGAAAAACGCUCCCAAGGACACACGGGAAUUUCUGUCAUGCUAGUUUCAUCAUGUUCAUAUGAUUCGCGUUCGUUACCUUGAUAGUUUGAUAUGUGGGUGGACCGGCGCUAGGGUACUGCCCUUACUUGGAGAAGCAUCCCACUUAUGAUUGACCUCUCUCGCAAGCAUCUAGCACUACAAAAUAAGAAUUAAGACAAAGUCUAACCAUAGCAUUAAACUAGUCGAUCCAAAUCAGCCCCUCACGAAGCAACGCAUAGACUGGGGUUUAAGCUUCUGUCACUCCAGCAACCCAUCAUCUACUUACUACUUCCAAUGCCUUCCUCUAGGCCCAAAUAUGUUGAAGUGUUAUGUAGUCGAUGUUCACAUAACACCACUAAAGGAAAAACAACAUACAACAUAUCAAAAUAACGAACGAAUAUCAAAUUCACAUGACUAUUAUCAGCAUGACUUAUCCCAUAUCCUCAGGAACAAAAGUAACUACUCACAAAGCAUAAUCAUAAUCAUGAUCAGAGGUGUAAUGAAUAGCAUGAAGGAUCUGAACAUAAACUCUUCCACCAUGUAAUCCAAUUAGCAUCAACUACAAAGAGUAAUCAACACUACUAGCAACCUUACAAGUACCAAUCGGUGUUGCGAGACGAAGAUUGGUUACAAGAGAUGAACUAGGGAUUGGAGAGGAGAUGGUGCUGAUGAAGAUGUUGAUUGAGAUGCCUCCCCUCCGACGAGAGGAGUGUUGGUGAUGACGAUGGCGAAGAUUUCCCCCUCCGGGAGGGAAGUUUCCCCGCCAGGAUCCUGUCGGGGCUCUAGAUUGGAUCUCCUCAAGUUCCGCCUUGUGGCAGCGGCGAAACCAUUGAAAAGCUCCCGAUUGAUUUUUUCUGGACCAAGACGCUUCAUAUAGCAAAACAGGGGGGCUAGUGGGCCGUUAGGAAACCCUUAAACUUGCCCUGCGCCACCAGGGGGGGUGGUGGCGGUGGGCAAGCUUGUGGAGCCCUGGUGUCCCCCCUCUGGUAGUUCUUUCACCCAGUAUUUUUUAUAUAGUCCAGAAAAAAUCGACGUAACUUUUCAGGGCAUUUGGAGAUGUGCAGAAUAGUGGACUAGGAUUUGCUCCUUUUCUAGUCCAGAAUUCCAGCUGCCUGAAUUCUCCCUCUUCAAAUAAACCUUGCAAAAUAAGAGAUAAAAUGCAUAAAUAUGUUACCACAAGUAAUAUAACAGCCCAAAAAGCAAUAAAUAUCAACAUGAAAGCAUGAUGCAAAAUGGACGUAUCAACUCCCCCAAGUUUAGACCUCGCUUGUCCUUUAGCGAAAACCAAGUUCCAUAAACAUGUCCACAUGUUGAGGGACGAAGGUGUGGAUAAAACAUAAUACGGACAUGAGGGCAUCAUGAUCACACAUAAAACAACAAUACAUCAUAAAGAUUCUUAUGGGAAAGUAACAAUUCCUUCACAAAACAAAGCAUGAAGCAAAAAUCUUACCAAGAAGUAACCAACAAUAAUUCAUAGUCAUUGAAGCAAUUGCAAUUUAUCACAACAUCAGAAAGAGUCAAAUAAGAGCUUGUAAGGCAAACCCACAUACUCAAUCAUAUCUUUUGUUUUCCACAAUUGUUACAACUCACGUGGUACUCAUGGUGUCAAAGUUUCAGCUGGACAUAGAGGAAGAUAGGGGCUUGUAGUUUUGCCUCCCAACGGUUUACCUCAAGGGUAAAGUCAACAACAAUAAAGCAUAAGUACUCAACUCCAAGUUGAUAUAUGAAUAUAGAUCUUUCCCAAGCAUGUGACGGCAGCCAAGACAAAGGCAAAAAGGGAAUUUGUGAAGAUCACCAUGACUCUUACAAGUGCAAAAAGUAAAGGUACAAGAUAGGCCCUUCGCGGAGGGAAGCAGAGGUUGUCAUGCGCUUUUGAGGUUUGAAUGUGUGUCCUCUUAGUGCGGAGGAACGUCACUUUAUAUUGCCUCCUAUGAUAAAGAACUUUAUUAUGCAGUCUGUUGCUUUUAUGUCUUCCUCAUCACAGGUUCGUACAAAGCUUAUUUUCCACACACUAAUAGAUCAUACAUAUUACAGAGCAAUUUUUAUUGCUUGCACCGAUGACGACUUACUUGAAGGAUCUUAUUCAAUCCAUAGGUAGGUAUGGUGGACUCUCAUGGCAAAACUGGUUGGAGGUUUAUGGAUGCACAAGUAGUAUCUCUACUUCGUGCGGGAGUUUUGGCUAAUAUGAGGUGGAAGCAAUCGUCACAUGCUAAGGGAUCUCUAAUCAUAUAACAUUGUUUGGAACCAAGCAAACACAAUUCAUUAUGUUGUCUUCCUUGUCCAACAUCUACUCCUAGUCAUGUAAUAGUUUGGUGAGUGCUCACAAUUGUAAAAAGUGUCUAAGAUGAUAUAUUUAUAUGUGAACCUAUCUUUCCUUAUUACUUCUUAUUAAUUGCAACAAUGUCUGAGGUCUAUAUUGAUUUAUUCUCAACAAGUUUCAAUCAUCAUACGUGUCAUAAGUGAAGUUAUCACUUUCCAUAAGAUCGUCUCAUGAUCUUUCAUGCUAUCGUUCUUUUCAUACUUUUUGAUCAUGGCACAAAGCAAAGCCCUUGACUAAGACACUCUUUAUUAUAUAGCUCGUAAGCUCGAAUACACUGGGGGAGAGACAAAAGCAAAAGACUCAAACUAAAAACUAAAGACGUAUUCCUCUAAAACAAGAAAUAAAAACUGAAAAAGAAGGAACUAAAACAAAGGUAAAAGAAAAAGAUAUAGAGGUGAUACGAUACCAGAGCAUCUCCCCCAAGCUUGGCAGAAGCCAAGGGGAUUGCCCAUACCAAUGCUUAGUCGUCUUCCUUUGGUGGUGAUGGUGGUGUUGUUGUUGGAGUAGUCUGAUCCUCCGUCUUCCAAGGCAUAGGUGCUCCAUCAUGGCAGGAUGAAUGAGUCACUGGAAUCCUCAAAUCUGCAGCCAACCUUAUUGAUUUAAAUCUGUGCUCAUACUCACAGUUUUGAUUCUGCAGGUCAUAGAUCUGGCCCUGAAGUUGAUCAACCCUAUCGUAGAGCCUAGAGAGGUGUUUCCCAAUAUCAAUGGCAUCCAUCUUGUGAUUCCUAGUGAAUUCUGUGACCAUCGUGUGGUUGGCGUUGAGUCCAUGCUCCACCAUCCCUUGGCACUUGAAGACUUGCUGCCCCAUUGCUUCGAGCCUCGUCUCCAUGCUUCCGGUCUUCUUAGGCCCCUCAACAUCACGGAUGUGCAACAUCCCCUCCCUCAUCUUCAUAGAUUGAGGGUGCUUCAGCACUUUCGUGAGGUAGGGAUUGAUGACCUUCUUGAAGAUCUUGUCCUUAGGAGCGUUUGGGGAAGUCAUGAUGAUCUAGAUCUGUCACAGAAAUAGGCUCGAAACGAAAACAGAGGAAAACUGCGUGAUACGGAGAUCAAAACCUUCGAGCGACUAUAUAUUGAUUUUUCUGGACCAGAAGGAGUGCUCUGCAAGAAAACGGAGUCCGGGAGGCACACGAGGUGCCCACAAGCUUGCCCUCCGCCACCAGGGGGGUAGGGGACGGUGGCAGGGCUUGGGGCCGCCUCGUUCGCUCUCUGGACUACUUUUAUUUUUCUAAUUUUCCAAAAGUUCCAAAACGGAGGAAAUUUCCUAUUGGAAAAGCAUCGGAGUCCAAUUUCUUACCGAAACGGAGACAUCUUCGUUUUCAGGGUCUGAAACAGGCUGAUAAACAUCCCUUAUGUACUCCUAUGGAGUUAUGACAUUGAUGAUAUUGGUCUCAACAUUUAUGGGAGUACCAGAGAUGUAAUGCUUUAUUCUUUGCCCAUUUACCACUCUAGGAAAAUUUCCUUCCGUGUUAUUGAUUUUGAUGGCACUGGAAUAAUAUACUUCCUCGAUAACAUAGAGACGUUCCCAUUUAGAAAGAAGCUUGCCUGCAAAGAAUCUCAAACGAGAAUUGUAUAGCAGGACAUAAUCACCUACAUUGAACUUUUGUUUCUGUAUUCGUUUGUCGUGCCAUCUCUUAACGUUUUCCUUGAACAACUUGGCAUUCUCAUAUGCCUGGGUUCUCCAUUCAUCUAACGAGCUGAUAUCAAACAACCGCUUCUCACCGGCAAGUUUGAAAUCAAAGUUGAGCUCUUUGAUUGCCCAAUAAGCUUUGUGUUCCAGCUCAAGAAGUAAAUGACAGGCCUUACUGUAAACCAUUUUAUACGGUGACAUGCCCAUGGGAUUCUUAUAAGCAGUCCUAUAAGCCCAUAGUGCAUCGUCAAGUUUGCUAGACCAGUUCUUUCGAGAUCUAUUGAAGGUCUUUUGUAGGAUCAACUUGAUCUCCCUAUUACUCAACUCUACUUGACCACUAGACUGAGGAUGAUAAGGAUAUGCAACUCUAUGGUUGACAUCAUAUGUAGCUAGCAUCUUGCGGAAAACACCAUGAAUGAAGUGUGAACCGCUAUCAGUCAUCAAGUAUCCAGGGACUCCAAAUCUUGGGAAUAUGACUUCUUUAAGCAUCUUAAUAGAGGUGUGGUGAUCAACAUUUUUAGUGGGGAUAGCUUCUACCCACUUAGUAACGUAAUCCACAGUAACCAAGAUGUGAGGGUACCCAUUGGAACUCGGGAAGGGUCCCAUAUAAUCAAAGCCCCAGACAUCAAAUGGUUCAAUGACAAGUGAAUAGUUCAUAGGCAUCUCUUGACGCUUACUGAUGUUCCCUAUCCUUUGGCAUUCGUUACAAGACAAGACAAACUUACGGGCAUCGUUGAAGAGAGUGGGCCAAUAGAAACCUGAUUGCAAUACCUUAUAGGCAGUUCUAUCUCCAGCAUGGUGUCCUCCGUAGGCUUCGGAAUGACACUUCUGCAGGAUCUGUCCCUGUUCAUGUUCAGGCACACAACAUCUAAUAACACCAUCUACUCCUUCCUUAUAAAGGUGAGGAUCAUCCCAAAAGUAGUGUCUCAAAUCAAAGAAGAAUUUCUUUUUUUGUUGAUAGGUGAAAAUGGGUGGUAUGUAUUUGGCUACGAUAUAGUUUGCAUAAUCGGCAUACCACGGUGCACUAAGUGAAGUGCGGAUGACAUUUAAUUGCUCAUCAGGAAAGCUGUCAUCAAUAGGUAGUGGGUCAUCAAGGACAUUCUCUAGCCUAGACAAGUUAUGUGCUACAGGGUUAUUAGCACCCUUUCGGACAACGACGUGCAAAUCAAAUUCCUGUAGCAGGAGAACCCAUCUGAUCAGCCUAGGCUUAGCUUCCUUCUUCUCCAUGAGGUACUUAAUAGCAGCAUGGUCAGAGUGAAUAGUGACUUCGGAGUCAACUAUGUAAGAUCUGAACUUUUCACAUGCAAACACGACUGCUAAAAAUUCCUUUUCCGUAGUGGCAUAGUUUCUUUGGGCACUGUCUAGAGUUUUACUAGCGUAGUGAAUGACAUUCAACUUCUUGUCAAUUCUUUGUCCUAGAACAGCACCGACAGCAUAAUCACUAGCGUUGCACAUGAUUUCAAAGGGCAAGUUCUAGUCAGGUGGUUGAACAAUAGGUGCGGUUAUCAAAGCCUUCUUAAGUGUUUCAAAGUCUUCCUCACAAUCCUCAUCAAAAACAAAAGGAACAUCCUUCUGCAAGAGGUUGGUAAGAGGCCUAGAAAUCUUAGAGAAGUCUUUAAUGAACCUUUUAUAGAAACCAGCAUGACCUAGGAAACUUCGUAUACCUCUGAUAUCUGUGGGGCAAGGCAUUUUCUCAAUUGCAUCAAUCUUAGCCUUAUCAACUUCAAUGCCUCUUUCAGAGAUUUUGUGUCCUAAGACGAUACCUUCAUUAAGCAUAAAGUGGCACUUCUCCCAAUUCAAGACGAGGUUGGUUUCUUCGCAUCUCUGUAAGACUCGAUCAAGGUUGCUGAGGCAAUCAUCAAAGGAAGACCCGUAAACGGAGAAGUCAUCCAUGAAAACCUCGACAAUCUUUUCACAAAAGUCAGAGAAUAUAGCCAUCAUAUAUCUUUGGAAGGUGGCAGGUGCAUUACAUAAGGCAAGAGGUAUACGUCUAUAGGUAAAGGUACCAAAAGGGCAAGUGAAUGUGGUUUUCUCUUGAUCAGAUUGCGCAACAGGUAUUUGCGAGAAACCUGAAUAACCGUCUAGAAAGCAGAAGUGUGUGUGUUUUGAUAGCCUUUCUAGCAUUUGGUCGAUGAACGACAAAGGAUAAUGAUCUUUCCUGGUUGCCUUGUUCAGUUUCCGGAAUUCUAUCACCAUUCUAUAGCCGGUAAUAAUCCUUUGUGGGAUUAGUUCAUCCUUCUCAUUAGGAACGACGGUGAUACCUCCCUUCUUAGGUACGCAAUGCACUAGACUUACCCAAUCACUAUGAGCAACAGGAUAAAUGAUUCCUGCUUCCAGAAGCUUUAUAUUUCUUUUCUAACGGCCCCUUUCAUUUUAGGAUUUAAUUUCCUAUGAUGAUCAGCAACUGGAUUAAAGUCAAGAUCGGUUUUAAUCUUGUGCUGAUAUAGAGUAGGACUAAUACCCUUAAGAUCAUCAAGAGUAUAUCCAAUAGCAGCGCGGUGCUUCCUCAUAGUUUUUAGUAACUUCUUCUCUUCGCGCUCUGAGAGGAGAGCACUAAUAAUGACAGGAUAUAUCUCCUUUUCAUCAAGAUAGGCAUACUUAAGAGUAUCAGGCAACUGUUUAAGCUCGAACACAGGAUCACCCUUUGGUGGGGGAGGAUCCCCAAGCAGUUCAAUAGGCAGAUUAUUCUUGAGAAUAGGAUAUUGUUGUAAGACAAUUUUAUCUAUCUCAUAUCUCUCCUCCAUAUGCAUAUCAUUUUCAUGCUCAAGCAGAUAUUUCUCUAAAGGAUUCGUAGGAGGUACGGCAAUAGAGGCAAGAGCAAUGAUUUCAUCUCUACCAGACGACUCUCUUUCAUGGGUUUGUCUUCCAAACUUGGAGAAGUCAAAUUCAUGAGACACACCCUCGAAACUUACUGUGACAGUAUGCUUAAUGCAAUCAAUGUGAGCAUUGACACUGUUGAGAAAGGGUCUACCGAAUAUGAUGGGACAAGAGCUAUCUUGUGCAGUACCAAGGACGAGGAAAUCAGUAGGAUACUUCGUCUUACCACACAUGACUUCUACGUCUCUCACAAUUCCUAGAGGGCAGAUAGUGUCUCUAUUAGCUAGAGUAAUAGUGACAUCAAUGGGUUCUAACUCAGCAGGUGCAAUCUCAUCAUUGAUUUCAUCAUACAGAGAACGGGGUAUUGCACUAACACUAGCUCUCAUAUCACAUAAACCAUGGUAACAGUGAUCUCCUAUCUUAACAGAAACAACGGGCAGGCCAACUAUAGGUCCGUGUUUGUGUUUCGCGUGAGGUUUAGCAAUUCUAGCGGAGUCCUCACAGAAUUUGAUAACAUGCCCAUCUAUGUCUUCAGCUAAGAGAUCUUUGAUAAUAGCAACACUAGGUUCAACUCUAAUCUCCUCAGAAGGUGCAAGUGGUCUAAUGUAACCCCUACAUAUCACAGUUGGAGCUUUAGAAUAAUCCUUUAUCCUAGCAGGGUAUGGUGGUUUCUGAGUGUAAGCACAAGGAACAACAGGAUCACUAAAAGAAAUGACUUUAUCCUCAACUAGAUUGGUUUUGGCUAUGUUGUUUUCUAUAGGAGGAUGAUAUUUAAACCACUUCUCUUUGGGAAGAUCAACAUGAGCAGCAAAAGAUUCACAUAGAGAAGCUACUAUCUGAGAGUCAAGUCCAUACUUAGCGAUAAAAUCUCUAGAAGUGUUUGUCUCAACCAAAGAUUUAACGCAAUCAAACUGGAAAUUCAUACCUGACUCCUUACCUUCCUCCAGCUCCCAAUCUUCAGAGUUGCGUUUGACUCUCUCCAAUAAAUUCCACUUGUGAUCAAUAUCCUUCUUCAUAAAAGAACUGGCACAAGAAGUGUCAAGCAUGGUACGAUCUUCAUGAGAAAGCCAAGCAUACAAGUUUUGAUUGAUGAUUUCUAUCGAGAGCUCAUGAUUGGGGCAUGAAUAUAGCAUUGAUUUAAGCCUCCCCCAAGCUUGAGCUAUGCUUUCCCUAUCACGAGGCCAAAAGUUAUAAAUAAAGUUCCGAUCACGAUGUACUAAAUGCAUAGGAUAGAACUUUUGAUGAAAUUCCAAUUUCAACCGAUUGUAGCCCCAUGAUCCAGUAUCAUCACAUAGCCUAUACCAUGUCAACGCCUUAUCCUUCAAAGAUAAAGGAAAUAAUUUCUUAUUUACAUCAUCCUUGGGCAAACCUGCAAGCUUAAAUAAACCACAAACUUCAUCUACAUAGAUUAGAUACAAGUCUGGAUGUGAAGAUCCAUCUCGUGUGAAAGGAUUAGCCAGCAGAUUCUCAAGCAUACCCGAAGGAAUUUCAUAAAAGAUAUUUUCAGUAGGUACCUCAGGUUGAGGAGCAACUCCUCAUGCUUCCGUUCAUGGUGAAGAUACCCUGAACAAAUUUCUCAAAGGAACAGUUUCCAUAGUGACAAGUGACAAUAAAUUUCAGCACAGUAUAGAAAUGUUUCCUAACCAAUUUCCACUUCUCAAAGGCGCUUCACUCCCCGGCAACGGCGCCAGAAAAGAGUCUUGAUGACCCACAAGUAUAGGGGAUCAAUCGUAGUCCUUUUGAUAAGUAAGAGUGUCGAACCCAACGAGGAGCAGAAGGCUCUGAUAAACGGAUUUCAGCAAGGUAAUAACUGCAAGCACUGAAAGUAGCGGUAACAAGUGAUUGUGUAGCGAGGUGAAACGUAGCAAGCAAAGAGUAACAAGUAACAAGUAGUAGCAAUGGUGCAGCAAGUGGCCCAAUAACUUUUGUAACAAGGGACAAGCCUGAAGAAAGUCUUAUAGGAGGAAAAACGCUCCCAAGGACACACGGGAAUUUCUGUCAUGCUAGUUUCAUCAUGUUCAUAUGAUUCGCGUUCGUUACUUUAAUAGUUUGAUAUAUGGGUGGACCGGCGUUUGGGUACUGCCCUUACUUGGACAAGCAUCCCACUUAUGAUUAACCUCUCUCGCAAGCAUCCGCAACUACAAAAGAAGAAUUAAGACAAAGUCUAGCCAUAGCAUUAAACUAGUGGAUCCAAAUCAGCCCUUCACGAAGCAACGCAUAGACUGGGGUUUAAGCUUCUGUCACUCCAGCAACCCAUCAUCUACUUACUACUUCCCAAUGCCUUCCUCUAGGCCCAAAUAUGGUGAAGUGUUAUGUAGUCGACGUUCACAUAACACCACUAGAGGAAAAACAACAUACAACAUAUCAAAAUACCGAACGAAUAUCAAAUUCACAUGACUAUUAUCAGCAUGACUUAUCCCAUGUCCUCAGGAACAAAAGUAACUACUCACAUAGCAUAAUCAUAAUCAUGAUCAGAGGUGUAAUGAAUAACAUCCAGGAUCUGAACAUAAACUCUUCCACCAAGUAAUCCAACUAGCAUCAACUACAAAGAGUAAUCAACACUACUAGCAACCUUACAAAGUACCAAUCGGCGUUGCAAGACGAAGAUUGGUUACAAGAGAUGAACUAGGGAUUGGAGAGGAGAUGGUGCUGAUGAAGAUGUUGAUGAAGAUGCCUCCCCUCCAACGAGAGGAGUGUUGGUGAUGACGAUGGCGACGAUUUCCACCUCCGGGAGGGAAGUUCCCUCGGCAGGAUCGUCCUGUCGGAGCUCUAGAUUGGAUCUCCUCAAGUUCCGCCUCGUGGCGGCGGCGAAACCACGAAAAAGCUCCCGAUUGAUUUUUUCUGGACCAAGACGCUUCAUAUAGCAAAAGAGGGGGGCUAGUGGGCCGCCAGGCAGCCCACAAGCUUGCCCUGCGCCACCAGGGGGGUGGUGGCGGUGGGAAAGCUUGUGGAGCCCUGGUGGCCCCCCUCCGGUAGUUCUUUCGCCCAUUAUUUUUUUAUAUAAUCCAUAAAAAAUCCACGUAACUUUUCAGGGCAUUUGGAGAUGUGUAGAAUAGUGGACUAGGAUUUGCUCCUUUUCCAGUCCAGAAUUCCAGCUGCCUGAAUUCUCCCUCUUCAAAUAAACCUUGCAAAAUAAGAGAUAAAAUGCAUAAAUAUGUUACCACAAGUAAUAUAACAGCCCAAAAAGCAAUAAAUAUCAACAUGAAAGCAUGAUGCAAAAUGGACGUAUCAGUGGAAUGUACUUGAUUUUCUCCAUGAAGUUUUGCUUGAGAUUCGUGAAUCUGAAAAUUGUCAUGAAGUGGUUCACGAUGUUUCCUUGAACGAAAAGCAUGAUUGCAAUGAUAUUGUUAUAAAUUCGAUCAAUAUCAAUUGUGCUAAUGAUAUGCAAAACCACAAGCUUGGGGAUGCUAUGCUUGAUGAAGAUGAUAUUUCUUGUUUCCAAAGUUUUGGCGAUGACCCUUAUGCUAUAAUUGAUCAUGAAAGGAAUGCUUCGUGUGAUAGUUAUAUUGUAAGAUUCCUUCAUGAUGCUACUGAAAUUUAUUAUGAGGGAGGAACAUAUGCUUGUAGGAAUUGCAAUAUGAUACGUCUCAAACGUAUCUAUAAUUUUUGAUGGUUUCAUGCUGUUAUCUUGCCUUCUUUGUAUGUUUUAUGUACCAUUUUAUAUCUUUUUGGGACUAACUUAUUAAUUCAGUGCCAAGUGCCAGUUCAUGUUUUUUCCGUGUUUUUGACUCUUUUUAGAUCUGAUUUUGGAACGGAGUCCAAACGGAAGAAAAACCCCGAAAUGAUUUUUUCCCGAACGGAAGAAGUCGAGGGGGUUUUGGGCCAAGCCAGGUGGGCUCCAGGGAGCCCACAAGCCCCCACUCCACCACCAGGGGGAGGCGGCGGUGGGCAUGCUUGUGGCCUCCCUGGCCGCCCCCUGCCCUAGAUCUUUGGCCUAUAAAUUCCCAAAUAUUCUGCAAAAAAUCAGGGGAGCCUCGAAAAUACUUUUCCACCACUACAAGCUUCCAUUUCAGCGAGAUCUCAUCCGGAGACCCUUCCCGGCGCCCUGCCGGAGGGGACUUUGGAGUUGGAGGGCUUCUUCAUCAUCAUCAUGGCCCCUCCAAUGACUCGUGAGUAGUCCACUUCAAACCUACGAGUCCGUAGUUAGUAGCUAGAUGGCUUCUUCUCUCUCCUGGAUCUUCAAUACAAAGUUCUCCAUGAUCUUCAUGGAGAUCUAUCCGAUGUAAUCUUCUUUGGCGGUGUGUUUGUCGAGAUCCGAUGAAUUGUGGACUUGUGAUCAGAUUAUCUAUGCUAUAUAUUCGAGUCUUUGCUGAUUUCUUAUAUGCAUGAUUUGAUAUCCUUGUAAGUCUCUCCGAGUCUUGGGUUUUGUUUGGCCAACUAGAUCUAUGAUUCUUGCAAUGGGAGAAGUGCUUGGUUUUGGGUUCAUACCGUGCGGUGACCUUUCCUAGUGACAGAAGGGGCAGCAAGGCACGCGUCAAGUAGUUGCCAUCAAGGGUAACAAGAUGGGGUUUUUAUCAUUGGUUUGAGAUUAUCCCUCUACAUCAUGUCAUCUUGCUUAAGGCCUUACUCUGUUCUUACGCACUCAAUACACUAGAUGCAUGGUGGAUAGAGGUCGAAAUGUGGAGUAAUAGUAGUAGAUGCAGAAAGUAUCGGUCUACUUGUUUCGGGUGUGAUGCCUAUAGAAAUAAUCAUUGCAUAGAUAUCGUCACGACUCUGCACAGUUCUAUCAAUUGCUCGACAGUAAUUUGUUCACCCACCAUCUACUUGCUUUCAUGAGAGAAGCCACUAGUAAACACUACGGCCCCCGGGUCUAUUCACAUCCAUCGUUUACAACUCAGCUUUUACUUUGCUUUGUUACUUUGUUGCUUUCAGUUCUCACUUGGCAAACAAUCUAUAAGGGAUUUACAACCCCUUCAUAGCGUUGGGUGCAAUAUUUUAUGUUUGUGGGGGAUCUUGAGAAACUCCUCCGCCGGAUUGAUACCUUGGUUCUCAAACUGAGGGAAAUACUUACCUCCGCUGUGCUACAUCAUCCUCUCCGCUUCGAGGAAACACCAACGCAGAAGGAUUCCUGGUGUCGUCAACGUGCCCAUUUUUGGCGCCACUGGAAUGUAUUUUGUGCAGCAGCAUAACGGACAUCAGAAGCAUUCCGAAGUAUUUCUGGCACCGUUGUCGGGGAUCCCUUUUGAAACAUCAGAAGUAUUCUGGCGCCGUUGAUCGGGAGGAGAAAUCAAGAUCUAUCCAAGUAGGUCUCAUAAACUCUUCUCUUGCAUUUACUUUUGUUGCCAGUUGCCUCUCGUUUUCCUCUCCCCCACUUCACAUUUUACGUUUUCAUUUGCCUUUCUCCUUUGCCGUUUUCAUUUGCCUUUUUCUGUUCACCCUUCUUCCGCUUGCUUUCUGUCUGCUUGUGUUACCAUGUGCCUUCUUUUAGCUUGCAUCUUUGCUUGCUAAAAAUCUAUUGAUAUGGAUCCUCAUCCACUAGCUAGUCUCUUUAAGAGACCCACUAUUGUUGAACGAAUUGCUAGUAAGUUGAGGACAAUUGACUAUUUCUAUGGAGUUUUGCUUAAGAUGCGUGAAUCUGAAAAUUGUGAGGAAGAAAUUCAUGAAGUGAUUCACGAGGGCUCCUAGGAUGAAAAGCAUGAUUGCAAUGAUUUCACUAUAAAUCCUAUUAGUGACAAUCAUGCUAAAAAUAUGCAAAACCCUAAGCUUGGGGAUGCUAGUUUUGCUAUGUCCACUACUUGUUGCAAUAAUCAUGAUUGGGGUGAUGAUCUUUCUUAUGAUCUUGAAAAUUUGUUCAAACCUUAUGAUGAAUAUGAUAUUUGCAACAAUAUUGAAAGUGGGAUCGGAGAAGUCAUGACUUCAUUUGAUUAUAAUCCCACUAUUUUCGAAGAGNNNNNNNNNNNNNNNNNNNNNNNNNNAGAGCGUCAACUUUGCAUGCAUGUGGAUCAUGAAAAGAAUAUCCUAUGGGAUAGCUAUAUUGUUGAAUUUGAAUAUGAUCCCACAUGUAAUUGCUAUGAGAGAGGAAAAUAUUUUGGUAGAAACUUUCAUGUUACCAAAUUACCUCUCGUUAUGUUGAGAUUGCUAUUGUCUCUUUCUUAUUCUUUGCUUAUGGCAACUAUUGGUUGUCUUGACAAUCUACUUUCCUAUAAAAUGCCUAUGCAUAGGAAGUAUGUUAGACUUAGAUGUGGUUUUCACAUGCUUUAGGAUGCUCUCGUUGUGCUUCAAUUCUUGUCUUUUGUGACAGCAUCAUUGAAUGCCUAGAUAAGGGUAUUAAACAAAAGCGCUUGUUGGGAGGCAACCCAACGAAUCUAUCAUUUUUCUUUCUGUUUUGUGUUUUCCACACUUUCAUAAUUCUGUUAUGAUUGUGUUUUUGUGUUUCUUUUUGCGUUUGUGCCAAGGAAAACCGUUAUGAUUAGUCUUGAGGAUGAUUGUUUGGUCAUGCUGGGAAAGACAGAAACUUUCUACUCACGAAAAGAAUUUUCAUUGUUUUUCUGUAAGAGUUAUUGAGCUGAUUCUUUUUGCUGCUGAUUGCUACGCAAAUUCUUCAGUUGUCGUAAUUUGUCAGAAGUUUUGAAGUACCAGAGGUAUACGACACAUACUGAUUGCUACAGACUGGUCUGCUGUUAACAGAUUCUGUUUUUGUUGUGUUGGUUGCUUAUUUUGAUGAAACUAUGGAUAGUAUCGGGGGGUAUUAGCCAUGGAAGAUUGAAAAUACAGUAACCCAACAUCAGCACAAGUAGAAUUUAAGUUUGCUAUAGUACCUAAGGAAGUGGUGGUUUGCUUUCUUGUACUAAUGUUAUCACGAGUUUCUGUUUAAGUUUCGUGUUGUGAAGUUUUCAAGUUUUGGGUAAAGUUCUUAUGGACAAAGAGAUAAAGAGUUGCAAGAGCUCAAGCUUGGGGAUGCCCAAGGCACCCCAAGAGAUUAAAGGAUGCCGUAAAAGCGUAAGCUUGGGGAUGCCCCGGGAAGGCAUCCCCUCUCUCCUCUUCAAUCCAUCGGUAUCGUUACUUGGGGCUAUAUUUUUAUUCACCACAUGUUAUGUGUUUUUCCUUGGAGCGUCUUGUAUCGUAGGAGUCUUUUAUUUUUGUUGUGUUACAAUCAUCCUUGCUGCACACCUAGAGAGAGAGAGAGACAUGCACACACCGUGAUUUUGUCGAGCUUCACUUAUAUAUUUUGGUAGACAAUUCAGCUCACAUGUGCUUCACUUAUAUCUUUUGAGCUAGAUACUUUUGCUCUGUGUGCUUCAUUUAUAUAUUUUAGAGUACAGCGGUGCGUGUCUUUGUAGUUGAUCUAUGCUUUUAAAGUAGUCUCAAAAGGGGUAGUUAUCCAAAGGGAUACAAAAACUUCCACCUUCACGUGCAUUGAAUAGUUAGAGAAGUUUGAUUCAUCUCAAUUAGUUUUGAGUUGUGGUUAUGGUAAUAUUGAAGUCAUGCUAGUAAGGUGUUGUGGAUCUAGAAAUACUUGUGUUGAAGUUAGUGGUUCCCGUAGCAUGCACGUAUGGUGAACCGUUGUGUGAUGAAAUCUGAGCAUGAUUAGUAUAUUGAUUGUCAUCCUUUGCGCGGCGGUCGGGAUCGCGCGAUGGUUUAUACCUACCAACCCUUCCCCUAGGAGUAUGCGUUGAAUGCUUUGUUUCGAUUACUGAUAAAACUUUUGCAACAAGUAUAUGAGUUCUUCAUGACUAAUGUUCAGUCCAUAGUUUAGAUGCACUUUCACCUUCCACCAUCACUAUCUUCUUAGUGCCGUGCAAUUUUCGCCGGUGCACAAAACCCACCAUUAGCCUCCCUCAAAACAGCCACCAUACCUACCUACUAUGGCUUUUUCAAAAGUCAUUCCAAGAUAUAUUGCCUUGCAACUACUACCAUAACAUGUGCCACCACGUCUACAUUGCCUUUGCACGAUUGUAAGAUAGCUAGCAUGAUGUUUCCAUUGAUGUCUAUGCCAUGCUAGAUCAUUGCCACGGUACACUACCGAAUGCAUUCCAUAUAGAGUCAUAGUUGCUCUAAGUUUUGAGUUGAAAGUGUGAUGAUCAUCAUUAUUGGAGCAUUGUCCCAUGUGAGGAAAUAAAAGAGGCCAAAGAAGCCCAUAAAAAAAGAGGCCAAAGAGCCCACCAAAAUAAAAAUAAAAAUAAAGAGAGAAAAAGAGAGAAGGGACAAUGCUACCACUUUUUCCACACUUCUGCAUAUAAAGCACCAUGAUCUUCAUGAUUGGGAGUCUCUCGUUUUGUCACCACCAUAUAGCUAGUGGGAAAUUUACAUUAUAUAACUUGGCUUGUAUAUUCGAAUGAUAGGCUUCCUCAAAAUUGCCUUAGGUCUUCGUGAGCAAGCAAGUUGGAUGCACACCCACUAGUUUUCUUUAAGAGCUUUCCCAUACUCGUAGCUCUAGUGCAUCAUUUGUGUGGCAAUCCCUACUUAUUCACAUUGAUAUUUAUUGAUGAGCAUCUCCACAACUCAUUGAUAUGCCUAGUUAAUGUGAUUAUCUUCUCCUUUUUUGUCUUGCAACCUCCACUACAUUCCACACCAUCUAUAGUGCUAUAACCAUGGGUCACGCUCAUGUAUUGCGUGAGAGUCGAAAAUGUUUGAGAAAGUAAAGGUGUGAAACAAUUACUUGGCCAAUAAUGGGGUUGUGCAUGAUUUAAAUUUGUUGUGCAAUGAUGAUAGAGCAUAGCCAUACUAUAUGCUUUUGUAGGGAUAACUUUCUUUUGGCCUUGUUAUUUUGAAAGUUCAUGAUUACUUUUGCUAGUUUGCUUCAAUUACUAUUGUUUCCACGUCAAUAGCAAACUAUUGUUUUGAAUCUAAUGGAUCUGAACAUUCACGUCACAUAAGAGGAAUUACAAAAGACACCUAUGCUAGGUAGCAUGAAAGCAUCAAAAAUUCAUUCUUAUCACUUCCCUACUUGAGGACGAGCAGGAGUUAAGCUUGGGGAUGCUUGAUACGUCUCAAACGUACCUAUAAUUUUUGAUGGUUUCACGCUGUUAUCUUGCCUUCUUUGUAUGUUUUAUGUACCUUUUUAUAUCUUUUUGGGACUAACUUAUUAAUUCAGUGCCAAGUGCCAGUUCAUGUUUUUUCCGUGUUUUUGACUCUUUUUAGAUCUGAUUUUGGAACGGAGUCCAAACGGAAGAAAAACCCCGAAAUGAUUUUUUCCUGAACAGAAGAAGUCCAGGGGCUUUUGGGCCAAGCCAGGUGGGCUCCACGGAGCACAUAAGCCCCCACUCCGCCACCAGGGGGGAGGUGGCGGUGGGCAGGCUUGUGGCCUCUCUGGCCGCCCCCUGACCUAGAUCUUUGGCCUAUAAAUUCCCAAAUACUCAGCAAAAAAUCAGGGGAGCCUCGAAAAUACUUUUCCGCCGCCGCAAGCUUUCGUUUCCGCGAGAUCUCAUCUGGAGACCCUUCCCGGCGCCCUUCCGGAGGGGACUUUGGAGUUGGAGGGCUUCUUCAUCAUCAUCAUCGCCCCUCCAAUGACUCGUGAGUAGUUCACUUCAGACCUACGGGUCCAUAGUUAGUAGCUAGAUGGCUUCUUCUAUCUCUUGGAUCUUCAAUACAAAGUUCUCCAUGAUCUUCAUGGAGAUCUUUCCGAUGUAAUCUUCUUUGGCGGUGUGUUUGUCGAGAUUCGAUGAAUUGUGGACUUGUGAUCAGAUUAUCUAUGAUAUAUAUUUGAGUCUUUGCUGAUUUCUUAUAUGCAUGAUUUGAUAUCCUUGUAAGUCUCUCCGAGUCUUGGGUUUUGUGUGGCCAACUAGAUCUAUGAUUCUUGCAAUGGUAGAAGUUCUUGGUUUUGGGUUCUGCCAUGUGGUGACCUUUCCCAGUGGCAGUAGGGGCAGCAAGGCACACAUCAAGUAGUUGCCAUGAAGGGUAAAAAGAUGGGGCUUUUAUCAUUGGUUUGAGAUUAUCCCUCUACAUCAUGUCAUCUUUCUUAAGACGUUACUCUCUUCUUACGGACUUAAUACACUAGAUGCAUGCUGGAUUGCGGUCGAAGUGUGGAGUAAUAGUAGUAGAUGCAGAAAGUAUCAGUCUAAUUGUUUCGGACGUGAUGCCUAUAGAAAUAAUCAUUGCAUAGAUAUCGUCACGACUCUACACAAUUCUGUCAAUUGCUCGACUGUAAUUUGUUCACCCAUCGUCUACUUGCUUUCAUGAGAGAAGCCACUAGUAAACACUACGGCCCCCGGGUCUAUUCACAUCCAUCGUUUACAACUCAGCUUUUACUUUGCUUUGUUACUUUGUUGCUUUCAGUUCUCACUUGGCAAACAAUCUAUAAGGGAUUGACAACCCCUUCAUAGCGUUGGGUGCAAGCUUUUGUGUUUGUGCAGGAUCUUGAGAUACUCCUCCGCCGGAUUGAUACCUUGGUUCUCAAACUGAUGGAAAUACUUACCUCCGCUGUGCUACAUCAUCCUCUCUGCUUCGAGGAAACACCAACGCAGAAGGAUUCCUGGUGUCGUCAACGUGCCCAUUUCUGGCGCCACUGGAAGGUCUUUUGUGCAGCAGCAUAACAGACAUCAGAAGCAUUCCUGUGCUAUUGCGGGGGAUCCUUUUUGAAACAUCAAGAGCUUCUUGCUUUUUCAGUACCAUAUGCUAGUGGGAAUCUUCAUUAUAUAACUUGGCUUGUAUAUUCCAAUGAUGGGCUUCCUCAAAAUUGCCCUAGGUCUUUGUGAGCAAGCAAGUUGGAUGCACACCCACUAGUUUUCCUUUUGAGCUUUCACAUACUUAUAGCUCUAGUGCAUGUCUUGUAUGGCAAUCCCUACUCAUUCACAUUGAUAUCUAUUAAUGGGCAUCUCCAUAGCCUAUUGAUACACCGAGUCAAUGUGACCAUCUCCUCCUUUUUUGUCUCACAACCACCACCACACUCUAUUCCACCUAUAGUGCUAUAUCCAUGGCUCGCGCUCAUGUAUUGUGUGAUACUUAUAAAAAGUUUGAGAAAGUAAGAGUGCGAAAACAAUUAUUUGGCCAAUAUCGGGGUUGUGCAUGAUUUACAUUAGUUCUGUGAGGAUGAUGGAGCAUAGCCAGACUAUAUGAUUUUGUAGGAAUAAUUUUCAUUGGCCUUGUUACUUUGAAAGUUCAUGAUUACCUUGCUAGUUUGCUUGAAGUAUUAUUGUUUUCAUGUAAAUAGAAAACUAUUGUUUCGAAUCUUAUGGAUCUGAACAUUCAUGUCACGUGAAAGAAGUUGCAAAGGACAACUAUGCUAGGUAACAUUCCACAUCAAAAAGUCAUUCUUUAUCACUUCCCUACUCGAGGACUAGUAGGAGUUAAGCUUGGGGAUGCUUGAUACGUCUCCAACGUAUCUAUAAUUUUUAUGGUUUCAUGCUAUUAUCUUGUCAAACUUUGGAUGUUUUGCAUUGCAUGCCUUUUACAUAUUUUUUGGGACUAACUUAUUAACUCAGUGCCAAGUGCCAGUUCCUGUUUUUUCCAUGUUUUUGACCCCUUUCAGAGGAGAUUUUCAAAAGAGUCCAAACGGAAGAAAAUCCCCGAAAAGAUUUUUUUCGAAACGGAAGAAGAUCGGGAAGCUUGAGAGCCAAGGAAGGGGAGCCUCAGGGGCCCCAAAAGCCCCCACCCUGCGGCCAGGGGGAGGCCGCGGCCCACAGGCUCGUGGGCCCCCUGGGCGCCCUCUGACCUAGGGGUUGCGCCUAUAUAUUCCCUAAAAAUCCCAAAAAAAUCAGGGGAUCAUCAAAUUACUUUUUCGCCACCGCACACUUCUGUCUCCGCAAGAUCCCAUCUAGGGCCCUAUCAGAGGGGGGAUUCGGACACGGAGGGCUUCUUCAUCAACACCAUGACCUCUCGGAUGAUGCGUGAGUAGUUCACCAUAGACCUACAGGUCCAUAGCUAGUAACUAGAUGGCUUCUUCUCUCUCUUGGAUCUUCGAUACAAAGUUCUCCAUGAUCUUCAUGGAGAUCUAUCCGAUGUAAUCUUCUUUUGAGGUGUGUUGUCGAGAUCCGAUGAAUUGUGGAUUUAUGAUCAGAUUAUCUAUGAAUCUUAUUUGAGUUUCUUCUGAUAUCUCUUAUGCAUGAUUUCAUAUCCUUGUAAUUCUCUUCGAGUUGUGGGUUUUGUUUGGCCAACUAGAUCUAUGACUCUUGCAAUGGGAGAAGUGCUUGAUUUUGGGUUCAUACCGUGCGGUGACCUCACCCAGUGACAGAAGGGGUAGCGAGGCACACAUCAUGUUGUUGCCAUCAAGGGUAAAAAUAUGGGGUUUUCAUCAUUGGUUUGAGAUUAUCCCUCUACAUCAUGUCAUCUUGCUUAAGGCGUUACUCUGUUCGUCAUGAACUCAAUACACUAGAUGCAUGCUGGAUAGCGGUCGAUGUGUGGAGUAAUAGUAGUAGAUGCAGAAAGUAUCGGUCUACUUGUCACGGACAAGAUGCCUAUAUGUAUGAUCAUUGCCUUAGAUAUCGUCAUAACUUUGCGCGGUUCUACCAAUUGCUCGAUAGUAAUUUGUUCACCCACCGUGAUAUUUGCUAUUUUGAGAGAAUCCUCUAGUGAACACUAUGGCCCUCGGGUCUACUCCACACCAUAUUUUCAGCCUUACACUUUUUACUUCGUUGCACUUUCCGCCUUCAGAUCUCACUUUGCAAACAAUCUUGAAGGGAUUGACAACCCCUUUGAAGCGUUAGGUGCAAGCUUGUUUGUGUUUGCGCAGGUACUCUGGACUUCACGAGACAGUCCUACUGGAUCAAUACCUUGGUUCUCAAACUGAGGGAAAUACUUACUGCUCCUGUGCUGCAUCACCCUUUCCUCUUGAAAGGAAAAAACCGACGCAAAACAAGAGAAGUGACAAGAAGAAUUCCUAGCGUUGCUAGGGUAGGACUUUUGUUGCCGUAGCAGUGACCACGAUACCCCUUUAUGGGAUAGGGCUUUGUUGAUUACUCUGUUUGUAUUAGCAAAGAGCCCGCAUUACUAGUGGCGGGAGUGAUAUGGUCACUCUCGUCACGGGGUCGUGCCAGGUAGGGCGACUAUGCCGUUUUUACGUGUUCCGGGCACACCGUUGGUCCCUGUAUGGAUAAUACGUUCUAGAGUUGGUGCUCAUAAGAUGUACAUCAUGUGGGCUGGGUACCGAUCGAGUGGACACUUUGUCUAGUGUCGUUAGGGGAAAGGCAUUGGUCGAGUACUUACCUCGGGUAUGUUAUAUACCACGAGUCGCGAAUGACAUGGAAGUUUCCGGGAUCUCGUGGGUAUAGCGCGCAACCUCUGUGUCGGUGAAAAGAUCGACACCUAUGGGACCCUCAAAGGACCCUUUUUGCUGGUUUGGCGGGGAGGGGGGUCGCAGCAAGAGCACAACCAACAGUCAGGGCCAGGCAAGGUCUUUUUUAGCCAGGUUCGAGCCGCAUGGUGCAUAAAACCCUACUCCUGCAUGUGUUUAGUUAUUCGUUUUGGGUUACUGUAGAUUUGUCUCUUUUACAGCGUUUCGAAUUGUCAAAAAGCCAAAAGACCCUACUACUUUGCCUCGGGCCUCCUUUUAUAGGUGAAGGGGUCACCAUAGUGGCUCAGCAUGUGAACGGUGGGUUCACGAGUGGAACAGAACCGACCGACAUCCACAGUGUUACUAUGGUGCAUUAAUUGCUUCGACAAACUUCCCUGACCUCGUCUGGGGGGUUGGACACAUAACCACACGUGGCAACUUCGAGGUGUUGCACUGGCGUGCGGGGGGACGCGUGGUCCAUCCAUCGGUGGUGGCGUGUUUGUCGGUGGAGGCGUUCACAGGUCGCGAAGGCGCCCUAGUCCCGCGCCUAUCCUCGUGCCUUCUCUUCCUUCCGAGCAGGGUUAGCUUGACGGGGGCACUUCUUGUUCCUCUCGACAAGGAGGUGAUGGUCUACUGAGGCCUUGUCAAUCUUCCCGACAAGAAUGGCUUGCCGGGGCUCAGUCCUCCUUCCUUGGCGGGAGGGUCUCGCCGUGGCAUUGUCUAUCUCCCUGGCACGGAGCUCCUGCCGGGGUCUCUUCUUCAUUCCCAGCAAGCGAGUACUUGCCGGGGGCAUGCAAUAUGUACUUGGGCGGCUUCUGAGUCUUGCUUCCGCCCUAAGCUCCAGCGACGCGCCUUGCCGCUGCAGAGGGGCUGCCGGUGUCCGCUCACUAGUCUGGGGCACUUGAGACCCCAGUUUUUGGUGCACCGACAGGAGACCCCGGGCCUGGGCUACACACGCAUGCGAGGCGUUGUUGGGCCAGGCCCAAAGCGGUGCGCGGACUCGCGGGUGCCGGGCUUAUGGAAUCAAGCUGUUACAGGCUUUCUUUCUCCAUGUCGCACAUUGAACGCGCGAAGUGGGAGGGUGCAUGGCGUGCGCAUGAUGGCCUCUUUAUACCCUGAAAAGACUUCUGCCAUGUGUAGGGCAUGUGAAGUGGCAGUCGGCGAAGUGCCGAUCAUGCCCUCUAAAGCUGCGGGCGUGGAUGGACCCGCCCCUACACGCAUUGGCGCAUCAGGGCGGUUCCAUGUUCCGCUCGUAGCUUGAGGGCGAUUGGGCGAGAGGGGCGGUGGCUUAUGGAGCGAGGAGGGUGGCCUCCGAGCUUUGCCCUAUAAACUAGGGUCUUUGCGCGGAGGUUUUGCCCACCCAUCUAACUCUCGAAGCCUUCAACGCGUGUCUUCUCUUGUUUCUUUCAGCUUUGCUGGUGGCACCCGCCCCUAACCAUUGUUAGGGGAUGGGGCCGGCCUCCGUUGGCUGCCAGGGCGGCAAGGGGAUCCCGAUCGGAAUAGGCCACAGCUUCAGGGGCCGCAGCUAGUGGCAGCCCCUUCGACCUUGGUGCGAGAGGCUCGAGGGGCCGAGGACGCCGGGGACAUGGCCGAGGGAGGCAGAGUGCUACUCCAGCGUCUCUGCCUUCUCCUGGGCUUGUUCCGGGGGGAACUCACGUCGAAAGGACCCAAUUGGAGUUCCUUGUCCAAUGGCGUGGAUGCAUCAGGACACGGCUAGAUCUCCCCCAUGCCUUCGCCAAGGCGAUCGAGGUGGAGAAGCACCCGAUGCUAUGGCUACGGGUACACGACUGCGGCAAUGGUGCCGUUCCGGUGGCCGUAGAGCAUCCGGGGCCCCGGCUCCUAUUCCUUGGCCUGUGUGGAAGAGCUUCGCUCGUGCCCACAAUCUCUGGGAUCGGCACGUUCUCCGCUUAAAGAUGACGGCGGACAACCUGCUCUCCGUAAAGCAAUAUGGCAGCUCAGGUGUGCGUGUCGACUGUUGCGAAGAGAGCUCCAGCGGGACUGACAGCCCUUCCUCGUGUGGGGGUGAUGAGGAAGGGUCGGAUAGCAGCGACAGCGGGGACGGGUCACAUCCUCGUCGGUUUAAGCCUGCAUAUGAGGAUCUGACCUUGGACUGACCGCCGGUCGCACCAUCACCAUCAGCCCGCGACCCACCUCAGCAAAACAGACUCGCAUGCUGAAAGAACCUACGUUGCCUUGUCUUCUCGGCAGCUUCCGGAGUUCGGCUCUGUCUUCUCUCCUGGCCCCGUUCUCCUCUGCACAAUGCUGGUCAAGGAGGAACCAGCCUGGGUUGCGUAGCGGGCCCUGCCAUUUUUUCUCUUCUUGAACUUCACUCCUCCGCAUAGGUCGUUCCUCGUGAAAAGACAGAGUCUUUAGGAUAGGACAACAAUGCUUUGUAAGUGGUAUCAAAUGUAUCCAGACAAAUGAAUGAAUAUAUGCAUCCUUUAUUCGACUCACAUUUUGUGUGAUCAUUCCUUUGCACUUUUCGUAUGCUUGCCGACUUGACUUAUCCUGCCGUGAGUACAUAGAGGAGCGGAUCCUCAGAAAACUCAAUAGAGGAGGUCGUCACCGGGAAGACUCCUUGCCACACUUAGUGCAACCAUGUAAAUCAUCGAGCCUGGCUCGAGGCUAAAUAAGGUGCUACGUAUCCGUCUGAAACAUUGAACGAGUUCGAAACGAGAUGAGGACGCUCUUUGUCCGCUCAAGUCGUUGAACAGGCUCGAAACGAAAUCGGAGUGCACUAAUCUUAGCAAGGUCCAUCUGCGCGCGAGAUUAUCAUAAAAAAGUCGAUGCUUCAAAAGGAUACAACUAAUCUCCCAAGAAUCUGGCAAGAAGUUUGCCUGUGUACUUAUCUCGCGCGUCGUGGCAUUCCUAGCCGCAACAUCUGAAGGUGCUGCCGGGGAGGAAUAUCCCUACCCCCGGCAAGCUGGUGUUGCCUCCAGCGGCCUCCUUGUCGACGAGGUUUUCGCCGGUGGCCUUUGUACACUCUGAAGGAAAGAGGCACCUCGGGGCGUAAUAUUUUCUCAUAUUUUUUGCAAGAGAUUUGCUGGUGGAGCCCCCGAGCGCAUCUUUCUCGCGUCACAACCCUCCAAGGAGAAAUGCGAGGAGGAGGGCGCGUACGCGUCCUCGACGACCAUGGAGCACUCCGGACAUGUGCUACGGUCGGAGUAAGCGUCGGAGGCCUUUGCGGAGGCCCCUGUCACGCCCUUGACAGCAGCGGGAGCAUUCCAAUGAGGUGUGUCGGUCGGGCGAUGCAGAGCUCGGGGCUUAUGCUCCUUCCACCCGUGCUCGCAUAGCACCUAUGGAUGCGCUAUGAGCUCUCGCGCGAGUAGUGCAUCCACUGCCUCCUCCCACCGAGGGAAGAUGUUGCGGCGGACUGGGAUUCAUGGAGCCGUUGAACGACUCGUCGGAUCGGGGCGGCGCCGACGCCGCCCUGCUUCCAGCGAUCCCCUACACUAUUGGAAAACAGUUUUUUGCCAUCUGCCUAGUCUUUGCCGUCUGCUAGCUAAUGGCAAAGUGUGUCUUUGCCGUCAGCCUCUGCAAAACAGACGACAAAGCACAUGCUAAUGGCAUAAAGUGUUUUUGCCAUCUGCCUAGUCUUUGCCGUCUGCUAGCGGACGACAAAGAUAUAGAUGGGCCCACCUGACCGCGGGGUGGCUACGUCAAAGUGGAGUCGAACCUUUGCCGUCUGCUAGCGGACGACAAAGAGUCCGUAGGCAGACGGCAACGCGCUAACUCCGUUAACGGCUCCGGCCUUCCCCCCCCCCCCGCCGCUCUCUCUCUGNNNNNNNNNNNNNNNNNNNNNNNNNNNNNNNNNNNNNNNNNNNNNNNNNNNNNNNNNNNNNNNNNNNNNNNNNNNNNNNNNNNNNNNNNNNNNNNNNNNNNNNNNNNNNNNNNNNNNNNNNNNNNNNNNNNNNNNNNNNNNNNNNNNNNNNNNNNNNNNNNNNNNNNNNNNNNNNNNNNNNNNNNNNNNNNNNNNNNNNNNNNNNNNNNNNNNNNNNNNNNNNNNNNNNNNNNNNNNNNNNNNNNNNNNNNNNNNNNNNNNNNNNNNNNNNNNNNNNNNNNNNNNNCCACCCCCCACCCCCAACCCGCAUUUCUUUUUAGUAGUUUUAGUAGUUUUAGUAGUUGUUAUUGUUAGUAGUUUUAGUGGUAGAUUUAGUUAGGUUAGUAGUUUUAGUUAGGUUAGUUAGCUAGCUUGGUUAGUUAGGUGGAGGAGGAGAAGAGGCGAAGAGGAGGAGGAGGAGGACGAGAAGAGGAGAAGAAGAAGAGGAGUAGGAGGAGGAGGAGGAGAAGAAGAAAAAGAAGAAGAAGAAGAAGAAGAAGAAGAAGAGGAGAAGAAAAAAUAAGAAGGAGAAGAAGAAGAAGAAGAAUAAGAGAAGAAAAAAAUAAGAAGGAGAAGAAGUAAAGAAGAAGAGAAGAAGAAGAGAAUAAGAAAAAAGAAAGAGGGAGAAGAAGAGAAAAAAAGAAGAAGUUGAUUUUUUAUUGUUUGGUAUUUAGUGGUAGCUAUUCUUUUUUAGUUACUUAGUGGUAGAUUCUGUUUUUGUUAUAGUGGUAGAUUGUGUUUUUGUUAUUUUGUUGUUGUUUAGUGCUAUCUAGGUUUAGCGGUAGGUUUUGUUAGCUUCGUUAGUUAGGUUAGUUAGUUAGUUAGCUUAAUAGAAAGAAUAGGAAGAAGAAGAAGAAGAGGAGGAGGAGAAGAGGAGAAGAGGAGGAGAAGAAGAAGAAGAAGAAGAGGAGGAGGAGGAUAAGACACAAAUAAGAAGGAGAAGAAGAAAAGAAGAAGAGAAGAAGAGAAUAAGAAUACCUUCUCCUCCUCCUUCUUCUCCUCCUCCUCCUUCUCCUUCUUGAUUUCUUCUUCUUCUCCUGCUCCUCCUCUUUCUUCUCCUCUAUCUUAUUCUCCUCACCUUAUUUUCGCCAACAAUGAGAUAAUUAGCCCAUUUAGAUACAAAAUGGCAUAAAAACCUUGGUUAGCUCAUGAAUAUUAUAUUCUUAACUUGUUUUCCUCUAAGAUGACAUAAUUAGAAUAUUUGUGUUGAUCGGGUGGAUUUACAUGUGAUAGUUGUGUCGUCGCUGUGAGGUUUGCUGUGUGAAGACCUGCCCGUGUGUUGUAUGAGCUCCGCCCCUGCAUUCGUGGGUCAGUAGAAAUUUCAUCUCCUCCCCGCCCCUUCAUUUACCGUGUCUCGGUUUCCGGAUGAAACUUUCCAGAUUUAGGUAAUUAAAUUAAUUUAUUUGUAUGCGUGACCAAUAUGUGUCUCCCGUUUGAAAGGGCGACAUCUAUAAAUAUGCAUGUCUUUGCAUAUUUCUAACCGCCAUCCUUUCGAAUUGUCCAACAUUAUCCAUUGACAGCCCGAGUAUGUGUAGAUUGGGUUCGUUUUCCCGUAUGCUGUGCUCUGGAUCCGAUGCGGAAUUUCGUCAGUGCCUCCCUGUUGUUCUCCGGAUGCACAUCCUCUCUGUUUAUUGCGGAGACGUGUAUCAGGAGAACAGCGGGGAGGUGAUGCCGAAAUUUUGCGUUGGAUCCGAAGCAGAGCAUGGGAAAACGAACCCAAUCUACACAUACUCGGGUGGGAUUAGGACCUAUCUUUACCUAUGAGCGUG